GGAAAGCAACGAAAGACAGAUUUCCCAUGUCUGGUGGUAUGGUUCCAGAGAGAUUCAUGCCAAAUAGAUCCAAAGCAAUGACUCUGUGGUGUCGAGAUCCGCAAGUGACACCAACCCAAUUGCAAAUAGAGGUAGCAGUUGACCAGUUCGUAGCCAGAAGAUCAUUGUUGACGCGGGUUUUUAGUGCAAGAAGAGCCAACUGGUCUGUGCUGAUGUUGGUUGUUGAUUUCAUAGCGAAUGAAACCCCAAAAUUAGGCAGCAACACCACCACCAUAAGAGCCAGAAUGAGCCAAGUGUUUCCCAUGAAGUUAAGUAGAAGUGGAACUUGUGAAUUAUAUGUGGGAAAGAUGAUGUUUCUUUUUCAAUAUAUAUAGAAAAUGUCAAAACUGUGAUUGGACUUAUAUCUUUUUUUUAAAAAGCAAUUUUAUUAGCCGCAUUAACCAUAUUGCCAUUCCAAGUCUCCUCCAAUUAGGAGACUUUCCAUGAUAUCAAGACAUGGUUAGGACAAACAAAUGUACAAUUACAAAAACUACCCCGCUCCUGCCGCUACCAGCUGUAAAAAACAUGAAGCUCAUCAAUCCUAUCAAGACCAAAAUCCAUCGACUCACUACCUCAAAAGCAAAAAGAGAGGCAUAAUCAGGUUCACUAAGCUAGAAAGUCCCUUUUGCACCCAAAAAAGAACAUAACACAGGAGGCCAUUCGACAAACCGUGGGAACCACCCCCAACAGAUCAUGCACACCGUCAAAGGCCAAAAAACAAAAACCAUAAUUCAACCAGCACGGUCGCGUCAAGCAAAUACGGGAGCAGGAAACCCCGUCUCAACAGCUCCAACCCACAGACCAGACAACAAGCACGGGCAGAAACAGAACCUUGUAACCAGGACACCUCAACUUCCAGCCUAAAGAAUAUCUAUUUCUUAUUCAUUUUCGUUGACAUAUCUAAAGGCCAAAAAAAGGUAUUUUUAUUUAUAAAAUUUAUUACAAUAUAAAUUUAAUUUUUUUAUGCAUACGGUACACUAUUACAUAAGCAAAAGUAACUCUCUUCUUCUUCAUAAAUCUCAUCUUACCCUCAAACCACAAUUGAAACUUGGGAUUUCAAGUUAAAAUUGUAUAUUUUAAUAACCGAGGUAUCGGUUCAAAUAGCAAGUAGGAAAUUCUUUCUUAGCUCUUUAACAGUAAUUCUGCCCUGCAUUUGUAGGAAAACAACAGAAUGAACUCUUUUACUAUCUUGUGAGUAUAAGAGCUUUCAGUAAGUAUUGGCCCCUUGGACUAAUAAGCACCAAAGACACCAGUUUAUUCGAUUAAAUGCCCAAAAAAAAAAGGUUAUCUUACAAGGCAAAGCCAAUCACAAGGUUUUUUUUUUAAUUUUUUUUCAAUCAGAGUAGGAAAUGACAGAAUCCUAAGUGAGUGUUUGACCUAGUUUAUAGAAGUGAUUUUCUACUGCAUAAGCUGAAACAAUAUGUUUGGUUGUCAAAAUUUUAGAAUUUCGAGUUAAUGUGUGAAGUUCAUUUGGUGUUUUAGAUGAAAUUAUUAAUCAAAAUUUUUUUAAUAGUUUUGAUCAAUCGAAUCAAAACUGCUUCAAAAAUAUUCACGUAUAGUAACAACUAUUUAAUGAAAUUUUUUAUAUUUUUACUUUAUUCUUGAAUAAUUCAUAAAAUUAAGAUAUUAGGAAACAAAUGCUCAAGUGUAAAUUUCCUCAAAAUUUCUAAAAGAAUAUACACGUAGAUAAUAAAUAAGUCAAAAUGGUACUUAUGAAAUAAAACAUAACAUAUUUUUAUUAUUAAUGAUUAUGUCUCUCAAAAGAAAGACACAAAAUUGAAAAAUUAUUCACACUUUGAGGAGCACUAAUGGUGUAGCUGAUCAGUUGGUUAAAGAUGGCUUAUAAAGGGAAAACGAUUUGUUAAACAUCAUUUUGUAAGCUUGAUGUUUAUUUGAGUUAUGAUUGUGGUUUUUUAAUGGUUUACUAUAACUGAGUUCCCACAUUUAUUUUCUCAUAUAAACAAAUAUCUAUUUUCUCUCAUGUCUCACAUCUUAUUAAUUCUUAACUAUUUAUAUUGUAUCUCAUUAAAAAUAUAUAAAAGUCAAGAUGAUUAAUAAAAUGACAUAUUUUCUUACUUCCCUAAUAUUAUGCACCUAAUAAAUCUCUAUUUUUUAUCACUUUCCAAUUUCCACAAUAUUAUUAAUUCUCAAUUAUUUCUCCUAUUUCCAAUCAACGUAAUAAAUAAUUCAUAAAAUGACAUAUUUUCUCACUUCCCUAAUAUUAUGUACCUAAUAAAUCUAUAUUUUUAUCACUUCUCAAUUCCCACAAUAUUAUUAAUUCUCAAUUAUUUCUUCUAUUUUCAAUCAACGUAAUAUGUAUUUAAUGAUCUCCAACUAAUGGUAAAAUUGUUUUCUUAAUUUCAAUGAAAUAAAAGACCUCAUUUGAAUAUUUAGACGCUUUAGGCUUUUUAGGUUUUUUUUCUUAAUUGAGGAAAGGGGGAUUCGAACCUUGCUUUCUAGGCAAGGGAUCAUGCACCAAGCAAUGAGCCAAAUACUCAGGUGCAUUUUUUAGGCUUUUAAGGUUAUUGAGCCACCCCUGGCAUUUCUAACAAUACUUUGCAACUAAUAUGUGACAAUCUUUCAGAUUGCAAAAUAUGUUUUAUGUUGUCCCCAUAUUAUGCUGUGGGUUCUAUUUUCAGUAUAUGCUUGACCACAGACAAUGACUUUUUAAGAAUUUAGUGGGUAGCUAGCUAAAGAGGAUGAUUGAUGAAUGGUGCAAAUAUGGUUGUUGACUUGGCUUCUAUGGUAGAGUAUUUUGCUUGGGUAUUAUUAUAAGUGAUGGUACAGUUGACUCCAUAUGUUUUUUAUGAUAACAAAAUAUUCUCAUUCAUUGAUGUCUAAUUACUUUAUUUAAGUGUGUGAACCCUUUAUAUAUUUGUUUUUUGGAAGCAAGUCAAGAAGCUUGCUUAAUUACAAGAUGAGUUAAUCAGUUAAAGAAGCAAAGAAGAAAAGGCUUAGUGAAGACAAAAUGUUGUUAACUGAUUAACGUGGAGCCUUAACCAAUUAAGGCAAAAGCUAGGAACUAUACAAAAGCAAGACAAUAAAACCUUAAUUAGUUACCACAAGGUUUAACUGAUUAAGAAGGUGCUAGAAGCUAAAAACAAAGGCAUGCUAAUCAGUUAAAGAAUUGGGAUAAUCAGUUAGAGCACAAGACUUAGUACCUUCAACGCCAAAAUUCAAAGUUGAAAGAAGAUUGACUAUAGAAGGGAGCCAAAAUGAAAAAGUUCAAAUUUCGAAGAUUUUCUAAUUGAUUAAAGCUGAUUUUAAUCUGUUAAGGUUGAAGGAAGUGAAGCCUCAACUAGUUAAGGGAAGAGCUAACCAAUUAAAGGAAGACUGUUGUGUAGAGGAAAAUGAAAACAGAAAGUUUGUAAUCAGUUAGAGUUUCCUCUAAUCGAUAAACACAAUGUACAUAACUACAAGACAGUGCAAGGCAGAGAAGCUAUAAUUUGUUAGAACUGCUUGUAACCAAUUAACGAAACACUGUCUGCCUAUUUGAAAAGAGCCGCUAGAAGAUAAAAUAACGGCUAUUAACGGCUAAAAAUUAUCUCUAACAGCCAGAAUCAAUCUUCUAAGUAUUUAAAGGCUCUCUAACAAUCAAAAAUUAUAUAGAGAAGCUACCAAGAGUGAUUUUGAACUUAAAACAUACAAAAACCUUCUUUUAACACUUGUAUUCCACUCAUAUCUUUGUGAAAGUGUUUGUGUUGAAGCUUUUACAACUUAAAUCAGUAAGGUGCUCAUUUGCACCUCCUUUUAUCUUCUAUUUCUUGUUUACUUAGAUUGUGAGAGAUACUCUAAGGGGUAGUCUAAGUUAGGAUAAGCUUAAGAUUUGUUGUAAAAGGGUUGAAGCUAGGGUUAGAAGCUAAUCUUGUAAAAGCUUGUUGGAAGCUAUUAAUUUCACUGGUUUUUUAAUGAAGUUUGGCUGAAAAUCUAUAAUUAGGAAUAUCAAGGUAGUGGAUGUAGGUCAGGUGGACCAAACCACUAUAAAUAUUGUGUUUUAUCCACUUCUCUUAUCUCUCUUUACUUAAUGUUUGCUAACUACAACAAGUUUUCAAACCAUUCAUCUUAAAUCUUCCAAAUGGAUUUUAAAUUUCAAAAAACUACCAUAAAAAAUAUUUUUAAAUACUAUUCACCCCUCUCUGACACUCCUUUUAGGACCAACAAGUACUGUUUGGGAAAAUGGAUGAUUAUUGAGGCUUUUGUGGUUUUUCAUCAUUGGUUUUUGGUGGUCGGUUACUUUGUUUCCAUUUCUUAUGACGAAAGUCUAAUGGUUAAUAUUCUGGUUCAUAGCAUGUUAAUUAAUGGCUUUGUUUUUGUAAUAGGAUUACCCCUGCUUCAUUUUAAUAAUAUUAAAUAAUUUUAAAAAAAUAAUUAUGUAUGAAUAAAUUAAAGCAACAAAUCCACUAUAAUUCCAAACCCAUAGAAUGGAAAACUGCCAACUAGUCAAGCAUAGCGAGAUCAAGUCUUUGAUAAAUGACUUGAUUUAGACUUUGUCGACCACUUCAUCCGAAAUUCCAGAAGUAAGUCUUCGUUAAUCACUUCAUCCAAAAUACUCAAAAACAAAGGCAAGUCUUCGUCCACCACUUCAUCCAAAAUUCUCAAAAAACCAAAAGCAAGUCUUCAGCAUCCACUUCAUUCAAAUUUCAGAAAACAAAAGAAAGUCUUUGUCAAUCAUAUCCCCAAAAAAAAAAUUUUAAAAAUGCCAAAUAGUAUAUUUCUAAUGCUUUGAUUCUGCAUCAGAUCAUAAAAUGGUCUUGACUUGGGUCUCCUUCCCACUAUAAUUCUUCUCACAAGUCUGUCAAAAUGAGUAAGUGCACCCGUCAAGCAUGACAUCAAAAGCCUCCUAUAAGGAUAUGUCUAAUUGGGGUCAAAUCUUUCUUAGUUAUUACUCUAAAAUGGAUAUAAGAUCUGCAUGUUUACAACAAGAAUUUCGAAUACUAAUUGGCAAGACGUGCCAGUUGACCCAGUUUGAUUCUAUUCUAGACUUGACUACUACUUGAUCCUAACAAACGUGUCGGAACUUGUGAAAGGAAAACUUUUGAAUUAUAUGUGGAAAUGACGAUGGUUUUCAAUAUAUAUAUAUUGAAAUUGUCAAAAUUGUGUUAGGAUCUAUUUCCACAUGCACCCUUCGACAGUGAAAGAAAAUUUACCACUUGGCAUAUUGGAGAGAAUUCUUAAAGAGCAAUUAAUGUUAUCAUUUCUUAUUCAUUUUUAUUGACAUAUCUAAAGGCCAAGAAAAAGUAUUUUUAUUUAUAAAAUUUAUUACAAUAUCAAUUUAAUUACAAAAUGAGUUAAUCAGUUAAAGAAGCGAAGAAGAAAAGGCUUAGUGAAAACAAAAUGUUGUUAACUGAUUAACGUGGAGCCUUAACCAAUUAAGACAAAGCUGGGAGCCAUACAAAAAGCAAGACAGCAAAACCUUAAUUAGUUAGCAUAAGGCUUAACUAGUUAAGAAGGUGCUGGAAGCUAAAAACAAAGGCAUGCUAAUUGGUUAAGGAAUUGGGAUAAUCAGUUAGAGCACAAGACCUUAGUACCUUCAAGCACCAAAAUCCAAAGUUGAAAAAAGGUUGACCAUUGAAGGGGGCCAAAAUGGAGAAGUUCAAAAUUCGAAGAUUUCUAAUUGAUUAAAGCUGAUUUUAAUCCGUUAAGGUUGAAGGAAGUGAAGACUUAACCAAUUAAGGGAAGGGCUAACCAAUUAAAGGAAGACUACUGUGUAGAGGAAAAUGAAAACAGAAAGUUUGUAGUUGGUUAGAGUUUCCUCUAAUCGAUUAACACAGUGUACAUAGCUACAAGACAAUGUAAGGUAAAAAAGUUGUCAUCAAUUAGAGUUGCCUGUAACCAGUUAACGGAACACUGUCUAUUUAUCUGAAAAGAGCCACUAGAAGACGGUUAGUAAUGGCUAGAAAUUAUCUCUAACAGCUAGAAUCAAUCUUCUAAGCAUUUAAAGGUUCUCUAACAGUCAAAAAUCAUAUAGAGAAGCUACCAAAAGUGAUUUUGAGCUUAAAACAUCUAAAAACCUUUUUUUAACACUUGUAUUCCGCUCCAAUUUUUAUGAAAGUGUUUCAGCUGAAGCUUGUACAACUUAAAUCAGUAAGGUGAUCAUUUGUACCUCCUUUAAUCUUCUAUUUCUUGUUUACUUUGGGUGUAUGAGAUACUCUAAGGGGUAGUCUAAGUUAGGGUAAGCUUAGGACUUAUUGUAAAAUGGUUGGAGCUUGGGUUAGAAGUUCACCUUGUAAAAGCUAGCUGGAAGUUGUUAAUUCUACUGGUUUUAGUGAAGUUGGAUUAAAAAUCCUUGAUUGGGAAGAUCAAGGCAGUGGAUGUAGAUCAGGUAGACCAAAUCACUAUAAAUAUUAUAUUUUGUCUACUUCUUUAAACCUCUCUUUACUUGGUGUUUGCUAAUUAUAACAAGUUUUCAAACCAUCCAUCUUAAAUCUUCCAAAUGGAUUUUAAAUUUCAAAAGCUACUCUCAAAAAUAUUUUUAAGUGUUAUUCACCCCUUUUCAACACUCCUUUUGGAACCAACAGGUACUAUUUGGGAAAAUGGAUAAUUAUUGAGGCAUUUGUGGCUUUUCAUCAUUGGUUUUUGGUGGUGGGUUAUUUCUUCCAUUUCUUAUGAUGAAAGUCUAAUGGUUAAUAUGCCGGUUCAUAGCAUAUUAAUUAUUGAUUUCAUUUAUGUAAUGUGUUUAACCCUGCUUCAUUUUAAUAAUAUUGAAUACUUUUAAAAAAAAAUCAUUAUGUAUGAAUAAAUUAAAGCAAGAAAUCCACUAUAAGUCCAAUUCCAUAGAAUGGAAAACGGCCAACUAGUCAAGCAUAGUGAGAUUAAGUCCUUGAGCAAUGACUUGAUUUAGACUUUGUCGACCACUUCAUCCUAAAUUCCAAAAGGAAGUCUUCGUUAACCACUUCAUCCAAAAUUCUCAAAAACAAAGGCAAGUCUUGGUCCACCACUUCAUCCAAAAUUCUCGAAAAACCAAAAGCAAGUCUUCAUCAUCCACUUCAUCCAAAUUCCAGAAAACAAAAGAAAGUCUUUGUCAAUAAGGGAAAAUAGGUAGUAGAUGUCAGAAUAAUUUUUUUACUUUUAAAAAAUUCCAAAUAGUAUAUUUCUAAUGCUUUGAUUCUGCAUCAGAUCAUAAAAUGGUCUUGACUUGGGUCUCCUUCCCACUAUAUUUCUUGACACAAGUUUGUCAAAAUGAGUAAGUGCACCCGUCAAGCAUGACAUCAAAAGCCUCCUUUAAGGAUAUGUCUGAUUGGGGUCAAAUCUUUCUUAGUUAUUACUCUAAAAUGCAUAUAAGAUCUCUAAGUUUGCAACAAGAAUUUCUAAUACUAAUUUGCAAGACGUGCCAGUUGUCCCAGUUUGAUUCUAAGACUUGACUACUACUUGACCGUAACAAACGUGUAGGAACUUGUGAAAGGAAAACUUUUGAAUUUUAUAUCGAAAGGAUGAUGUUUCUUUUUCUAUAUAUAUAUAUAUAUAUAUAGUAGUUUGUCAAAAUUGUGAUAGGACCUUUUUCCACAUGCACCCUUCCACAGUGAAAGAAAAUUUACCACUUGUUGGAGAGAAUUCUUAAAGAGCAAUGUUACCAUUCUUAUUCAUUUUUAUUGACAUAUCUAAAGGCCAAAAAAAAGUAUUUUUCUUUAUAAAAUUUAUUACAAUAUCAAUUUAAAUUUUUUAUACAUGUACUACACAAUUACAUAAGGAGAAGCAACUCCAAUUUAAAAUCAAAUAUUGUAUAAAGAUGGUUUGUAUAAAAGGUGGGUUUUUCUGAUCUGUUGUAAGCUUCCUCAUACGUGGCAACAUUACUGAUUUUAGGAUAUUAUGCAAUACAAAGGUAUAACAUCUUGAAAUCAGGAUUUUACAUAUUUCCUUCAUUAAUAAACCAUCUCCAUAAUUUUUUUUAAAAUGUUGGCAAAAAAACAAGAACAAGGAAUCCUAAGUGAGUGUUUGACAUAGUUUAUAAAAGUGAUUUUCUAUUGAAAAAGCAGAAACAAUAUGUUUAUUUGGUUGUCAAGAUUUUAAAAUUUUUGGUUUAAAUGGAAAGUUCAUUUGGUGUUUUAGACGAAAUUAUGAAUCAAAAAUGUUUUUCAUAUUUUUGGUCAAUUAAAUUAAUACUUCUUCAACGAUAUUAAUGUAUAGUAACAAAUAUUUAAUGAAAUUUUUUAUAAUUCUACCUUACUAUUCAAUAAUUCAUAAAAUUAAUAUAUCAGGAAACAAAUGCUCAAGUGUAAAUUUCAUUGAAAUUUCUUCAAAAAUAUACACGUAGGUCAUAAAUAUCUCAAAAUAGUAUUUAUGAAAUUAAACAUAGCAUUUUUUUUUAUGUAUGAUAUAAAUUAAAGCAGGAAAUCUAGUAUAAGUCCAAAACCAUAGAAUGGAAAACUGCCAACUAAUCAAGCAUCGUGAGCUCAAGUCUUUGUGAAAUGACUUAAUUUAGACUUGUCAAACACUUCAUACAAAAUUCCACAAAAACAAAAGCAAGUCUUGGUCAUCCACUUUAUCCAAAUUCUAGAAAACAAAAGAAAAUUUUUGUCAACCAUCUCCCCAACAAAUUUUUGUCAACCAUCUCCCCAACAAAAUUUACUUUAACUAAACGUUAUACACAUAUUUAACGUAAUUCUUCUGAAAAAAAAAAUUACAAGCUCUUUGAGUAGGUGUUUAUAUUUUUCUGUCUUCCUAGACAUACUCUUAGAUUCCUUUGUUUAAUAUAUUGAUUAAUAAUGGAUAUCAAGUUUAUGAUGACAAUAUUCCUUUUCAUGUAUAUGAAUAAUAUUCCUUUUACUAGUUCACUGCCAGAAUUGAACUAAAAGGAGAAUGAAUUUGUCCUUUUGGCCCUUUAAGGAAAAAGAACUGAAUAAUACAUGUUCUUGAUUUAUUGCAAACUACGAUUUGAAUCAGGUAGCCAGUAAUUAACAACCACUAGUGAGGCCUAAUCACAUAUUAAGCAACAUUAAUAAUCAAUUGGAGGUAUUAAUUAUGCCAGUGAUUGCUACGUACAUCAUCAACACUGAAUUUCAGUGUAGGCAAUCUUCCAUAAGAAAUUCCUAGGUCCUCUCAAUCUUUCUGAUCUAGUUUCUCCCAAAGACAGGAUGUGUUGGUCAAAAUCAUUGAUGAAGCUUCCUUUACAAAUUACAAUAACAUCGAGGAAAAUAAUUAGUAGAUGUCAGGAUAUUUUUUUUCUUUAAAAACAUGCCAAAUAGUAUACUUCUAAUGCUUUGGUUCUGCAUCAGAUCAUAAAAUGAUCUUGACUUGGGCCUCGUUCCCACUAUAAUUCUUCUCACAACUUUGUCAAAAUGAGUAAGUGCACCCGUCAAGCAUGACAUCAAAAGCCUCCUCUAAGGAUAUGUCUAAUUGGGAUCAAAUCUUUCAUAGUUACUACUCUAAAACGGAUAUCAGAUUUGUAAUUUUACAAUAAGAAUUUCGAACACUAAUUUGCAAGACGUGCCAGUUAACUUAUUAAUUUACAAUGAUAAUAUAACUUCAAUGUGAGGCCGAACAAAAAAAAAUAAAAGGAACAAAUAGAACUUUAAGUUAUCUUUUUUAAUAUAAGCCUAACAAUAUGGAAAAACAAACUAUAUUAUCAAUUGCAUUCAAUUAAUAUUAAUUAUGUGAGGAUGAAUUUGCUAAUUUGAUAAACUAAUUAGAAUUUAAAAGUGCAAAUAAUAAGAAAUAUAUAUACCUCUAUAAAUUUCAAAUCAAUAAUUUAUCUUCAAAUGUUUAUUUAAAUUAUAAUUACAAUUAAUAUUACUUUUAGUAGUUUAUUUAAAUUCAAAUGUAAAUCAAACUAAAAGAAAUUAGAUUCCUAAUUAAUUGAAUUAACCUAUCUCAAAGAAGGCAAACCUUUCUACUUUUCAUGUCGGUAACCUUCCAACAAAUAUUGGAUAACUAAUUAGAGCAUGACCCCAACAUUUUUAAACUUAAUUAUUCAUUAGACAUGGUCUUACUGGAUUCUCUCUUUGUUCUUGGCUGUUUUAAAUGACUAGUUUAGGACUUUGGUCUUUGAAUUAUGAUUAAACAAAUGCUCCUGAAUAUCAAGGCAUCACUGUACAUAACAUCUUCAUCAAUUCAUAAGAUAUGUCCUAGUGCAUCUAGAUGGUUAAUCCUAUUAUUGCUCAUGCUAUUUUACACUUCUAUAUAUAUAUAUAUAUAAUGUUGUUAAAAAAAUGAAUGUACUUACCCAUUAAGGAUUUAUCAAUCAUUUUUUUAAUAUAUAUAUUUAUCUACACACACAUUGAAUAAUUGAUAGUUAAAAUACUAUAUAUUUGAAAAACCGUUUUUUCAUUUAAUGCACUAUAUAUCAAAUUCAAGAAGGAACAACAUAUUAGUUACAAAUCUUUCUUAUAAAUAUUACCUUAAUAUAAAUAUAUAUAUAUAUUUGAUUNUAUAUUUUGGGAUAAAAAAGGAAACUUAUUUGAAAAUUGAGAAAAUAGCAGAGUGUUAGGGAAAUGUCGAUAUCCAAAAUAGUUACUAAUAUUUUCUUUUAAAAUUACUAAAAAAAACUCACUUAGUGUGCACUAUAUAUUCUAGAAAAAAAAAAUUCAUCUUUAUUUUUGGUUUUAUUUGAAGUUGGAAAUUGAACCUAACUCUUUGAAUAGAAGAUGCAUGUUCUUACUAUUGAAUAUAAAAACUCAGCUGUAAAAGGUUUUUAUUCAUGUGUUUGGACAGGUGAUAAUCACAAUUCACAUGGGUCAACACUAACAAGGUAACAUGUAUCCUUAUUAAUGAAUAUGGAUGGAAAAUAUCAUAAACUAAAAACUAGAGUUUUAAUGUACAUGAUUAUCUAAUGUUAACAAUAAUACAAUCCUAGUGAAUUAAAUGUAUAGUAGAGUCUAUCAGAAUUAAUGUGAAAUUAUAUAAAAUCACAUUUUCAAGAUGCACCAGAUUCAAUGUUACUAUCAAAUCUUUGACUUGAAACAAGCAUUGAAAUGGGUAAUUCUGUAAGAUGAAUUUGGAAAUUAGAUGUGGUUGAAAGAUAUGAAAAGUGGAUUACUAGAGGCCUAUAUGUAUACCAUAUUUUCAAGUCAAAGCUUUUUUUAAGUAUGUUUUUAUUGGCAAAGAAGAAAAACAAGUUUUUAACGAUCACAUAUAGAAAAGUCUAGAAGAUAUUUUAUUUUAGUAAUUAAAAUUUCAAAUUUUAGUUUGAAAAUUUCGUGAUAGAAAUAUGAAAGAUUUAUUAGUUUCGAAUCCAUUUAUCUUCUUCUUUUAUAUGAGUAAUGAUUUGAUCAUGAAUUAUAGAUCUCGCAUAUAAAUGAAUUCAGAUACAUAUGAGAAGUAAUGGACCGAAAAAUUAAUUGUUAAUUUUUUAUAGUUCUUUUAUAAUUGUUAAUAUCUAUUGUCACAUGCAUUGCACAUGAAUACUUGUUUUCAAAUAUAUUUUUAAAUUGUUACAAAUUAGAUAAAUCUUAAUAAUAUUAAUAAUAAAAAGAUUUAAAAUAAUAACUUUAAAAUAUUAUAAAUAAAUAUAAUCAUUUUCAUUGAUCAAAAAGUUGUUCUAACAUUCGUACUUUAUACAUAUUAUAAGCAUCUACCAAAAGGUGGUGGUUUUUGUAUACUUUUUAUCAAGUAAUGAGAUCAUUUCAAUGCCUUGAUAUACAUAUAUGUAUAUACAUACAUAUAUGUACAUAAAUAUAUGUAUGUAUAUAUGUACAUAUAUACAUACAUUUAUAUAUGUAUGUCAUAACGUGUGGGUUCAAGAACCCGAUCGCUAGACGUGGUUAACUUAGGGAGUCGCUACCAAUAUUUUUUUACCUAGAUGCGAUUAGCCACCUAUUAAAUUUGUUUUAUUCGACGGAGUUCUAAAUCGACUUUAGAUCCUUCUAAAGAAUAACAAACUGGUCUACGUUUUUUAUUUAGAAUUCGGUUCGAGAGUACAGUUACGCACAGGAAAAGAUUAACACCCCUAUGACGCCAAUUCCACGAACGGUACCAUUUAAUCAUAUAUUAUUAUAACCCAUUAAUUUUAUUAUUAUGUUUUCUUAAUUUUUUUUAUUUAACUUAUCUUUUAUUCUAUUAAUAAAUUAAAAUAUUCUAUUUGAUUUUACGAGUUUAACGUACACGUAAUGCAAUUGUAAAAUGCAUGGUAUAAAAUCGAGAUAAUGUCAAACGAAAACCUUUUUAUGAGUGCACUUUUUGAAUCCACCUAUCAUGCUGGUGAGAUCCAGGAGUAUCCUCUCACUUAGGAAAAUAUCUGAGAAACUCGCCUUCGCAAAUUACCUGGGUAAAUCCUAUAAUCAGGAUAGUCAUUUGCAAGUAAAAACAAUAUUUUUAUGAAUGUAAAUUCUAAUACGGACAAAGCUUUUUAUUAAAGAUAUUUCUCCGAACCCUCCCAUCAUACUGGUGAGACUCGGAGGCAUCCUUUCACCUAGGAAUUUUUCUGAAGGAACUUGCCUUCGCAAACUCUUUCAAAAAGUUCCACCAUCGGGGCUUGGAUUCAUGUACAUCAUACAUCUAUAUGCCAUGACACUUAACAAUGCAAUAAUGAUGUGUAAUAUGCUUUUAAAUUUCAAUAUUUGUUUCUUAAUCUUCCUACAACUCCUUUGAUAUUUCUUUGAAAUUCUUUUUAUUGUUCUUCUUUGUAUGUAUAUAUCUCAUGGAUAAUAUAUGUUAUAUUUAUUAUUUAUUAUUUUAUUUUUUUCAUUAAAGUAUUUAUAUAUUGUUGCUCUAUGAAUUUUCCUUUUUACCUAAAUACUAUUUCUUUUUAAACCAAAAAUCUCAUUUCAUAAUUGUUAUUUAUGUGUAUAUAUUUUUUAUAAAUCAAUUACGUUUCUACUUUUUAUUAACCUAACCUAUUUUCUUUUUGACUAGCUAUUUUUUUAAUCUUUUCUCAUCAAUCUAUUUUAUAUUUGCCUUUCAUAUUUUAGUUGUAUUGGCUAUUGUGAAUUUACCAUCAUUGAGAGUUUUAUUAUUUUAUUAUUAUUUAUUCAUUACCUUCAUUAUUUCUUUACUUCUUUUGUUUUAUAUUUUUGUUUGAUUAGUAAUUAACUUAAUACAUUUUUCAUUCACUUAGAAUUGUAAAUAUCAAGAUUUAGAAUUAAAACCUUCCUAUUAUACUGGUGGGAUCUUAAUCGAAAUCUCUUACUUAGAAAAAUUCAUCUAAUGUUGCAACUUCAUGCACUCCAAAUAACUAUUUCAUCAGUGGUUAUUCUAAUAAUAAUGUAACUUUUUUUUACCAUCAUGUUCACUAUCAUUCACUAACUUUGAAACCAUUAUAUUUUAUUUAAUAUACACUCCAAAAUUUAGAGAAAUGAGGGAUAUCCUUGCACAUAUAUUUCUUUAAUUUUACUAAACCAUAUAUCUAUUUUAUUUUUUCAUUGUUGUUGACAAUAUUAAUACUAAUUUUAUCAUUUUUCUUGUUUAAAUAUUUUUUCUAAAAAAAAUACUAAUCAACAAUAUUAAAAAUACAAACACAUAAAAGAAUUAAGAAAUAAAAAAAAAACCCAUACAAAAUAAGUGUAAGUGACCCAACACAUAAGUCCUAAAUAACAAAACACAAACGGAACACAUACCUUUUGAUCUAUCAAAGCCCAAAUUCAAUUGUAUCUUGUCAAUAAUGUGAGAUCAUAGGCUAAGCUCCCAAGGACAAAGACAAGGGCUUGUUUCAGGGUUGUUUCUCCAAGCCUAACUAGAAUCAUGGGCUUGCCUUAAAGGCUUUACAAACUGAGCUUAAAGGAAAGGGAGACGGGCUUAGUCUGCUUCAAGUCCUAAAGGCACCACUUGGUGCUGCAGCUUAAAGAAACAAAAGUAAAAAAGGAAAGAAAAUUUGAAAGCAAUGCCGUUUCAAUCUCCUCCAAAGCCCAACUAGAACACCGGUUUCUCCAAAUUUUUGGACAAUCAGAAGCCUUCAAGUUCAAAAAAAAUCCACUGAAAAUGAUUUCAAGUUUCCGAUUGCCCGAGGAGCAUUCAAUGCUCUGUAUAUUGUUGACAAUGGAGGCCAAGCGUGCUUCUAGCUUUUUUUUUCUUUUUAAAUUUUGGUUUAAUUUAUUUAUUAAUCAUUAUUAAGAAAGGUGUCUNGCUUUUUUUUUCUUUUUAAAUUUUGGUUUAAUUUAUUUAUUAAUCAUUAUUAAGAAAGGUGUCUACAAUAUAUAAUAUAUAUAUAUAUAUAUAUAUAUAUUAAUAUAUAUUAUAAACAUCUACCAGCCAACUACAAAUUCACUGAAUGAACUACUCAAAAUGCUGUUUUUCUGGAUUGAUCCUUUCAUAGCGUCACCAAUUACAAGAAUUAAGCAAUGUUAUGUGCUCAAAGUAAAAUCAUUGCCUUGUAUGUGUGUGUAUAUACAUGUACACAUGUACAUACAAUCAUGUCUAUAUGCAUAUAUCUUAUACACACACAUAAAUACAUCCAUUAGAACAAGGUUUGACCUAAAGAUCCCUACCUAAUUAUUCAAUACUAUCCUACCACUUGAGCUAAACUUGAGUGGCACCAUUCCAGGAGUUCUCUUUUUACUUUCCUUUGAUUCCCUUUGAUAGCCCCAAAUAAUUCACAAAUGGCUCAAAAGGACAAAUACUCUCCUGCCCUCAAGCUGCUUCAUCAUGUUUUAACUCCCACCACUCACCAAGGAGAACUGCAAGCUCCUGAACCAGUAGGACAUCUAUGUACCCUUUCACCCGAAUUUAAAGGAAAGACAAACUCACUCUGUUAUAUGAGACAGGGAGUAUCAUAUACAUUCCAACUAAACCAAGACAGACUGCUUCAUUUGUGCCGUUUCAUGCCCUUAUAUAUGCAGAAGGAAAAGGUCAAAUCAAGCUUAUGAUGAUUGCUUGCUCACCACCCUCCCUCCUAAUAUGCAGGGAUGAUUUGAGCACAACACAUGCCAUAGAAGACAGAUGUAACUGCCAAUAUGAGAUCAUGCCUCAACCACAAAGAUUGACAUUAAAGUACAACUAUUCAACCUCUAGCACACUGGAUAAUCAGGAGACUUGGUCCAGUUCUCAUCUGCCAGACCUGUGCAUGAUGUGGUCAAGUAAAGAUGUUCAGAUACUCAACCACUCAUUAAAAAAUGGAUGUAUAACUUCCAUAUCAAGUACAAAACAGUAAAAAUUACAGGUUUUUUUUUUUGGCUAAAUGUGAGCUCUACUAAAUGAAGUUCUAAGAGCUGCACAAUGAAAACCAUCUAGAGAAGUACUAUAGUUUUCACUCUCCAACAACACAACUUAGUCUACAACAGCAAAGCCGAAAAUCUGUCAAAUGUAUAUCCUGAAUAGAGGAAAAAUUAGUUACAUUGAAUCCACGUAUGAAAGGAUUAAAUUAAGAUGUUUGCUUAUGGAGUGAACAUAGUUUAGGAUAAUCUGUCAAUCCGUUCACACAAUUAGAGUAAUAAGUCAAUUCAUGCCCACUAUUAUUUUCACUACAAUUCUAUAAUAAUUCAAUCCCAACUAUCUUUAGUGUAACAGUCCACUUGUAUGUAGCGCCUAUGCACCCCAUAAGCAAGGAUGAUUAGAUGAUAUGGACUCACUACUAAAUAGUAAUGCAUCGUUAUCAUUGUGACGAUAAAUGUUGAACAAAUGACUUCAUCUCGGGCAAAUGAUUGAGGCUUCUCUUCUGACUUCCUGUUUGACGUUUGUUCACUCUGCCAUAUCAUUUUAGAGAAAGAACCACUUGUGGAACAUGUUGCAGACACAACUUUUGACAAAAUAGCUCCUACCAAGGAACGGUUCCUAUCUUCUGAGAGUCUUGAACAUAAUUAAACAAAAGUUUAUCAAUAACGCAGCAAAAGAAAAGAAAACGAGAAGCUACCCAUGAAAGAAUCCGUUCUUGUAAUGAAAGAUAAAUCAUAUUAUAUUUCAAAAUGCAAUGAGACUAACCUGAAAGCUGAGAUCAAAGCAUCAUCUCCAAUGGUGACUGCACAUUAGUAACGUUGACUUGACUGCCCAACAAUAAAAAAAGCAGCUGAAUUCAAAUACCAGAAUAACUUCAGAAAGCUGCACGAUAGUAAUGUUGCAGGCACAACUUUUGACAAAAUACCUCCUACGAAGGAAUGUGUUUCCAUAACUGGUAAUCUACCAUAAGAGUUUCCUAUAUCCUCUAAAUCUUUCUUUGGUUUCUGAUCCCAAAAACGAGAAUGUGUUUCUUGAAAUGACCUUUGAAGCGUACUCGACAUUACUCAUUUAAGUUAGUUAUCUAAGUUGGUCAAACACGUACACAAAUCUAAUGCUUUGCUUCUGCAUGAGAUAAACAGGCAAGGCUCUUGCCAUGUUUCAAAAUAACUAUUACACAUUUAAGCAGGGAACUCACCUGAAUAUCAGACACAUCAAAACGUGCAAUCACGCCAGGUAUGACAACACAAACCUCCUCUGAGGAUAAAUCUUGUGUCAUAUCUUUCUUACUUCCACAGACUCUUAAGUUUACAACGUGUCUUGGAUAUACCAUCUAAAAUCAAAAAUUAAACUAAUAAGUUCACCAUUCGAAUAACGAUUUAUCUCUAACUUAUUUCAACUUAAUAACUUUAGAUCCAACUGAUGUUAACAUAAGAAGACUUCAUUCGGCUCAUCAGUUAAAAAACACAUUCAACCUAUAAGUUUACAUGAAAAUCUACAAAACACACCAAAUUAUGUUCAUUUCACUUUGCACUUUCUAAAACUGUAUCAUCCAUUGAAGGUAAAAUUAAAAAACUGAACACAUAAAUAAAUCCAGCAUUCAAUAAAUACAUCAAGCUAAGCAAACGAAAAAAGCAAUCAUUUUUGAAGAAUGAAAAAUGAAGAUGUAACUUAUUUAGAUAAUGAAAUGCAUAAUUCUACUUUUAUAUGAGGUAACUAAUUAUUCCAGUCAUUGUUCAUUUAAUCAAUUACAUAAUUUUGCUUCAAAGUAAACUUUCAAGCAAUAGCAAUAACAACCAAACCAAACUCAAAACACAUAAAAAGAAAAAUUACCUGUCUAUGAAUCAAAUCACCACGCAAAGAGUAAACCAAGAUAAAAGGAAAGUGGUGCUGGCGUUGGCGAUGAGGAUAAGAGAUCGGUUAGCGAUGGCGAGACAAUGAGCAUCGAGAGCACAGAGGAGAGAGGUGCUGGCGUUGGGGGCAGCGCCGAACUCGGACAAGUCUUCGUAGGCGAUGCAGCCGAGAUCCGUCAAGUGACGAUGGCUCUGUUUCGACAUUGCGUCGGGCUUCCGGGUUUCUUUUUUCUGUGUCUCUUGUCUCUUUGGCAACUGACAUUACGGAUUGGAAAGGAAAGAAUUUUGUAUAUGAAAGGAAAGCGGUGACUGUGGGAUCCACGUGUAUGGUUGGGAAGAAAAUUCAGAAAAUUAAUUAAAAAUUAAAAUGAAUGCAUUGGAACGUUUUUAUUUUAUUUAAAGUCUUCCAAAUUACAACAUUUUCAAUACAAAUCCUAAAUUCAUCAGGAAAAAAAUAUAUAUAUAUCUUCUUCAAAACUUGUCUAUUCCACAUAAACUUCAAAUAAAUGCUGCUGAACAUGAAUAGCAAAUUAUCCACUAAGAACACCUGGAAUUGUUCAAACCACUACCAUGGAAAAGCCAGAUGCUAGAGAAACAGGGUCCAUUGGAUUCGGUUCGUAAGCUACCUUGACAAAUAGAAAAAAAAAAACAAAGGAAAAAUCAAUUAUAGAUUACAAAAGCAACGAAAGCUUUGUUGUAAUUCUACUUUGGUAAAAAAACUCACCUAUGCAUGAUGUGGAUGUAGUGCUAGUUUCUUCUUCCUCUGUUUCUGCUAAUCCACUUUGUAACAUUGUUUUGCCAAUCUCUCUCAACCAUUCUGAUAAACCACCAUGGUCUUGCUGUUGUGAACACAAUGUAUCCCAUGCUCAAUCCUAACACCACUCCACAUCCGUAGCCCAUCAUUACAACUUUCCAAAUAAAGGCUAUUUCAGAACCUUCAUCUUCCUUAGGCAUUGGUACCGGUGGUUUUGGUUCCUCAUCAUUGCCGCAUUGCUUUGACAGGUGGAGGCCACACAAUCCCAAGUUACCACUAUAAGAAUCACUCUCAAAAGUAUCAAAUUGAUUCCCACCGGGAAUUGGUCCGGUAAGAGCAUUUUGUGAAAGAUUUAACACUGCAAGGAAUGUCAGCUUCGUCAAUUGGGAAGGAAUUCUGCCACCGAGCUUGUUUGAUGAGAGAUCUAACGAUUCAAGUGCUACCAUCUUUCCAAAAGAUGUUGGGAUAGGACCAAUUAAAUGGUUGUUAGAGAAGUUGAGCGCUUGGAGCGAAAUAAGUUCUCCGAGUUCCUUAGGAAUUUGUCCAUAGAAUAAAUUGCUCGAAAAGUCUAUAGACAUGAAAAUGUCUAAGGUUCGUGCUAACUCCAUCUCCAAUCUUUUCAUUGUUACAUUCACAGAAACAUUCAUAGAAAUUUGCUGAUAGACACUUACAUAUACUUUUCCACCUUUGGCUAUGCAAUCCUGAUAGCAGUAUUUAGAACUUUUUUGAAGGGGACCAUCAGUGUCACCUGUAACGUCAAUAUACCCCCGUGAGCUUGAACCCUGAUAAUGCAUAUACCCCAGUGAGCUUGGAUUCUGAUGUCUCUUUUGAGGUUCAUCUUUCAUUGCUCUCAAAUUUUGGAAGAAUUUUGUUGGCAAGGGGCCAGUGAGCUCAUUAUGAGAGAGAUCAAUUAUUUGCAACGAGGAGAAGUUAGACGAAGCUAUGGAAUUGGGCAUGGGACCAUACAAUCUAUUAUUUCGCAAAAGAAGAACUUGUAGCUCAGGAAGUGAAGCUAACCAAUGGGGAAAGGUAUCAGUAAACUUGUUGUUCCUUAAAUUCAAAACUUUCAAAGAACUACAAUUAGCCAAAGAUUGCGGCAAUAAUCCUUCCAAUUGGUUGUCAUUAAGGAGAAGAUAUCUCAACUGAUCAUUUGUAAAAGAAUCAGGGACUUUGCCAUAAAAAUUAUUCAUCUCCAAAUUCAAGAACUUGAGAUAAAUGCUGAAAUUUCCAAUAUAAUUUGGAAUGGUUCCAUUCAAGUUAUUUCUAGACAAGUCAAGAAACACAAGUGAACUUUGAUCGCGAAUCAAAAGAUUUGACAGAAUUGGCCCUUGAAGCAAGUUGGAUCGAAGGUCAAGAACUCGAAGAUUCUUUCCUGGAAAUUGCUCCAAAGUGGUCAAAGAGUUAUUAGAAAGGUGCAACUCGAGCAAGCUUUCCCACCCUUCUGCUUCCCAUUUGGAAAUUCCACCACAAAUCUUGUUAUAGGAAAGAUCUAAAAUCUCCAAAUUUGAUUUUUGAAAGAAACUUGGGAAUUGUCUUAUGCUACAAAAAGAGAAUGACACAGUAGCAAGCUGGGGGAAGGAAUAGUUUGCAUCAUUACCGCCUGUGCUUAAUGAUAGUAAACUAUUAUUAGAAAGAUAAAGAUGGGAAAGAUUUUCGAGUUUUGCAAGCAUAUUUGACUUGAUGACACCACUCAAGUUGUUUGAUGAAAGAUCAAGUUUUUCAAGGUUCACAAGAUCAAAAAAAAAACUGGGUAUUGGACCAUGAAUGUCAUUAGAACUCAAAUCAAUGUUUCGGACAGAAUUAGGCUUCUGAAUUUGGUCGAUUGGGCCGGUGAGUUUAUUAUGGCUGAGAUCUAAAUCUUGCAACGAUGGCAAAGUAAACAGCCAAGAUGGUACUCCACCACUUAUUAGGUUAUUAGAUAACCAAAAUCCUUCUAGCAAUUGAAGCUCACUAACAUGAUUUGGCAGUGGACCUUCUAAUUGAUUAUGUGACAAAUUUAGUAGGGUAAGUUGUGUGAGGUUGAACAUAGUUGUUGGAAGUUGACCACUAAAAUUGCAAGAAUCAAAUUUCAAAGUAGUUAAUCUGUUAAGGUUUUCAAAAGCAUCUGGAAUCUGUCCUUCAAAAUCAUUUUCAGAAAAAUCUAAAAAGACAACUUGAGUGAGAUUUCGAAAUGAUGCAGGAAUUGAGCUAGAGAAUCCAGAACGAGAGAGAUUAAGAUGGGUCAAACUCACUAACUUAUUAAAUAACUCUGAAGAGAUAGAGCCAUCGAAAUUGUUGUGAGCAAGGUUGAGUUGUUGUAGUCCUUGAAAGUGGAAGAGGCUGCUGUCUUCAAGAAGAGAGCCAUGAAGGUUGUUGGAACUGAGAUUGAGCCAUUGAAGUCUUUGAAGGUGGAAGAGGCUGCUGUUCGCAGGGAGAGUGCCGUUAAGGCAACUGUUACUAAGGUCGAUGCCAAUGACAUGACCCGUCACCGUGUGGCAAAAGACUCCAUCCCAUGAACAGCAAUCCGUGCUUUCAUUCCAAGAAUUUGUCCUUGGGCAAUCAUCACAAUAAUGAUCCAAAGAAAUGGUGUUUUUGAAUUCAAGCAAGGCAGCUCUCUGUUCUGGGAGGCAUAAAUGAGCCGAAUCAAGAAAAGAGGAAGAGAAACUCAAUAAACAAUGGACCUGGAAAUGCAAGAACGCUAAAAGCAGGAAAAGGAUUGGAUACAACAUCCUAACUACCUUUCCUAUGUUUUCUCGAGAAAAAGGAAGUUACGAAACAAGGGUAGUCGAAAAAGGGCAAGCUAAGGGGGUGGAACUGAAAAUGAGUUGUGGUUGAGGUUGAGGGACAUUAAUUAUAAAUGAAGUACCUGAGAAGUGGAGACAUCUCUUUUUCAAGUCUUUGCAAAAUGUUUAUAUUAAUGAAUUUCCAGUCAAGUCUUGUCAACUUGAAAAUUUAUGUCUGGAAUCAAAAUUAAAUUAACGGAAUAAAAAGGAAAAGUGUAUGUACCGAGUGUGACAGGAUGGCACUAAACAAUAUUAAAAGAAACUUCAAGAUGAUAGAAAGGAGAGGAAUCGGUAAAUUGCUGGAAAAGUGUACACGCAUAUUUUUCUCAUCAUUCCAUUGCAUUUUCAAGUUCAAAAGCACCUACUAAAAGUUAGAGUAGCAUUAUUUUUCCUUAUAUUUUGUUUUUACUAUUUAACUCACCUGCUAAAAAAUUUAUCAAUUUUUGAUAAGUCAAUUUAUUUGUAAACACAAUGCUCAAAAUUGAAUCAAUUUAUGAUACUUCGAUAAAUAGUACAAAACAAACGACAAGUAAGAAUUAUACAAAAAGAAUAUUGAAUAUUGUUUUGAAAACAAUCCAAAAGAUUGUGACAUGAACUUUGAAACAAAAAGAUUAAUAAAAUUGAUCAUAUAAGUGACAAUUCAACUGUGAAAACUAUCAAGUCAAAAGGAAGAUGGAAAACAAUUCAUUUCUCCUUAGUUCUCUUAUAAUUAUUAGUAUUUAUUAUCAUGUGUGUUGUACAUAAAAUUCUUUAAGUUUCAUGAUGUGGAAGAUGAGAUUUUUUUCUUAAUUGGCAUAUAAACACUGAAUUUUAAUAAUCUUGUAAUACAAUCUAAUGAAAAAAACUAGAAAAUAUGGGAUUCUUUUUGGUUUUUUAACAAAAAAAUUAUGAUAUUUUUGUUGGUCUUAUAUUCCAAAAAAAAUUUAUUAACAGCAAAAAGAAAAGUAUAUUGAAAGAAUGAAAUUUGAAAAGCCAAAAGAAUAACAAAAAGAAGCAUUAUAGGCUCAAUAUAUUUUUUAUCCUUAAUAACAGCUUAAGGGUAAUAAAAUAAAGAAGAGAGGUAGAUUUAAAAAGAUUAAAUUAUGUAAUUAAUUUUUAUAUUUUAUAAAAAAUAUGAAUUUAGCUUUUAUAUAAUAAUUUGUGAAAAAUGUGGAUUUAGGGAUGGUGAGAGAGAGCAUUUUUUGUUUGGCUUGUGAAUACAAAAUUAGACUUCUAACUAGUAAACUAUCACUUGCAAUGAUGAUAAACUACAAGUCUACGAAUAAACUAGAACGGACUUAGCUUCUUCUUCUUUUUCUUUAAAGGCAGAGAGGAUUUAACUUAAUUGUAAACAAGUAUCAUAUUUGUCAAAGAAGUUAUGAUUACAGGUCUUUAUGAAAAGGAUUUCGAGGGCACGCAGACAAACAGGACAUGUCCUGAAAGCAGCUAAAAGGGUAAAAUAAGUGUGUAGUUGAGGAUUUUCGCCAAUCUUUUUUGUUAAUUGGUUGUUAAUUGUUUUUCCCUGAUCUUUGUAGUUAAUCUCAUUUGAUUUAGGACUAAGAUGUUUGUCUCCCUCUAUUCGAUUGUUAACAUUUUUUGUCUCCUAAUUUUUUUUUAAUCUCAUUUAAUUUAAGGUUAAGGUAUUUGAGAUUAAAAUUUGAUGGAUUUUUGUCCAUUGAUAUCCACAACAUUUUUGCCACAUCAGCAAGUGCACAUCAACAUUUUCACCAUAUCAACAAGUGCCAUGUUAGCAAAAUGCAUGUUAUCUGUUCAAUCAAUGCCAUGUCAACACAUAAUCAACACCAUUUACAUUUUUUUUAUAAAAUAUAGAGACUAAUUCUAAAAUUUAAUUAUUUAAAAAUUAUUUUUAUAUAUAUCAUCACUGAAAAUUUUUAAACCUGUAAGCAGAGUUAGAAAGUUACCAUGUAUCACAUAUUAAAUUAAUAGACAAAUUAAUAUAAUAAAUAAAUAAAUACAUGAAAAUAUUCUAAUUUUUUUUUGUUAAAUUUAAGAACUCAACAGGGGAUGAUAUGUAGUCCAAAAAAGAUAGUCUUUGUUUACAUUGUCAUGCUUUAUACACAGUUAGUCUUCGGCAACUUUCCCAGCAAUUACUGAUUGCUUCAAAUGUGGGAUAUGCUUUUGCUUUUCUUUGGUCUUAAUUAAUUAAUUUACUUCGAAUUCCCAUUACAUGCUUAGCUUUUGUUUGAUCUUUAAUUAAUAUAUUUACCAGGACUCUUCAGCUGAUAUGACUUCUCUUUUCUAGGUGUUGGGUGUUAAAACAAUGAAAGGGACCUCCUUCCCACGAAUUGGGUCCUAAUAAAUCAAGCUUUUUUACUAUCGCAAAUAAUUAUUUAAGGCUUUGUUUUCCUAAUAAUUUAAUGGUUUCGAACAAACCAAGACCAAGUCAUGACUCUCUUUCAAAGUAAAUCUUAAAAUGUUUCUGUAGACAUAAUUCCUGAGCAUAUAAUUUCUUAAGCAUGCUACUUGAAUUGCUAGUUUCUUCAUCCUCCAUUACUAUUAUAGGUGAUUAUAUAGGUGCAUUCCAUGUAUAAUUUUAUGUGUUUGAGAAAGUACUUCUAGGAAAAAAAUAGUAAUGAGAACAAAAACAAAUAAUUUUUUUCCUUUUCUCCCUCAAGAGCAAUUUUUCUUUUAAAAGUGAUUUUUUUUAAAAAAAAAUGAUUUUAUUAACAAUAAAACCAAUAUGCCAUCCGACGUCUCUACACGAUUGCUAAAGACUUCUGUUAGCAUAUAAUUCUAACUUCUGCGUCAUCAAGACUUAUGAGAUCUUCUCAUGUAAAUCCUUACAAUUGAUAUUAUAGCAGCAUAAAACCAUGGAGGACCAAUUAGGAAUUCAGUGGAAAAGUGAUGACAGCAAUAAAUAAUUUUAUCAUCUAUGGCAAGGUUGUUAAAUGUAACCUUUAUCAAGUUUAAAGGAUUUAUAUAUAUAUAUAAUUAAAGGAAGGGAAAUUCGAAUCUUACUCUUUAGGUAAGAGAUCAUGCAUCAAUUAAUAAGUCAAUGUUUAAAUGUUUUAUUAAGUCUAAAAUUAUUUUUAAUAAAUUCAUACAUUUGAUUCAUUGAUUGACACAAUUAAAUCAAAUUUCUUUUUUUUCAAAUAAAAUAAAAUAAAAAUAUAAAACGAAUAAAAUAGUUUUUUGUCAUAUAGAAACGCAUCAAUGGCUGUCCAGUUCACAUUUUAGAAAGCCAUUUUGAUGGGAGGUGGGGGUGCAACUUCAAUUGUCCUUUCCAAGAAAGCACCAGCAACAUCACAAGAUAUGAACUAGUAAUUACACAGCUUCUUAAUGUUCCAUAACUGGUAUUCUAUUUUUUUUUCCUUCUGGCUAUUCCAAAACGGAAUCUGUUGCUUGAAAUUACUGUUGAAGCAUACUGUUACUGUAGGAUACCAGAUGAGGGAAAAAUUAUAGUCAUAAUUUAAUUUUAUAUUUUUUUAUAUUUAAAAAAAAAAAUUACAAAAUUUUAAUUUUUUUGAAGUAAAAAAUUAUGCACCAACUAAUGAAUUAAAUGUUCAAGUGCGAUUUUGCAAUGCUUUGCUCUUACGUCAUAUCAUAAUUAACACUAUCUGCAUUCAUGUCUCGUUCCAAUUUCACCAUCUUGAUUUUUUUUAUUUUUUUUUCAAGAAAAAGAGAGAUAACUUAAAAGUAAGAAUCUAUGUCAAAAGCAAAACGUGUGUGACGGGAUGGUACUUUUUUUUUUAUGAAAAGUGUUGAUUUUAUUGAGCCAGCGUUCAACCUGCCACUUCAAGUCUUUAGUCUUGAUUGACUAAAGACUCUUGGUGGCAUAAAAGUUGUUUUAGCUGGAUAAAAGCCUGUACACUUGUGAACAUAAAGAGAUCUACCCAAAGGAAAAUUGGCAUGACAUUCCCUGAACAGAAUCCAGCCCUGAAAACAAAAGCAUCCUAAAAUCAACCCGAUUCCAGACAGCAAGACCCUCCCAGUGGUUACAAAAGAGCACUCCCACCGCAGAGAUCCCCCUCGGAGGAUGCCGAUCAUCUCAACGCAAGCAAGAAGUCCCAAAGAAGUGAUCAAAAAAGGACAUGUGAGAAAACCACACCAAACUUAACAAUAUUAAAGGAAAAGCUUCAAGAUGAUAGAACGGAGAGGAAUCUAGAAAUUGCUGGAAAAUUUUAUAAGCAUGUUUUUCUCAUCCUUGCAUUGCAUUUUCAAGUUAAAAAGCACCUACUAAAAGUUAGACUAGCAUUAUUUUUCUUUGUAUUUUUUUUGCUAUUUAACUCACUUGAUAAAAAAAUUAAAUAAUUUAAAAAUAAGAUUUAUCAAUUUAUGAUAAAUCAAUAUAUUCAUAAAUACAAAUAUUCAAUAUUAAAUCAAUUUAUGAUUCUUUUGUCAUUGAUAUAAAACAAAUGAAAAGUAAAAAUAAUACAAAAACAAAAUUGAAUAUUGUUUUGAAAACAAUACAAAAGACGGUAAUGUGAACUUUGAAACAAAAAAAGUAAUAAAAUUGAACAUAUAAGUGACAAAGAGAUGAUAAUUGAAAUAAACAUUUAAUUUUUGUUCCUUUUUAUUAACAAAAAAUUAAACUAAACUUCAUGUUUUAGUUGUAUAACUUUUAAAAUAGAUUAAACAUAAAAAAUCAGAUAGUUGAAUUGAAAAUUUUCCUAAAAUGCCCCGUUUGUUGGAGUUUCUGAUUUUACUUCUAAAAUUAAUCCAUAAUUUUCUGUUCAAUUUUUUUAACAGAAAAAUGCAGCUAUGAAAUCAUUUUUGUAUGUAGUUGAGGUAAUUAAAAAAUUAAAAAUUUAUUGAAUAAAGGAACUUCUUAUUAUAGAUUGCAACAAAUUCAGGUCAUCUUCAGAACAACUUUAAGAAAUUGGAAUGAUUAUUAUUAUUAUUAUUAUUAUUAUUACAAUUAAAGUGAGGGCCAGAGGGAGCUUUUUCUGUUUGUUUUUUUCCAAGAAAAAGAGAGAAAGCUCAAAAAGGAAGAAAUUCAUUUCACAUGCAAGAAGCCGUGUGUGACAAAACUAAAACCACUUUCACACACAAUCAAACUGCAUUUGCAUUUUCACCUUAAAACCACUUUGCUAAAACUUGAAAAGGAAAAGCAUGAAAGCGUCUUCACUCUUUCAAACAGUUUUUUCUCAAAAGAUUGGGCCUGCUACUCUUCACUCAACAAACUUAAUUCAGUCUUGCAUGGAUCCUUAGCUGCAAAAUUAAACAAAAUGACAAGAAGAGGCUAUGAAAUUAAAAGAAUAUAUACAAGAAAUACAGUAAAGAAUAUAUAUUAUUAUAUAUGUUUAAUGGCUUAUGAAUAUGAUAAUAUAGAUUCCUCGAUCAUCAUUUAUGCAUUUAAAUUAUUUAAUUAUUUAUAUUAUUUUAAUGUUUCAAUGUUAACAUUUUUAUUUAUAAUCACUAUUUAAAUUUGAUUGAGGAGUUUUAAAUUUUUUAUAUAAUGUAUAGAAUAAAGAUUCAAUUUGUAUAUACCUAUUUAAGUAUAUUAAAUUGUGGUUCUUGCCCUCAAAAUUAGAGAUCAAGAUUCUUAUUUCAAAUUAUUAUAAUGAAAGUAUGUACUACUACUUUUUCCAUUUAAUUUUUAAUUUAGAAUAUCUAAAUUAAACAAAAGGUUAACAUUAUUUUGAGUUGUUUGUAUUUUUUCCCUUUUCAUUUCUUUAUUAUUUUUUCAUUCAGUAUUUUUUUUUCUUAAUUGGCAUAUAAACACUGAAUUUUAAUAAUCUUGUAAUACAAUCUAAUGAAAAAAAUUAGAAAAUAUGAGAUUCCUUUUGGUUUUUUUACAAAGAAAAUAUGAUAUGUUUGUUGGUCAUAUAUUCAAAAAAAAUUAUUAACAGCAAAAAAAAAUGUACAUUGAAAGAAUGAAAUUUGAAAAGAAAAAGAAUAACAAAAGAAGCAUUAUAGGCUCAGUAUAUUUGUUAUCCUUAAUAAAGCCUUAAGAAUAAUAAGAUAAAGAAGAGAAGGUAGAUUUAAAAAUUAUUUUUGUAUACAUCGUCAAUGAAAUUUUUAAAAUCUUCAAGCAGAGUUAGAAAGGUACCAUGUAUCACAUUUAAGUAUAUUAAAUUAAUUAAUAAAUUAAUAUAAUAAUAGAAACAUAUAAAAAUAUUUUAACUUUUUGUUAAAUAUAUAGUCCAAAAAAGAUAGUCUUUGUUUACAUUUUCAUGCUUUAUACACAGUUAGUCUUCGCAGCUGAUAUGACUUCUCUUUUCUAGGUGUUGGGUGUUAAAAUAAUGAAGGGACCUCCUUCACACUAAUUGGGUCCUAAUAAUUCAAACUUUUUUAGCAUCACUCAUAAUUAUUUGAGGAUUUAUUUUCCUAAUAAUUUAAUGGUUACGAACAAACCAAGGCCAAGUCAUGACUCUCUUUCAAAGUAAAUUUUAGAAAUGUUUCUAUAGACAUAAUUUCUGAGCAUAUAAUUUCAUAAGCAUGCUACUUGUAUUGCUAGUUUCUUCAUCCUCCAUUACUAUUAUAGGUGAUUAUAUAGGUGCAUUACAUGUAUAAUUUUAUGUGUUUGAGAAAGUCAUUCUAGAAAAAAAAAAACAUAAUAAUAAUGAGAACAAAACCAAAUAAUUUAUUUUUUCUUUUAUCUAUCAAGAGCAAACUAUUUAUGGAAGUUGCGUGGGAUCUCCUCAUGAAAAUCCUUACAAUUGAUAAUAUUAUAGCAGCAUAUAUAAAACCAUGGAGAAUAAAGGAAUUUAGUGGACAAGUGAUUACAACAAUAAAUAAUUUUGUCAUUUACAGCAUGGUUGUUAAAUAUACCCUUUAUCAAGCCUGAAGUUGCUUUUAACGCAUUCAUACAUAUGAUUCAUUAUUUGACGUAAUUAAAUCAGAUUGCUUUUUCUUUAAAUAAAAUAAAAUAAGAAAGAAGGAAAAGGGGCAACGUAUUGUCUUGUCAGAUAAAAAAGCAUCAACCAUAUUGUCUAGUUCACAUUUCAGAAAAGCCAAUUUUCAAUGGGGGGUGGGGCACAGUAGUAAUUUUCUCAAAAAGGCAUAAAUCAUAUUUAUCAAGAACAAGAUAUGAACUUGUAAUCGCACAGGUUGUUAAUGUUCCAAAACGGAAUCUGUUGCUUGAAAUUACUAUUAAAGCAUACUUUAGGUUUAGGAUACCAGCUGAGGGAAAAAUUAGUCAGAACUUCAUUUUGCAAUGUUUUGCGAUUGCUCCUGCAUCAGAUCAUAGUUAAUACCAUCUUGGUUCAUGUCUUAUUCCAACUACAAUAUUUAGUAGAUUAUUACUCCACCUAAAAGAAAGAAGUUUUUGAAGAAAAUACAAUACAAAUCAUUUUUAGUCUUCGUGAUUUGUGCUCUUUUAAGUUUUUAAGUUUUUUGUUUAGCGCAAUACCUUUUAAUCAUCAUAAUUGAAAGGUUGAAGAGAUAUUUUUUAUUGGCAAAGAAGUAAAACAAGGUUUUAACCAUCAUAAUUGAAAGGUUGAAGGGAUAUUUUAGCAAUUAAAACUUGAAAUAUAUGAAAGGUCUAUUAUUUUUUUAAUACAUUUAUCAUCAUCUUUUACGUGACUAAUAUUCAUUUAUAAAUUAUGAAUCUUUUGUAUGAAUGAAUUGAGUUUUAUGCAAGGUAAUGUAUCAAGAAAGUUAAUUGUUAAAUUUCUUUUGUUUUAGUUCUUUUAUGAAUAUUAAUAUUUAUUGUCACAUGUAUUGUAAGUAAAUACUUCCUUUCAAUUUUAUUUUCAAAUAACAAUUAUAUGUGAAAUAAAACUAUUUCUAAAAUAUAAAGUUAAUUAUCUAUAAAUAAAAGAUAAUUCAUGUUUUAAUUAUAUAUAAUUGAUAUUUUUUUAUUAUUAACCAUUAAGGUAUUCAAAACUGUUAAAAUUAAUAAAAAUAUUUUUGAAGGAAAAUCAUUAAAUAUAAUUGAAAAUCUUAUUUAUAAAUGAGAUAAAAUAUUAUUAUAUUUAUAAUGAAAAAUAUUUUUAAUCAAAGUUAUUUGAUGUGAUUAAAUUCUUACAAAUUAGAUAAAUUUUAUUAAUAUUAAUGAUAAAAAUAUUUAAAAUAAUAAUUUAAACAAUAUAAUAAACAAAUAUAAUUAUUUUCAUUGAUCAAGAAAUUAUUCUAACAUUCAUACUUAUAUAAUUAUAUAUACCUACCAGCCAACUACAGAUUACACGACUUGGGGGAUGUUAUUUGCUGAAAAUAAAAUCAUUGUCUUAUAUGUGUGUAUAUAUACAUGCACACAUAGACAUUCAAACAUGUCUAUAUGCAUGCAUCUUACACACAUAAAUACAUCCAUUAGAACAAAGUUAGACCUAAAAAUUAUCAUUCAUUGACCAAAAAACAAGUCAAGUUUCUUUAUCAAAUUAAGCCAUUUUUUUCCACUGCAUUUGCAUUAUCAUUCAUUGACAAAAAAACAAGUCAAGCUUCAAACAGGAUUCAAAGGAGAGGAGAUAGGAAAUUGCUGGAAAAGUUUUCCCAUCCUUCCACUGCAUUUGCAUUUUCAAGUUAAAAGCACUUUUCUAAAAGUUAAAAAGGAAAAAUCUUAUAGAAAGAAAAAGCAUGAAAGCGUGUUGAAUGUAGUUUUCAAUCUCUUUGAGACAGUUGUUUUUCAAAUGAUUGCAUGUAGUUUUCCCUUAACAAAUUUGUUAAAAUAAUUAUACAAAUUAUUUAGUUAGAGGUAUUAUACAACACUAUAAUCUGGUUAGAUUAUAAAUCUAGUUAACAAUUAUACUGUAAUACUAUUAGUUAAUUAGAGUUAAAUUAUGAAUAAAAUUAAGAUAACAUACAUAAUUUAGAUUUCCCAAUCAAAAUAAAAAAUGAGGAUAGGUUUAACCACAGAAAAAAAAACUCAUCCACUUUGUUAUUGCUUGAUAUCUUGAUCACGAACUUCGCUGCCACUUGAUAUCUUCACUUCAAAAAUCUUUUACUCUUCAAGAUUUUUGAAAUGUUCUGGAUCUUUGAAUGCUUAUGAAUGAAUCAAAUGGCUUUGAGGAGCCCCAUAUUUAUAGUGUUAGAUGAGAGACCUUGAUGAGGAUGUGGUCCUUUUGAAUUAUCUCUAAAUUAUUUUAAUUUAAUUAAAGGUGAAUUAUGAUGACUCAUUGAAAGUCUUUUGAUUGGCCGAACUAUGAGUCCUUGAAUUUUGAUUGGCCAAAUAUAAGUUUUAUCUCUAAAUUUACUUAGAGAUAAAUUAAAUAAUCAAAUUUGAUUUUUAUCUCUAAAUUAUCAUUCAUUAGAGAUAAAUUAGAUAAUCAAUAAUUAAAUUUUGAUUGAUCAAAAAUAUGAAUAUUAUUUUUAAAUUAUCUUGAUUUAUUUAGAGAUAAAUUAGAUGACCAAUAAUUAAAUUAUGAUUGGUCCAAAAUAUGAAUCUUAUCUCUAAAUUAUAUUGAUUUAUUUAGAUACAAAUUGGAUGACCAAUAAUUAAAUUUUGAUUGGUCAAAAAUAUGAAUAUUAUCUCUAAACUACAUUGAUUUAUUUAGAGAAAAAUUGGAUGACUAAUAAUUAAAUUUUGAUUGGUCAAAAAUAUAAUUUUUUUUUUUAUAAUUGUGGGAGGGGGAUUCGAACCCUGCUAUUUUAAGUAAGGGAUCAUGCCCCAACCAAUGAGCUAAAUGCUCAGGUGCGGUCAAAAUAUGAAUAUUAUCUUUAAAUUAUUUUUAUUUAUUUAGAGUCAAAUUGGAUGACCAAUAAUUAAAUUUUGAUUGGUCCAAAAUAUGAAUAUUAUGAAAUGCCCCGUACUUUGAUAUGGUGACAAAUAAAACUUAUCGGAUGUGAAUUGAGGUAUAAUAAGGUAUUUUGAGAACUAAGGUGUCAAACCCUAUUCUAUAAAAUAAUUACGACGUCAUUUACAUGCUCAAUAGAAUGUUUGCAUAUUUAGGAAGUUCGAGAAAUCGUUAAAAGACGAUAUUACCCCUAAUGGUACCAUUAAGUCAAUUAAGCCUCGAAUUAGUUCAAAUAGGAAUUUUAAGGUGAAAUUAAGAGUUUCACAGUUUAGGGGUGACUCAAAAUGGUAAUUCAGAGUUCGAGGAUCAAUUUGGAGUCAAACCGAAAUUUUCACUAUCUAGGGGCAAAAUGGUCAUUUUGCAAUUUGAGGACAAAAUGGGAAUUUUAGAAAAGAUUUUCUUAGCCCCAUUUGACAUGUUUGAGUAUGAUAUGAGUAUUGAAGUACAAUUGGAAGAUUUAGCAGUGAAAAAUAUGAGUUUGCGGUAUUUUUAGUAUAUAAGGGCAAAAUGGUAAUUUUACCACCCGAAAUUGAAAAUUUAAUUUUUGAAAGGAUUUUGAUCAAAUUUAAUUAUUUGGAGUGUGAAAUGAGUAUGAGGAGUGAAAAUUAUGCAUUAUGGCAAAUUUUCAAUUUUUGGGGCAAAAAAAAAGGUAAUUUUUGAAAAGUUCGGGGGCAAAAGUGUAAUUUUGAAAAAUUUACUCCACCAAAACUUUGAAAAAAUUUGAAAAUUUCACUUAAGACUUGGAUAAGUCAAAGGGAAUGCAUGGUGGAAAAAGUAGGACAAGUGGAUGGGUCAAAAAAAAAAGAAUUAAUAAAAUAUUCAAAAUAUGAAUAAACUAAUAAAAAGGCAUAAAAAAAUCAGCCCAUAACCCAUUCUUCUUCUUCAACAUUCGGCCAAGCAAGAAACAAGAGAGAGAAAGGAGAAAAUAAAACCCUAGCCAAGAAAUUUAAAGGGAAAAUUGGUGGAAAUUCAAAAAUCAAGCAAAAAAAAAGGUAACAUUUCUUAAAUUUGUCUUGUGCUUUACCUUUCCCAUGCAUUUCCCAUCAUUUUUCAUGGUUGAAUCAUGUGAUUUGAGGAUGAUUUCAAUUCUGGUCAUAUAUGUUAGUGUUUAGUGUUAGUUUAGCAUAUUUAUGAGUAAAACAACAAGAAAAAUAUUUAUUUUCUCCCUGAAUUUCUCUAGGCCGAAUCUAGCCCAUGGUAUGUGAGGAUGAGGUUGACUUUAUUUUAAGAGAAUUGGGUGGAAAAAUGAUGAAUUAUGAGGUUGAAAAUUAAAUGGGAAUUUUCGGUGCAAUAAAUUAAAAUUUUUACCCACUAGGGGUAAAAACAUAAUUUAUAGUCCGGACUGAUAAAUGGGACCAAAUUCACAGUCAUUGAGUUAUUGUGGAUAUAAUUGGAUAAUUGAAAUUGAAAUAGAUGGAAUUGGAGUUGAAUUGGGGAUUUUAGGAAUUUACACUAUGUAUAGGCGAGUUAGGUCGGACACCGCAAUUAAGCGAUUGUUUAGACAUUUCAAACCCUAUCUAGUGCAUACGCAUGGAUAAGAGCCUGAAAUAAUUUAUGAUAAAUUGACACAAUUUAUUGAAUUUUGUGUCAUGGAUUAUGGAUAGGUGGUGAGUCAAUUAUUUCGGGUAAGAGACUGCACCCGAGGGCAAAAGAUAGGAGUAUUUCUACUCCUAAUACUGUGAGUAACUUUAUCAUCAUUUUAAUUAUCUAAAGUAUGAUUUUAAUCGAUUUUGAUGGAAUUUUAUGAAAAUGAGUUUAAAUGGUUAAUUUUUGGUUUUACAAAUAAAAUAUGUUUAAAUAAAAUGAUUUUAUAAAUUGUUUUGAAACGAAAUAACGAUUUUGAAAAAUAGAGCAAUUGGAGACCACUGGUAUGUUGUAGAUUUAUGAUUUGAAUAAAUGGCUUAUGAUAAUAUUUUCAUGAAUGACUGAAUUGGUAUUUAUGUUGAAAUAUAUGAAAUGUGUAUUUAGCCUUGACAGGCUGUGAAUUACAAUAAUUGCCAUGUCAUGCUAGAAUGAAUUUUAUUGUAUGGUGGGUUAUUUAACUAGCCACUGCAGUAGGCGGAUUUUCGUGGGCCAGCCUAUUAGAGGGGCACGAUAAAUCCCGUUAUGUCUUACCUCGGUAUGAGAGGCGCGGGUGGAUAACUCCUGAGGCUAACAAUUUUAGAGUUCACUUCACGCCGAACCACCUCGUGAUGAUGAACUCCGCUAACGCCAAGGAACAGCUAUAUGUUUCAAAAUAAAAAUAUGAUUUAUGCGAAAUGUGAAUUUUUUUAACAGCCUUGACGGACUCGGUUGGGAUAGCCCUCGAUCAAGGUAUCCUUGAUAACUGAGUAUGAUAAUGAUUUCGACACGAGCUAAAGUUUUAAGAAGUUCGUAAGCCAUACUGAUUACUUGAUUUAAAUAAAUUGAUUUCAUUUGGUUGAAAUAAGUCGAUAAAUGAUAAAUUACUGUUUAAUGAAAUGUUUUUAUAGUCUCAUUUUACUCGCCUUUAGAUGUUUUAAAUUAUAUUUGUUUACUCACUGAGAUUAUAUAAUCUCACCACCCUCCUUUCCAUCAAUUUCAGGCUCAGGAUAGUCGGUAGAUAGCUCAUUUCAUCGAUGGUUACAAUUGGACUGGCAUCCUCAAAAUAUGUAGGUUUAUCUCUUUGGAUACUUUUAGUCGUUCAUGGGCCCACGUGUCACUGCAAAUUUAAUUUUAUACUUUGAUUAUCUGUAUUACAAUAUAUAUGAAUUUAUUUUACUUUUACUCUGUAAAAAUUAUUUAUGCAGUGUUCUUAAAAUAUUGUUUUAUGAGAAAAUUGAAUAUUUUAUUCAAUAUUUUUAUUUUAUACUAAUAGUCAUAAUUUCAUUUUAAACGAAUGUUUUAGACAUCCAAAAUUAUUUUUGAUUAUAAAAUAUGUGUUUUCCACUUACAUACUAUAUUUUUAACUAAUUUUGAGAUUUUUUAGAAAAAUGACUAAAAUGCCCAUGUGAGAAAAUUUUCGUUUUAUCUGUUUUAAGUUAGAAAUAGCUCAAAAUCCUUUAGAACAUAAUAUUUGGCAAUAGUUACUCACCGGGGAAAACGAAAAACUGAUAUUAAGCCUUGCGGGAUUCUGGAUGGCAUUUUGAGAGAUAAGUGCCCAUCGGGACACUACGACAGUUGUCACGGGCUUAAAGGGAGUUUCGGGUCGUGACAAUUUUAGUGGUAUAAGAGCUUUUUGUUUUAAAGAUAAGAGUUUUUGGUUUUAAAGUUAUUUUAAAAACUACAAUGUCAGUGUGGCCCAAGUUAAGUUAAGUUAGUUAGGUUAAAUCAGGUUAGGUUGAGUAGAAUAUAUGCAUUAGUAUAUACAGCCUGAGGUAGCGUAAACACGCUUUGUUUCCUCUUAUAGAUUAGUAUGCCUCCUCGAUACGAACACCCACCUCUCACUAGAUCGGUUGGGAGGAGAAGAGGUCGUUCCCAACAUCGUCAGCUAGAUCCUAUAGAGGGGGAAUCGACUGCGUCUACUAUUCGGGCAGCACCUACUGUUGAACAGACCAAGACUUUUCCACUUCCUCCGCCUUUUCCGCUAUCUACUAGUAUUCCUGCCAUGCCUCCUGAGGCAGUUCAGGCAUUGGCAGCCUUUUUUAUUACUCUUGCUGGCCAGGCUCAGGCUGGUCCAGCUCUUCCUACAGAUCCUCCAACUGCUCCUUCAAUACCACCACCCCCACCUCCUGUCCCACCACCAGUGCUGGAUGUUUCUAAUUCUAAAAAGCUUAAAGAGGCUAGGCAACAUAGUUGUGUUUCUUGUAUGGGUGAGUCAGACGCAACUGUAGCUAAAGAAGUGGUGCGAAUGGCUUUAAGAGUUGAGAAGCUUAUGAAUGAAAAUAGGAGUCUGCGAGCUGAGUUAACAAAAAGGAGAAAUCUGAAUGUAUCUUUUAGUCAGCCACCAAAGAGGGGCAAAGACUCCUCUAUUUCAGGAAGUACUACUACUGUUUUAGUGACAUAUCCUCAAUCUCCAUUUCCACAAUCACAGCAGAGACCUUCGAGGUUUAGCGGAUCUACUAUGGCUGGUUCUGGGAAGAGUUCUAGAGGUUCUCAUAGAUGCAAAAAUUAUGGGAAUUAUCAUGUGGGGCUGUGUAGGGGGCCUGCACGAUGUUUUUAUUGUGGUCAGCCGGGUCACAUUAGGAGUGACUACCCACAGUUAGGACGGGCUACGACAGUUGCUCCAUCUCCACCAGCUCAUACAGAUAUGUAGAGGAGAGAUUCCUCUAGAUUACCACCGAGACUGGGAUGAUUUUGACAUACCACCAAGGGUAGAUUAAAUAUGCUGAAAAUAGUGCUCUAAUAAAGUGCAUAUGAUAGAAAGCUAGUUUGUAAGUUGUAGUUUUCAUGAUCAUAAAAUAUAUAAGGAUUAUUAAUAUAUGGACAUACACUUGGAGUUGUAAAUUACAAGUUUGGAGUAUUUACGAUAUGAUUAAAUGGAAUUAGCAUUAGGCAAGGCAUGUAAAUCUUCUAAUUAAAUUCUGUGGAGUGUGCAUGAUAGUAGAAUGGAGGAACAUAGUGUCGUGAUACUAUAUGGUGAAGUUACUAUACAAUAUGGAAAAAGCAUUCUAAAUUGGGAUUUAUUGAUUGAUGAUAAGUGACGGGCAAUCUGAUGAUACAUGUAGCUAUGAAUAAAUUUGGAGAUUUUUGCUUAAGCAAAUUCGUACUAAAUGUUAUGGUAAAGAUAUAUGAAUGUUAGUGGCAAAAUAAAUACGUUAAAUCAAUGUUUUGAUUGUGCACUUGUGAUGGAAAGUUAGUCUUGCUAAUUGUGGUAUAGACUCAGAGGGAAGCCACACGAUUGUGAAUAAUUGAGGUAGUAACUUUAAAGGUAAAAGAGUUACAGGGAUAAAGUAAAUUCAAACAGUUGCAACGCUAUACUACUGAUUAUCAAACGCUGUCACGUUAAGAACGCCUUAUGGUUAGAAAGCAUGAGUAGACUAUGAGCGGCAUAAAGAUGAAACUCACGAGUUGAAAUAUGGCUAUUGGUUUUGAUGCUAAGCUUUGUUGUUUGGAGUCUUCAGUGCAUUAGGGAGGUAUUAAGAUAAAGAUGAUGAGUGAAAUUGUAAAGUUUCUUUAUUGCCUUAUAUAUUGGCAUGUAAGAGAAAGAAAAGUUAGAGAGUUUUUGAGAUGGUUACAUAAAAAAAAUAAUAAAUUAACAUGUGGAGUGUUAAGAUGAAUAAUAUGAUGAUUGAAGUCAAAUCUUAAGAAAUAAGGAAGACAAGAGAUUAAGUCUUGUUAAAGACUAAUGAGGAAGCGAGCAAAAGGUUAGAUGAAUAUAUGAGAUGUUGAUAAGAGAUGUCAAUACCAAGUGAUGAGAGUGUGAAUGGAGAUUUCAAGAAUGAUAUAGCAAAUGAGUUUAUAUAGAAUAAUGUUAUGAGAAUGUACAAAUCUUGAUUUGACUUUGUUGAAAGGAAAGGAUUAGUGACAACACAAGUAAAUUAUGGGGUAUGAUAGAAACCCUUGGAGAUAAGUUGAAGCAUGAGUAGUUGGGCAUGCCUUUAUGGAAAUGAUAUACUUGGUGUAUAAAAGAGUAAAUAAGUGAUUAAGUGUUUCAAGAAUGUUUAAACAUCUUCAAGGAAGAAUUAUAAAUUAUAUGAGAUGAGCAUAAGAUGUGAGAUUUUUAAAACUUGUUGAGGAACUUAACGGCUAAGUCACAAGUUCAGUGAUCAUAUGUUGUGAGACAUAAGUUUAAGAUAGAUAUUCUCAAGGAAAUACUCAAGAGAAGUUUUGCUUUGGAUCUCGUUAAAGCAAGUACUAAGUUAUGUGAUUAUAAAAAGGAAGCUGUAAGCUGAAAGUGAUAUUCAUAUUAAUAUUAAAAAGUACUUGGGGGGAAUCUAGUUUCAAGUUUUACAAUUUCAAGUACAAUUUAUAAAUUGGAUAAGGAAGAAUGAUGUUAUGUUUAUAUGAAAGAGUGGAACAAAGGAUGAUAGAAGUUAACCUUGAAAAUGAAGUCAGAUAAAGAAAUUUUCCUAAGAUAGUAUGGGAAUUGGAAUUCAAAAAUGCUUGAGGCAUACAUGAUUCAAAUGAGUUUGAGUCUUAAGUGACAAAUUAAUAUCGGAAUGCAAUAAGGAUACAAUAUAUGUAAGAGGCAUGAAGGAUAAUCAAGGAAAAAUGAUGACUUUUAGGAAUUAUAGUAUUGCAUAAGAUGCAAUGAUUAAGUCAAGAUAAAUCUUUGAGAUAUCAAUGGGAUUAUAAAGCAUACACGUACAAUAGAUUAUAAUUCAAUGGAGAUGACAUUGUGAUGCAAUGAUAUAUAGUACAAGAAAACUCAAGCAUAUGGUUGGAAAUGAUAUGAAUGAUAUGAAGUUAUACGCAAGUAUAAUAAGAAGGUUGACAUGCACUAUAAGAAUUAUUAUAUUGAACUAGGAUUGGGAUGUGAAUAAAUAAAGGGAAAUGUAGUCCAAGGCAUGUGAACACAUGGAUCCCUAUACAUAACGAGAAAUGUUGACAUUUGAAAAUGCAUGUACAUAUGUAUAUAUGAAAUUGAUAAUUUUACUAACUAAAGUGAAGAAUGGUUCUUAGUGAUUGAGAGAUUUUGAAAUAGUGUCUAAAGAGGUCAGUGAGCUAAAGUGUUAACAGACAUGCAAUGAACGAUUAAAGUUAUGAGUGACUUUGAAGGUAAACUUUGAAUUGUUUAAGUUCUUAAUGGAACUCUAUCAAAGGAAGGGUAUGGACCAGUAUAAGAUGGAUGAAUCAAGGUUGAGAAAUUUGGCAUGAAGCAAAUUAAUAAAAUGAUGAUUAAGUAUACAUAAGUAAGUAUGAUAUGUGAUCGAAAUCAGUAUAAUUNNNNNNNNNNNNNNNNNNNNNNNNNNNNNNNNNNNNNNNNNNNNNNNNNNNNNNNNNNNNNNNNNNNNNNNNNNNNNNNNNNNNNNNNNNNNNNNNNNNNNNNNNNNNNNNNNNNNNNNNNNNNNNNNNNNNNNNNNNNNNNNNNNNNNNNNNNNNNNNNNNNNNNNNNNNNNNNNNNNNNNNNNNNNNNNNNNNNNNNNNNNNNNNNNNNNNNNNNNNNNNNNNNNNNNNNNNNNNNNNNNNNNNNNNNNNNNNNNNNNNNNNNNNNNNNNNNNNNNNNNNNNNNNNNNNNNNNNNNNNNNNNNNNNNNNNNNNNNNNNNNNNNNNNNNNNNNNNNNNNNNNNNNNNNNNNNNNNNNNNNNNNNNNNNNNNNNNNNNNNNNNNNNNNNNNNNNNNNNNNNNNNNNNNNNNNNNNNNNNNNNNNNNNNNNNNNNNNNNNNNNNNNNNNNNNNNNNNNNNNNNNNNNNNNNNNNNNNNNNNNNNNNNNNNNNNNNNNNNNNNNNNNNNNNNNNNNNNNNNNNNNNNNNNNNNNNNNNNNNNNNNNNNNNNNNNNNNNNNNNNNNNNNNNNNNNNNNNNNNNNNNNNNNNNNNNNNNNNNNNNNNNNNNNNNNNNNNNNNNNNNNNNNNNNNNNNNNNNNNNNNNNNNNNNNNNNNNNNNNNNNNNNNNNNNNNNNNNNNNNNNNNNNNNNNNNNNNNNNNNNNNNNNNNNNNNNNNNNNNNNNNNNNNNNNNNNNNNNNNNNNNNNNNNNNNNNNNNNNNNNNNNNNNNNNNNNNNNNNNNNNNNNNNNNNNNNNNNNNNNNNNNNNNNNNNNNNNNNNNNNNNNNNNNNNNNNNNNNNNNNNNNNNNNNNNNNNNNNNNNNNNNNNNNNNNNNNNNNNNNNNNNNNNNNNNNNNNNNNNNNNNNNNNNNNNNNNNNNNNNNNNNNNNNNNNNNNNNNNNNNNNNNNNNNNNNNNNNNNNNNNNNNNNNNNNNNNNNNNNNNNNNNNNNNNNNNNNNNNNNNNNNNNNNNNNNNNNNNNNNNNNNNNNNNNNNNNNNNNNNNNNNNNNNNNNNNNNNNNNNNNNNNNNNNNNNNNNNNNNNNNNNNNNNNNNNNNNNNNNNNNNNNNNNNNNNNNNNNNNNNNNNNNNNNNNNNNNNNNNNNNNNNNNNNNNNNNNNNNNNNNNNNNNNNNNNNNNNNNNNNNNNNNNNNNNNNNNNNNNNNNNNNNNNNNNNNNNNNNNNNNNNNNNNNNNNNNNNNNNNNNNNNNNNNNNNNNNNNNNNNNNNNNNNNNNNNNNNNNNNNNNNNNNNNNNNNNNNNNNNNNNNNNNNNNNNNNNNNNNNNNNNNNNNNNNNNNNNNNNNNNNNNNNNNNNNNNNNNNNNNNNNNNNNNNNNNNNNNNNNNNNNNNNNNNNNNNNNNNNNNNNNNNNNNNNNNNNNNNNNNNNNNNNNNNNNNNNNNNNNNNNNNNNNNNNNNNNNNNNNNNNNNNNNNNNNNNNNNNNNNNNNNNNNNNNNNNNNNNNNNNNNNNNNNNNNNNNNNNNNNNNNNNNNNNNNNNNNNNNNNNNNNNNNNNNNNNNNNNNNNNNNNNNNNNNNNNNNNNNNNNNNNNNNNNNNNNNNNNNNNNNNNNNNNNNNNNNNNNNNNNNNNNNNNNNNNNNNNNNNNNNNNNNNNNNNNNNNNNNNNNNNNNNNNNNNNNNNNNNNNNNNNNNNNNNNNNNNNNNNNNNNNNNNNNNNNNNNNNNNNNNNNNNNNNNNNNNNNNNNNNNNNNNNNNNNNNNNNNNNNNNNNNNNNNNNNNNNNNNNNNNNNNNNNNNNNNNNNNNNNNNNNNNNNNNNNNNNNNNNNNNNNNNNNNNNNNNNNNNNNNNNNNNNNNNNNNNNNNNNNNNNNNNNNNNNNNNNNNNNNNNNNNNNNNNNNNNNNNNNNNNNNNNNNNNNNNNNNNNNNNNNNNNNNNNNNNNNNNNNNNNNNNNNNNNNNNNNNNNNNNNNNNNNNNNNNNNNNNNNNNNNNNNNNNNNNNNNNNNNNNNNNNNNNNNNNNNNNNNNNNNNNNNNNNNNNNNNNNNNNNNNNNNNNNNNNNNNNNNNNNNNNNNNNNNNNNNNNNNNNNNNNNNNNNNNNNNNNNNNNNNNNNNNNNNNNNNNNNNNNNNNNNNNNNNNNNNNNNNNNNNNNNNNNNNNNNNNNNNNNNNNNNNNNNNNNNNNNNNNNNNNNNNNNNNNNNNNNNNNNNNNNNNNNNNNNNNNNNNNNNNNNNNNNNNNNNNNNNNNNNNNNNNNNNNNNNNNNNNNNNNNNNNNNNNNNNNNNNNNNNNNNNNNNNNNNNNNNNNNNNNNNNNNNNNNNNNNNNNNNNNNNNNNNNNNNNNNNNNNNNNNNNNNNNNNNNNNNNNNNNNNNNNNNNNNNNNNNNNNNNNNNNNNNNNNNNNNNNNNNNNNNNNNNNNNNNNNNNNNNNNNNNNNNNNNNNNNNNNNNNNNNNNNNNNNNNNNNNNNNNNNNNNNNNNNNNNNNNNNNNNNNNNNNNNNNNNNNNNNNNNNNNNNNNNNNNNNNNNNNNNNNNNNNNNNNNNNNNNNNNNNNNNNNNNNNNNNNNNNNNNNNNNNNNNNNNNNNNNNNNNNNNNNNNNNNNNNNNNNNNNNNNNNNNNNNNNNNNNNNNNNNNNNNNNNNNNNNNNNNNNNNNNNNNNNNNNNNNNNNNNNNNNNNNNNNNNNNNNNNNNNNNNNNNNNNNNNNNNNNNNNNNNNNNNNNNNNNNNNNNNNNNNNNNNNNNNNNNNNNNNNNNNNNNNNNNNNNNNNNNNNNNNNNNNNNNNNNNNNNNNNNNNNNNNNNNNNNNNNNNNNNNNNNNNNNNNNNNNNNNNNNNNNNNNNNNNNNNNNNNNNNNNNNNNNNNNNNNNNNNNNNNNNNNNNNNNNNNNNNNNNNNNNNNNNNNNNNNNNNNNNNNNNNNNNNNNNNNNNNNNNNNNNNNNNNNNNNNNNNNNNNNNNNNNNNNNNNNNNNNNNNNNNNNNNNNNNNNNNNNNNNNNNNNNNNNNNNNNNNNNNNNNNNNNNNNNNNNNNNNNNNNNNNNNNNNNNNNNNNNNNNNNNNNNNNNNNNNNNNNNNNNNNNNNNNNNNNNNNNNNNNNNNNNNNNNNNNNNNNNNNNNNNNNNNNNNNNNNNNNNNNNNNNNNNNNNNNNNNNNNNNNNNNNNNNNNNNNNNNNNNNNNNNNNNNNNNNNNNNNNNNNNNNNNNNNNNNNNNNNNNNNNNNNNNNNCAUUUUGAGAGAUAAGUGCCCAUCGAGACACCGCAGCGAUUGUCACGAGCUCGAAGGGAGUUCCGGGUCGUGACAUAUUAUCUCUAAAGUACAUUGAUUUAUUUAGAGACAAAUUGGAUGACUAAUAAUUAAAUUUUGAUUGGUCAAAAAUAUGAAUUUUUUUUUAUAAUUAAGGGAGAUGAUUCGAACCUUGCUUUUUUAAGUAGGGGAUCAUGCACCAAUCAAUGAGCCAAAUACUCAGAUGCGGUUAAAAAUUUGAAUAUUAUCUCUAAAUUACUUUUAUUUAUUUAGAGACAAAUUGGAUGAUCAAUAAUUAAAUUUUGAUUGGUCCAUUUUAAAUAUUAUCUUCCAAUUAUCUUAAGUGAUAAAUAUAUGACACAUAGGUGAAUUGGUUCAACUAUGUGUCUUUGAAAUAAUCCAACCAAUAAAUUAAUUAUUUUAUAAUUAAUUACAUGAUUAUGACAUCAUCAAGUCCACAUGGUGGCAAUUGGAUUAUAAUGUUUCUCCUUCUGGAAAUGCCCCCUCAACUUGAUAUCUUUAUCACGAACUAAACUUGAUAUCUUGAUCACAAAGUUUGUUGCCGCUUGAUAUCUUCACUUCAAAAAUCUUUUACUCUUCUCGAUUAUUCAAAUGUUCUCCAUCUUCGAAUGCUUCUGAAUGAAUCAAAUGGCUUCGAGGAGGCCCCUAUUUAUAAUGCUAGAUGAGAGACUUUGAUAAGGAUGUGGUCUUUUUGAAUUAUCUCUAAAUUAUCUUAAUUUAAUUAGAGGUAAUUUUUGAUAACUCAUUGAAAGUCUUUUGAUUGGCCGGACUUUGAGUCUUUCAAUUUUGAUUGGCCAAAUUUAAGUUUUAUCUCUAAAUUUUCUUAGAGAUAAAUUAAAUAAUCAAAUUUGAUUUUUACCUCUAAAUUAUCAUUUAUUAGAGAUAAAUUAGAUGACCAAUAAUUAAAUUUUGAUUGGCCAAAAAUAUGAAUAUUAUCUCUAAAUUAUCUUGAUUUAUUUAGAGACAAAUUAGAUGACCAAUUAUUAAAUUUUGAUUGGUCAAAAAUAUGAAUAUUAUCUCUAAAUUACCUUGAUUUAUUUAGAAUCAAAUUGGAUGAGCAAUAAUUAAAUUUUAAUUGGUCUAAUUUAAAUAUUAUCUUCAAAUUAUCUCAAGGGAUAAAUAUAUGACACAUAGGUGAAUUGGUUCACCUGUGUCUUCGAAAUAAUCCAAUCAAUAAAUUAAUUAUUUUAUAAUUAAUUACAUGGUUAUGACAUUUCAAGUCCACAUGACGACACAUAAUUGAAUCAUAAUAUUUUUCCUUCUACAUACCUAUUUAAGUAUAUUAAAUUGUUGUUCUUGGCCUCCAAAUUAGAGAUCAAAAUUCUUAUUUCGAAUUAUUAAAUGAAAGUAUAUACUAUUAACUUUUUCAUCAAAAUUUUAAUUUUCAAUCUCUAAAUUAAACAAAAAGUUAACAUCGUUUUGAGUUGUUUGUAUCUUUUCCCUUUUCAUUUCUUUAUUAUUUUUUCAUUCAUUACUUAUCAUUCGAAAAAAUAGAAUAUAAAUGCUAAUAAUUGGAUAUCUGGAACUUGAUUCAUAAUUUCCAUCAACACUUUAACUAUAAGAUCGUUUAUUAUACAAGUACGAAUUUAAUUAACAAGUUCUCUUCAAAUUUUUUUAUUAUUUCCCAUUCUAAUUUGUUGCUUAGGAUGUUAGUAUUUGAUCUAGAAUAAGCUCAAUAAGAUAUUUAGAUUUUUAAAUGCUUUACUUUUUUCAAACAUUGACAUUACCUACUAUGUUUAAAUUGAAAAAGGAAGUACCUGAGGAGUGGCGACAUCUCUUUUUCAAGUCUUUGCAAAAUGUUUUAAGUUGUUUUAUAGUAAUGAAUUUCAAGUCAAGUCUUCUCAAAUUGAAAAUUUAUGUCUAGAAUCAAAAUUAAAUUAAUGGAAUAAAAAAGAAAAGUGUAUGUGUCAUGUUAGAAUGAAAAGCAUCAAAGCCACUGUAUCCUAUCCCUUGUGAGACGUUAGUAGGAUUUGUAUAUUUUUCUUGAAUUCUCAUUUGAUGUGUACUUUUAUUGUAGGCUUAUUGAGAUAUGCUUAUUAGACUGAGAAAUAUCUCAUUUGAGAUAUGUUAUUGAGAUAUGCUUAUUGAGAUAGGAAAUUGCUGGAAAAGUUUUCUGAUCCUUCCACUGCAAUUGCAUUUUCACGUUAAAAGCACUUUUCUAAAAGUUAAAAAGGAAAAGCUGUUCUUGUAGAAAAAAAAAGCACGAAAGCGUGUUGAAGGUACACAUUUAAAUUCAAUCUCUUUCAUACAGUUGUUUAUCGAAUGAUUGUAUGUAGUUUUUGCUCAACAAAUUUGUUAAGAUAAUUAUACAAAUUAUUUAGUUAAAACUACUAGACAAUACUAUAAUCUAGUUAGAUGACAAUAUUUAAUUAAUAAUUAUAUUAUAAUACUGUUAAUUAAUUAGAAUUAAAUUAUAAAUAAAAUUAGGAUAACAUACAUAAUUUAGAUUUCUCAAUCAAAAUAAAAAAUGAGGAUAGGUUUAACCAAAGAAAAAAAAACUCACCAACUCGGACAAAAAGCAUCCCAAAGAAAUGCAAAAGCAGCAGCAACAACAAAGAUUAGUCGAGGAGCUGAAACUAAUCUGCAAAAAUAAAAGCAGAAGCCAUCACGUAAUCAUCCCUCAGCAGCCAAAAACUAAUAAAACAGAGAACCAAUAGCGCAAGAAUGAAGCAAAGAAAUGCAAGCUCACACAACCAGCAGAAACGAAAAUCACAUCAAAGGUUCAAAGAAGCGAGAACCAACCAAUAAUUAACCGCAAUGAAUCCCAUGAAACAAUCGGCAAAAUCAAAAUCCAUUCAAGCAGAUCAGGAUGAAGCUUAAACAGAGUGAAGUAACAACAGAUAUUGAUCCCCCCCAACACCGGGCUUGGCAAGUGAAUCAGCAAUAGUGUUUCCAGAUCUAAUAGCGUGUUGAAUUUGCCACUGUUUAACUUUACUAGCCAAAACAAGGAUAUGAAGCACUUGAUUCCUCAAAUUCCAUGGAGCCAAAUCAGGGGACUUAGUCCAUUUAAUAGCUCUAACUGAAUCACUUUCAAGAAUCUACCAGUGAGAAGAUGCCCAUGUUGAAGGCUUGUAUGAUCUAAUUCUCUUUGGGCCAAAUCCGUGGACAUUAAGUUCUUAAGUUCUUUUCCAGUUCUUCUGGAAAUCUUUUCGCAAAAACUCUACAGUAACUGGCAGCAGCUAAUUUACUGAUUUAAUGUGCGUUAGAGAAAGAUUGUUGGAGUUAAAUCAAUGCUGCAAACCUGUGUUAAAAAUCAAACUUGAGGAAGGCUAACUGUUAAUGACUUUUGACACCUUACCAUAAAUCAAAUCUUUUCCUUUAGAAUUAGAAACUGAACAUAGCCAUCUCAGCACUUUGAUUUUACUCUUAAAAGAAAUAAUUAAGUAUCAAUGAUGUAACUAAUACAUACAUGAGGUGCUUGUAGUGAGUUUCCCUCCACUUUCCUUUGGUAUUUUAGGAAAGCAAAUUGAAAAGGAAAAAAUGGCCCUUCUUAAUAAAUUUAGAAAUCUCUGAGUCAAGAAAACAUGGAUUUCCAAAACCAAUAUAUCAGAAUCAAAAGUACCACCGUUAGGUAGGUAGCCUUAAAGUGAAAUUGUGAGAUCACUAGUAUUUAUCUUUUGGAUUGAUUAUAUAGUAAAUGUGAGUAAGCAUUGAAUUAAACUAGAAGAAAAGAAAAUCCAGAUUUGUCGAAAAAUCUAAUCCAAAGAGCUAAAAAAACAAAAUAUUAUUUACUGAUCUGAAACUUUCAGUAAUGAAAUCUGGAAUUUCCUCUAUGUACUUCAAACAUUUCCUAGUAUAGAACUCAACAACUAGAAGACAUAAAGUUUUGAAACAAAAAAAACAUUCUCUGCAAUAUUACUAAAAGGACUAAAUGAAUCCAAGCAGCAGUAUGUUACAUGCUUACAAAGAAUAGCUGAAGCUUACAUUUUAGCAGAUCCUACAGAAGUAAAGAACCCCAACAUCUUGACAACUAGGUCACUAUGGGAAAAAAAAAAAAGAAUACAUAGAGUUAAAAACUUUAUUGGAAACUAUUUAUCAAAGUUCGAAGAGUUGCUUAUAGUUAUAUGGAACAGCUGUCUUCAGAGUACUAGUCGUAUUGGCUUAUUUCUUCCUCUAGGUUUGUGGAUUUGCCUUCUGACUCUUUGGUGUGGGGCUCUCUGGAUUAUCUUCACUAGCCAAGCUGGUUUUCCUGUUGUGAAUACAAUGUAUCCCAUGCUCAAUCUCAACACAAGUCCACAUCCAUAUCCCAUCAUUGCAAAUUUCCAAGUAAAUGCUCCUCCUUUAUCAUCAUCUUCAUCAAAUAUUGACGGAGGAGGUUCUCUUCCCUCACUUUCGCCACAUUCAUUUGACAAUGGAAACCCACAAAACCGUAAGUUACCUACGUAGGAAUUAUUUGUGAAAGUAUCAAACUGAUUUCCUUUAGGAACCGGUCCCAUGAGAUUGUUUUGAGAAAGAUUUAACACCGCAAGAAAUAUCAGAUUCCUUAAUUGCAUAAGGAUGCUUCCUUCAAUCAUAUUUGAUGAGAGAUCUAAUGAUUCGAGUGCUAACAACUUCCCCAAUGAUAGUGGGAUAUGACUUGUAAGGCUGUUAUGAGAGAAAUUGAGCACCAAAAGAUCUUUAAGUUCUCCGAUUACUUCAGGAACCUGUCUUUCGAAUUGAUUGCUUGAAAAAUCAAUAGUUGUGAAAAUAUCUAAUUUUUUUCAAAAUUUAUCUCCAAUCCUUUGAUUGUUAUAAUUAUGGAAUCAUGAUAAUAUAACUCUUCAAUAUAAUAUGGACCGGUAGGAUCUACAUGGAUAUCCUUCAUAGCCUUCAAAUUUUGAAAGAAUGUAGUUGGCAAGUGGCCAUUGAACUCAUUUGAGAGAGAUCAAUGAUUCUCAAACUAGUAAAGAUAGAUGUGCCCCUCAAAUUUGGUGCCGGCCCAUGAAAUUUAUUCGAUUGCAGGACAAGGAUUUGCAGACAUGAAAGUACACCUAACCAAUGAGGAAAGGAGUCUUUCAAGUUACUGUUGCCCAAAUCUAAAACUUCCAAUUCACUGCAAUUCAUCAAAGAUCGUGUUACGGAUCCUUCUAGAUGGUUGUCAUUGAGGUUAAUGCUUUUCUACAAACUACCUUCUUGGGAUUUUGCCAUCGAAGUUAUUCAUUCGUAAAUUCAUAACAGACAGGGAACCACAAUUUCCAAGACAUUUUGGAAUGAUCCCACUCAAGUUGUUCUUUGACAAGUCGAGGACUUGAGGGAAAGUUAUAUCGUAAAACCCUGAAGGGAUUUCUCCAGUCAAUUCAUUUUCUGAAAAUGAAGAGGUGAUGUAUUGACAUUGGUGGAGUUGGAAGUGGUACUUGAAGUGAAUUUGAGUGAAGGUCAAGAGUCUGAAGAGUCUUCCCAGGAAAUUGCUCUACAUUUGUUAACAAAUUGAAAGAAAGGUCCAAGUAUCUCAACUCUCCCACCCUUCGGCUUCCCAUUUGGAUAUGGAACCCUGAAUUUUGUUAUUAGAAAGAUCUAAAUCGGACAAAGUCUCGGAUGCUCUUCAGAAACUUGGGAAUUGUUGUAUGUUGCGCAAAGAGAAAGACAAAGUAUAUAGCUCGGGGAAGGUAAUUGACAUCAUUGCUACAUCUACUCAAUGAUAAUAAACCGUUAUUUGAAAGAUCAAUCUCUUGUAAAUUUCUAAGCUUUGAAAGCAUGCAUGGCUCAAUGUUGCCACUCAAAUUAUUUGAUGAAAGAUCAGGAAAAGCAAGGUUCACUGGUAGACUAAACAGCCAACCUGGUACUCUGCCAUUAAGCAAGUUUGCAGAUAAAGGAGGUUUUGACGAUUUGAAAGUCCACUUACGUUGUCUGGAAGGGGUCCCGCUAAAUGGUUAUUGUUCAAGCCUAUGUCAGUAAGUCUAGUGAGGUUAAAUGCUGAUGAUGGCAAUAAACCAUGGAAAUUGUUAAAAGAAAAAUACAACUUAAUUAGUUUCUUGAAGUUCCCAAAAACAUCUGGAAUAUGACCUUCAAAAUUGUUAAAUUUUAAAUGUAAGAAAGUAAUUUUGGUGAGGUUUCCAAGAGAUAAAGGGAUUGACCCUGUGAAAUGACAAAAAGAAAGGUCAAGUUCUUCCAAGUUUUCAAGAUUUCCCAUUGAGUCUGGUAACUCCUCUAAGAAACUUGUUCCUGAAAGGUGCAAAAAUCUAAGAGAAGUACUCCGAUUUGAUUUAGGGAGAUAACCACUGAGAUUAGGAUUACGGAUUAAUAAGAUUUUUUCUAGAUAUGGAAAGCUGAAAUUUUCACUUGGAAAUUUCCCUUGCAGUUGACAGACAUAGAGACUCAAACACUUUAACGAGGAAGUCAAGUUCAGAAAGGAAUUUGGUCUAACCAAACACAUAUCCACUUGGUCAAGGAAAAGAUUUUCUUACUUUGUUAGGUUAUGCACAAGCAUGUUAAAAUGAUGGUUGUCGAGCUUUAAAAGAAGAGAUGACUGAUCAAGUGAACCCAGUUCUGCCAAAGGAGAGAUAUGCUCUGUAACUGAACAGUCGAUGCCUAUAUGAGAAAGAUUGAGAUAGGUUAGACUCCUCAAUUUACUAAACUCAGGAGGAAUUUGAGAACCAGUGAACUCGAGGUGAGCAAGGUUAGGCCAACGGAGAUCCUGAAGCAGGAAGAGGCUGCUGUUGGAUGGAAGACUUUCUUUAAGUCGACUACAACUGAGAUCAAGGCCAAUCACGUGACCCGUCAUGCUAUGGCAUGUGACACCCUCCCAGGAGCAACAGUCUCUACUUUGGCUCCAGAAUUCUGUCUUAGGAUAAGAAUCACCACAGGCAAAGCAACUAGGAAAAGACAGGCUGCUCUUGAACUGGAUCAAAGCAGAACUAUGUUCAGGAGGGCAUAAUUGUGGAAGAGGAGGAGAUGACAGAAGAUUGUUCACAAGAUUAUUAGGCUUAGUUUGUAGGUAACAUUUAGUUUCCGGAGUACCAUAAACAAAGAUUUGCACAACGAACAUUCUUGAGCUUUUAUUAGAGUAGUGCAAGCUUCAAACUUUUAUUUAGGAACUAAGUAAGUGAGGUGGUUUGUCCGUCUCCAAGGGCUGCAAUGGCACCAUAUUUGUUUUUUUAAAAAAAAUUAAUUGGAUUUCAUUAUCAGAAACCAGGAAUAGGCUCCCUAGAGAACAAAAGAGCACAUGAUUUUAAGAUGCUAUGCCUUGAUCAGCAUAUCAUCUCAAAAUUUUGUCAUCUUGCCAAAAGAAAACCAGCUUACAAAGAACCCCAUAAAAACCCCUAUCAUCAAUAUACAAAAAACAAAAUGAAACAGCAAAUAGCCUCAAUAAGAAACCACAAGUCUCCUUGUGCAAAAGUCAUUCUUGAAAGGAAAGUCAGCAAGCUUGCAAUCUGAUCAAAAACUCAGGCCCUUAUAUCACGGACCUUGGCUCAAAAGCCUAACCAUCUCAGCCAAGUAAAUGUCAAAAAGCAACAGAGAGAAACGAUCAAACCUGAAGCUUGAAUUCUUCACGCAGCCGUUCAAAGAAAAAGAAUAAAAAUCUCCAGCCUCUUUACUACUCAAAGGCAUUCAAUAAAUCCUCUUAACGUCUGACCCCUUCUGUCGCUAGACUAUAUGCAAAUUGAUUCUUUUCUCUAAAGAUAUGGUUGACUUCCCACCCUUUAAUGUUCCUUUUCAAACUUUCAACGUGCAUGAUCCACUUCCUUAGCCUCCAAAAAUAAGGAGACUUGUAAGGACCGACCGGAGUAAAGUGACCCUUCCACCUAUUAUUAGCACCUUUGCCUUCCAUCUUGCCAACCUAGCCUCAAAUUUCUCAAUAAUAGGAUUCCACAUUCUAACAGAAUUCUGCUUGGCUCCGAUUGGAAGUUCUAGAUACACAAAGGGUAUUUCUCCUAUUCUACAAUCUAUACUUUCCACCCCCCUUCUCCAUGUUUGAUUAUCCACUCCUAUUCCUAUCACCCUACUCUUGUUGAAAUUGAUUUUUAACCCCGAAAUGAGUUGGAAACAUCUCAAGACUCUUUUGGCAAUGCUGAGAUUCUCAACUUUCGGUCUACAAAAAACCAUGGUAUCAUCGGCAAAUUGAAGGUGUGAGAUUAAGAGGUCAUUGUUACCUAUUGGUACGCCUUGAAGAAUAUCGAAAGCUUCAGCUUUCUCCAUGAGUCGACUAAAAGCCUCUGCCACAAUGUUGAAGAGAAAAAGGGAGAGUGAGCAACCCUAUCGAAGUCCUCUCUCCAUCCUAAAAGGUUCCGUAGCAACUCCAUUCACAAGCACAGAGAUUUUCACUGUUUGAAGAUAGCCCCUCAUCCACUUUCUCUACCUUUCCCUAAACCUCAUUUUUUUUCAUAAUAAACUGAAGGAAUCCCCAAUCCACACUAUCAUAGGCCUUUUCAAAGUCAACUUUCAAAAGAAAGACUACCUCUUGUCCCUUUUUCAGCAGAUCAAUAACUUCGUUUUCAAUGAGAGCACAAUCCAUAAGCUGUCUUCCUUUUACAAAAGCAAACUGUUUCUCUCCAAUAACUUCACCAAUGACCAGUCGGAGCCUAUUAGCUAGGAGCAUUGCGACAAUCUUGUAUAAGCUCCAUACAAGACUAAUCGGUUUAAACUCCAUGAUGGGGCUUGGAUUAGAGACUUUCGAGAUUAGCGUAAUGAAAGAGUUAUUCAAUCCCUUUUCAAGCUGUUCUUUUUCCUAAAAAUCCUCAAGACACUUCAUAACUUCUUCUUUAACCAAGUGCCAUUAGUUCUUAAAAACACUAAGGUUGAAGCCGUCCUGCCUAAGUGCUUUUUCUCCAUCACAACUGCAUAUAGUCUCCCACACUUCUUUGCUAGAGAAACCUUUUUCUAAAAAAUUUGAUGCCUCUUCACUCAAAUUUUUAAAUUGACAAUGAAAUUCUUUUAAAGGCAACACUUUUCUUCUUUUGUAGAAAUCAGUAAAGUACUUGGCAAUCUCACUUUUGAUACCUUCUGGCUCACUGAUGCUUAGAUUCCCCAUUUGCAGAUGUCGAAUUGUGUUGUUACGCAUUCUAAUGGAGGCCAUGGUGUGAAAAAAUCAGGUAUUACGAUCCCCAUCCAUUACCCAUUUAAGACAUGAUUUUUAUGUCAUUCCCUAUCUUCUUUUUUGUACAAACCCCAAAGUUCAGCUAUUUUGUUCAUCACAACUUGACGCUCUCCCUCUUCCACCCUUCCCUGUUGCCACUUUUCAUUAAUUUCAUGUAGCUCAACUUUUAAUUUUGUAAUUUUUUCACUUAUGUUUCCAAAUGCUUUUUUCUGCCAUUCUUUCAACACUGGCUUUAAUCCCUUGAGUUUCAUCCAUAUACCUUUUUUCCUCCCCCCACAGCCUUGCGAAGUCCUCUAGUACUCUUUCACUAACUUAUGGAAACUCUCUUCUUCCAUCCAGUGGUUGAAGAAUUUGAAAGGUCUGGGGCCCCAAUCCACUCUCCCUAGGCCCAAGAUGAUCGGGUUGUGAAAUGGAGACUGGUAAACACCUCUGGACCAGUUCGUUGUCAUUUUCCAUCAGCUUCACAUCCACCAAGAAUUAAUCAAGUCGACUAAAAGUAGGAUCCUCUAGAUUGUUACAUCAAGUGAAUUUAGAUCCGACCAGUGGUAAAUCAAACAACCCCACCUCAUUGAUGAAUUUGUUGAAUCAUGCAGCAGCUUUUCUCACAUCUCCUCUUUCAAUUCUUUCAUCUUCUAUCCUUACUGUGUUGAAAUCUCCUCCCAGUACCCAACAUAAAUCAUUACCAGUGACAAUUUGUUUUAAUUCUUCCAACAUUUCAUUUCGAUCUCUUUCAUCAUUUGGUGCAUAAAUGUUCCCAAGACCACACCUAGUAUUGCUCUUAGUAAUCACCCCAAUAAGAAUAAUGUAGUUUCUGUGACUAAUCACCUCUUCUAGCUGAAAAAAAUUUUCCUACCACAUACAUAAUAAACCUCCUACUCUACCAUCUAAACUAACAGCAUUACUCAUAAUUUUAUCUUUAACCCACAGUCUCUCAUACAUUCCUUCAUAAACAUUCUGCACUUUUGUUUCCUGUACAAAAACCAUAUUUGGCUUACAUCUGCCAAUGGCUCUCCUCAGUGCUCUCCUUUUUUUCCCCUACCUAAACCUCUGAUAUUCCAUGAUAGUAGAUUCAUAAAAAAAAAACACAACACCGAAAUUCUUACCUGACUCCCUGUUUUGGUGUUCCUUACUUCUUCCCUUCCUCUGCCUCUGCCAUUUGUUUCAAGACCUCGUUCCUCUCAGCAUCAAAUUCCAAACUUAAGCAUCUGCUUACCUCCAUAGUCUGCAAUGCCUCCUUCCAUAUGGUUUCACAUCUUGAAUCAACCCUUGAAAUUUCUCCAUGAAGUCCCUCUAAUUUCUUUUUUCGUGAUUUCACUCUAUUUUUUUUUAAUUCUUUCUUACCUUUUUUUAUUGUUUGUUUUUUUUUUUUUUUACAUUAACUUUCCCUUCCCUUAUUGCCGUUAUUUCUGUUUGUUCUGUUUCCUUUGCUCCUCCUUCUGUUUCUUGAUCCUUUAUUUUCUUUUGUCCCAUAUUGUUCUUUUUGUCCUUGCUUUCCCUCGACUUAAUUCUCCUUUGCCUUCCUUCAUCUUUCUCUUUAACUAGGUCCAUAAGCAUUAUAUCAUUUGACAUUGACAAACCCGGAUCUUUAAACUUCUGUUCCAACACCUUUCCUUGUCUUCUUAGCUUGGUUUCCACCACCCUUAACCUCUCUUCAUGGACUGAGCUUUGAGCUCCUCCACCAAAACACCUUUCUCCUUCACUAGAUUCUCUUUGUCCUAUCGUAUUAUCUUUCUCUUAAUUUUUCUUCCCCUUUCUAUUUUCCUGAUGAUUAUCAACUGAACCAACUUUUGAGCUGUCACACAAGUUGUUUCUCCUUUGUAAGCCUAAGCUUACUUUUCUCCUAUCUUGAUCUUUUGCCCCACUAGGCCCGUAAUCCAUUCUCAGGUAAUGAAGGCCCUCUCUCCCUCUUUGAAAUGCAGAAUUCCAGCCUCUCAUCUCUUCUUCUGGGCUUGUAGAACCUUCACUAGUGGCCCACUCUCUUUAUGAAACUAUACAUGUUUCCUUGCCCUUUCUUGAUGGCCUACAUGUUGCUUUUUUUGACUUUGGACUACUACUUUGUUGAUUGGCCCCACUUUCUUUUUCGUUUGACCCUAACUUCUCCUUUUCCAUUUCAAUGUGUGUGGCUUUCUUCCCCGAUUUCAAAUUUCCCUCCCUUUUCUCUUUUCCCCCCUUUGGCUUGCUCUGAACAGUCCUAUCAACUUUCUGUUGUGUUCUCUUAAGUGAAACAAGUGCAUCAUAUCUAUUUUCUAUCACCUUUCCUUGGUUUUGUUCCCUAUAAUUUAUCUGACCCAUUGAUUUCCCCUUAAGUGCCACCUCAUCAUCAUCCAUGGUGGUUGAUUUCCUCCCCAUUGUGUUAUGUUUCUCCACCCAUCAGACCUCAUUUUGCUCUAUCGGUCUUGGUUCACAACAUGCCCAUGCUUUGCAUAAGGCCUCAUCGCAGGCUUGCCUCUCCAUAUCACAUGAUUCCUCCCUAAUGAUCGAUGUUCUCAUUAUGUAUGCUUUCCCAUUCACUAUGAUCUGUUGGUUCACGGGGACAUUCUUUUUGCUCAUUAUUUCAACUUUGAUGACAGCCACAUCCAACCGACUUCUCCUUUCAGUUUCCUGGUCAACUUUAAGAAACUUUCCCCAGCAAUUACCAAUUUCUUCAAACAUUUUCAAGUUCCAUAGAUGAGUAGGAAGUUCCUCAAUUUUCACCCAUACUUGGUAUCUCCGUUCAUCUUUCUCCAUGUUGUAUGGCUUGAUGUUUUCAAACCAAACUGAGAAAAUGUCAUAAUAUUGGUCAAGCACGACUUCCAUUUCACCUUUGUUGCCAAAAGUGACUAUCACGUUGAGGCCUCCUGCUUGUCUCACAAGCACCAUAAUACCUUCCUUUUGCAAAUAACUUUGCACCUCUCUAUAACAUAUAUGACUUUCGAGAUGCCCUAAAGCACUACAUCUAAGCCAUUCAACCUCAUCCCCUGUAAUUUCAACUCUUAUUCCAUCCACCUUAUUCAAACCAAUCCCUGCCUUUGAGAUAGUUCUCCUAUUAUACCAUUAGUUACUACUUCUUUGUAUGACGACAUGCCUCUUUCUCUGAUAAGUUCUUUUAUCUUUUUUUGGACCAUUUGGUUCCUUCCUCUGCUUCCAUCCUUGGCCUUAUCAGCUUAUUUGACUAUCAGAAACCUUCCAUCCAGUUCAAUAUUUUGGCCAUACCUUAUCGCUUUUAACAGCUCAUCUUAAAAGCGAUAUCGGACAAAAGUAUAUUUUGUUUCUCUUUUUUCUAACUGUUUUGGAAUAAAGAAAUCCACAACGAUUCCAAAUCGGUCAAAAAAGUUUUUUAGGUAUUUCCAUUGCACUCUGCUGCUCACGUUAUUGACGAAAGCAGUGAAGACCCUAUUUGUCCACCUCAAAAAAUCCUAUAUUCUGUUCCUCUCUUCCCAGUUUGCCGCCCGUGUCCACCCUUCUCCCUCUCUUGCAGUCUUUCCUAAGCUACGGUAAUCUAACCAAUCUCUUACUCUCACUCUUUCUCUUCCUCAACGUCUAUUUCUCUCAACUUCUCUCUCUAAUUCUCUCUUAUGCUCUCUCAUUUUUUUUUCUUUGCCACCAUUUUUGUUACCGUCAGGCACUGUAAGUACUAAGAUUACCCUGGAUUGUUAUAGUAACAUAUUUGGAUCCUUUUCAUUUCGAACUAGCAAUUAUACAACAAUUAUAGAAUUAAUGUGGUUUGCAACCUACCUCUUCACGGUUAAGAGUCCAUUCCAGGAGCUGUCGCUUAGAUCAUUUGCAACAAUGAGUCAGUUGGAAAAUUUCCAUAACAAAACUCAUUGUUCUCAUCAAAAGAUUCAUAGAAACCUCCAAAGAAAGGCUUAUAAACAUUUUGAGAUAUUUUUAAUGGCUUUUGAUUAUAGAUUUGCCGUGGACAAAAAGAGUAGGGAGUGAACAAAAAAGAAGCCAUGAUUAAUCGUGGCUAGAUAUUAGCUUUGCAAGUUUGAUCUGUAUUUAAGAAAAAUGUUGGAGUUAAAACUUAAAACCAAUGCUGAAAAAGUUUAUUAAAAAUUGAACACAUAGCUAUCUCAACAUUUCAGUUUGACCUUGCAAACAAAUAAUUAAAUAAUAAAUAAAAACAGGUUAGCAUAUGCAGGCCAAAAAAUUGAUUUGUAAGCUAAUAGUAGUGUAAUAAAAGAAUGAAGCAAAUCCAAAACUAAUGUGCAUCUAAUUAAUUUCUUCCUUCAAAUUUUCUUUUGAUGAUUGGAAAAAUAAACUUAAAAGGAAAAAUAUAGCUUCCUAAAUCAAGUUAAAUAAACUGAGCAAACAAAACAUGAAUUUCCUUAUUAUCUUUCUUAUGUAUCUUAAGUUGCUGUAGCAGAAAGUGAAACUUACUUCAACGUAGAAUUGUGAAGAUGAACAGUGAUCAAGUUAUUAUGAAUAUAUUGUCUUAUUGUGCUCUAUUCCAAUGCCUGUGGUGUGUAAUUAUUUGAAAUUUUGGAGAACUUUGAGAGAACUCAAAUCAAAAUCAACCAUCACUUGGUUGUUCAAAUCAUCACCUUAAUUUCUCCUGGGCUAGGCAACUACAAUCCAAUUCUCACUAUGUAAACCCCAAUUUCAUGACCCUCCAUCGCCUACCUAUAUGUUAUGUAAUGUGUUGUGAGCAAGCCUAAGGCCCAAAGACAUAAGGGGUCUCAUCAGAAGAUUCUUAUGUGACUUCAACAAUAGAUAUUCCAUCUGUCCCAAAAAUAAAAAGGAUAGGCUAUAUAUAUUCCCUAGCAAUUGUCAACAGUCGGGGAUCGAAAGAUACUAACCAUAAUACUAUCUCUCCUUUCUUUCUCAUAUCCUCUCCCUCUCUAUUCUUUCCUUCUAUUCCGCCUUCGAUGAGUUCUUACUCACUUAUAAAGCAUCAGUAAAGGAAUCACAAGAAAACCUCUAAUGUUCAUUUUUUUUAGGCCCGAACGCAUCAUCUUAGCCCAGAUCAUCCAACAAGAUAAUUCACCUACAAAGACAAAUCGAAAGUAAUCUCUAAUAUUUAUUGGGAUAAUUUUUUCAACCUUUAAAGAUAGAGUAUUUUCAAAAAUAAAUUUUUUUAAUUUUAAUUAUUUUUAGCCAAGAGAAAAGAUUUUUGGACAAAAUUACCCUUAAUAAACCUUUUCAUAUUCAAGUUCUCCUAAAUUUUCUCUCCCACCAUUCGUCUGCUUUGCUCCGUAUUGUGCUAUGCUCUCAAUUUUUCUCUAUUGUCAUCCAACUUUCUCUAAUUUUACCACCAUAACUAUCUCUUUGUCUAUCUUUUGUCAUCUCGUCAUAUGAUCAAAGAGCGUGACAUGGAAGGUAACAACAAAUUCUUGGGUUUAUUAGUCUAUAUUUUGAAAACCCUCUCUCUGUCUAUCUCUUGCCAUUUCAUCGUCGAUCUAUAGACCAAAAAGCAUGGCAUGGUGGGUAACAACGGGUUCUUGGGUUUAUGGGUGUUAAGUUUCUUCAGUGAUUCAAGUCUUGUAGAACAUGCCUUAGCAUGUAAUAAAGUGAUUCAUGCUUUGGCAUGUAACAUCAGUAGAAAGAAAGAAGAUUUGGUGUGUAACAUAUGGUUCUGAAGUUUUGACCUUGGCAUGUAACAUCUGGUGUUGAAUCUUUUUUAUGAUUAUAGGAAAUGUAACAAAUAAAAUAACCUAAAAACUAAUUAUCCAAAUUUGAGAAUUUUGGAUUGUAUCUUUUUAUCUAAAUCUAUUUCAUCCCAGCCAUUUCACCCCAGUAGUAAUGUUGACAUUAAAUAAUUUUUCAAGACAUCUUCCUUUCCAUGUCAAAUUCCUUUUUGAUUAAACGUUAUCUUUAUCAUGAAUAUGUUUAACUCCAAGGGUUUAUGUUCCAUUCAAAUACAAAGAUAGAGACCACAUUACAUUUAAAAAAUGUUGUCAUUACAUGUUAGGUUAAAAAAAUGUCAUUACAGUUGAAAAAAAAAUCAUUACACACUUUAACUCCAAGAGUUUAUGCUGUAGUAAAAUAAAAAGAAGUUACAUGUUUAAAAAAUAUUAUUGUUACACGUUAUAUUAAAAAAUUUUAAGCAACACCAAAACUUUAGCACCCAAUGUUACACACCAAGGCCAAAGGUUCAACACUAGUUAUUACAUGCCAAGGUUAAAGCUUUACCACCAGAUGUUGCAUGUCAAUGUCAAAACUUCACCAUCAAAUGUUACACGCCAAGGUUAAAGCUUCAACACCAUAUAUUACAUGCCAAAGCUUCAUUCUUCCUAUUGAUGCUAAAUGCCAAGGCAUGAAUCAAUUUGUUACACACUAAGGCAUGUUCUACCAGACUUAAAUCACUGAAAAAACUUAACUCAUAAACCCAAGAACUUGUUAUUACUCACUAUGCCAUACUUUUUGGUUUGUACAUCAAUGAUGAGAUGGCAAGAGAUAGAUAGAGAGAGAGUUUUAUGAAUGUAAACCAAUAAACCCACGAAUAUGUUGUUACCUUUUAUGUCAUGCUCUUUGCUACGUAGAUCGAUGAUGAGAUGACGAAAGAUAGACAAAGAGAUAGAGAUAGUGGUAAAAUUAGAGAAAGUUGGAUGACGAGAGAGAAAAAUGGAGAGCAUAGCAGAAUAGGGAGCAUAGCAGAAUCGGACCGCUAAACGUGGUUAACUUGGGGAGUCACCACCAAUCUUUUUUUACCUAGGUGUGAUUGGUCACCUAUUAAAUUGGUUCUAUUCAACGAAAUCUUAAAUUGAUUUAAAGUCCGUCGAAAGAACGAGAAAUUGUCUAUAUUUUUUUGUCAAAGUUGAGUUCGGGAGUACAGUUACGCAUAUGGAAGGAUUAGCACCCCCGUGACGCCCGUUCCACAAAUGGUACCAUUUAAUCAUAAAUUAUCCUAACCCAUUAAUUUUAUUCUUAUGUUUCCUUAAUUGUUAUUUAUUUAUUUCAUCUUUUAUUAGAAUAUUCUAUUUCAUUUUUUACAGGUUUAACACGUAUAUUAUGCAAUUGUGAAAUGCAUGGCAUAAAAUCUGGAUAAUGCCAAACGAAAAUCCUUUAUUGAGUGUACUUUCUGAAUCCACCCAUCGUACUAGUGAGAUUCGUAAGUAUUCUCUCACCUAAGGAAAUACCUCAGCAACUCGCCUUUGCAAGUUUACUUGGUAGAUCCCAGCAUCGGGAUAGUCGUUUAUGAGUAAAAAAUAGUGUUUUCAGAAUGCAAAUCCUAAUAUGGGUAAAAGCCUCUUAUUAAAGAUAUUUCUCUGGACCUUCCCAUCGUACUAGUGGACUUCGGAGGUAUCUUUUCACCUAGGGAGUUUACCGAUGAAACUCUCAUUCGCAAGCUUUCUCGGAAAGUCCCAUCAUAGGAGCUUAUACCCGUAUAUAGAAUAUAUCUAUAUGCCAUGACAUUUAACAAUGCGACCAUGAUACGUGAUGCACUCACAAUUAUAAUGUUUGUUCCUUAUUUUAUUAUUUCUCCAUGUGAGUGUAUGCACGUUGUUUUUUANCAAACCUUCCCAUCGUACUGGUGGAGUUCGGAGGUAUCUUUUCACCUAAGGAGUUUGCCGAUGAAACUCGCCUUUGCAAGCUUUCUCGGAAAGUCCCAUCAUAGGAGCUUAUACCCGUAUAUAGAAUAUAUCUAUAUGCCAUGACAUUUAACAAUGCAACAAUGGUACGUGAUGCACUCAUAAUUUUAAUGUUUGUUCCUUAUUUUAUUAUUUCUCCAUGUGAGUGUAUGCACGUGUUUUUUAUUUACUUAUUAUCCCAUUUUUAUUUCGUUAUGUAUUUUGCUAUGCAAAUACUUAUUCAUUUCAUUAUAUGCAAAAUUUUCAAAAUUAUAUUUUUAGACCAAGUAUUUUCAUUUUAUUUAUUUUUAUUUCAUAAUUAUUAUUUGUAUAUGUAUUUUAUACAUUCCUCUUUGUGUUAUUAUUAUUGUUAACAUACUUAUUGUUAUCAUUAAUUUCUUAUUUUUUUGCAUUUUUGACCAAUUGGUAAUUGAGUAUAUGAUUUGUAUUUAAAAUUAGAAUCAUCGAAAUUCUAAAUUAGGACCUUCCCAUCAUACUGGUGAGGUCCUAAUCAAAAUUCUUAACCUAAGGAAAUCCAUUUAGAAUUGCGACUUCUCAUGUUCUGAACGGACAUCCUAUCAUCGGUAUUGAUUCUAAAGUGGUUGCUAUAUAUUUUAUAUCAUUUUUUAUUGUUAUUGUUGUUUAUUAUUAUAUUCUUAAUUAUUGUUAUUAUUAUUUUUGUUCAUUACUUUUUAUUAUUAUUAUUAUUAUUAUUAUUUAUUUUAAAACAUUCUAUAGUUUUUUUUAUUUCUAUCUAAGCUAAGCAAAUUUUUAAUUAAAUAAGCUGGAUAAGCCCUAAAUAACAAGUCCAAAUCGACAAUAAAUGGGAAAGGCCUCACCUUACUUGGGCUAGAAUGAUGGCCCAAGUUAUCUGGGCUGCACGGAGGCGUCCCAAGCCUGCUUCGUUGGUCCACUGGGCUUUCCUCCCCAAACGCACCGUUUGGGGCUCCGGAGACUCCCUCAAACGACGCCGUUUAGACUCUAAACCUGGGUAUAUAAGCCCUUUUUUUUUACCUUUUUUCUUAUUUUCACCUUUCAUUUUCUCUCUCUAGUUGGCCACUCUCUCUCUCUGCCUUCUCUCUAAAUUGACGGCAAACCUUUCUCCCUCUCUCCCUUGCUGCGACAUUGCAACUUCCUCUUUAUCUCCGUAUCCCUUUACUCCUUGUCACUGGCCGGAUUAGGAAACCAGAUUCGAGACCCCUUACGGACUGCCCUCUCUUCUCCAGCAGCCUUCCUUUGCCGCUGGCGUCCCUUCCGAUUCUCACCCUACCCACGCAAUCAACUCUCUCUUUUGCACCAAAAAUCGCCUCUCACCAAAUCUGACUAGUUUUCUCAUCUUCUUUUUUUUUUUGUUUUUGUGUUGUGUUUGUUUUGAUUUUUGAUCUUUUGUUAUUGUGGCUAGGGUAGUCUGCUGGUAGAAAACUUGAGUAUUUUGGAUUUGCACGUCUCAAUUGUUUGAAGAAAAAAAUGAGAUUUUUUGUUGAUGGAUCUAGUUUUUUUGUUUUUGCAGGAUUGAUGUUUUUUUUUUGAUCUGGCUUUCUCCGAUUUUUUCAAAAUCUGCCUACAUUUUAAAAGAUCUGGAUUGUCUAAAAUUUUGGACAAUCUCAAGAGUGCAAUCAUGUGAUUUUCGUAGGGCUCCUGGCACAAGCAAGCCCGGGGCAAGUAGUUGGAGGUGACGGGAGAGGGAGGCUGAACAAACGUUCAGUCUUUUCCCUUCUCUGUUCUUUUUUUUAAAUUUUAUUAUUUUUUAAUUUUUUUAUUAUGUUAUUUGAUUAUUUUAUUUUUAUUAUCAUUUAUUUUUUUUAAAUGGGUGUCUACAGUUGCCCCUCUUUGUACAUUCUUGAGAAUCAAGAAUAGUGCAAAGACGUAGACACCUUCUUUGGACCAAAUUAAAUAUCUUUGUUCCUUUUUUUAAUAAUCAAAAAGCUCCUCAUCUCAAAACGAGGCUAUGUAACUUAAAAAAAAUCUUGAAACUAAUUACCUGAAGGUUUUAGGAAAGGUUUUAUGAAUGUAUCCGGAGGUUUUGAAGAUGUUCCCGAAGGUUUUAGAAGAAAAGGUUGUUCCUCAUCUCAGAAUAAGGCUACAUAACUUUGAAGAAAUCUUGAAACAAAUUACCCGGAGGUUUUAGGAAUGUACCCGGAGGUUUUAGAAGAAAAACUUGUUCUCAUCUUAGAAUGAGGCUACAUAACUUUGAAGAAAUCUUGAAACCAAAUACCUAGAGGUUUUGGGAAUAUACUUGAAAGUUUUACAAAUGUUCCCGGAGGUUUUGGAAGAAAAAGUUGUUCCUCAUCUCAAAAUGAGGCCACGUAAUUUUGAAAAAAUCUUAAAACAAAUUACCCAAAGGUUUUAGGAAUGUGCCCGGAGGUCUUGAAGAUGUACCCGGAGGCUUUAAAAGAAAAAGGUUGUUCCUCAUCUCAAAAUGAGGUCAUGCAACUUUGAAGAAGUCUUAAAACUGAUUACCCGGUGGUUUUAAAGAUGUACUCGAAGGUUUUGAAAAUGCACCCAAAGGUUUUAAAAGAAAAAAGUUGUUUCUCAUCUCAAAAUGAGACCACGUAAUUUAAAUUUUCUCGUGCCAAGAUAAUAGGGCUUAGACGUGUUGGAUGCCAGCUACAGUGGGCUUAAACAUAUCGGUGCCAAUAUAACUGGGCUUAAACAUCUUGGAUGCCAGCUAAAUUGCGCUUAAACUCCUUUUGUGCCAACGUAACUGGACUUAUACAUAUUGGAUGCUACUUUAAUUGGGCUUAAAUCUCUUUGUGUCAAUAUAACUGGGCUUAAUCAUUUUGGAUGCCAGCUAAAUUGGGCUUAACUCCUUUUGUGCCAACAUAACUAGACUUAAACAUCUUGAAUGCCAACUAAAUUGAGCUUAAACUCCCUUGUGCCAAUGUAACUGGACUUACACAUCUUGGAUGCCAGUUUGAUUGGGCUUAAACUCCUUUUGUACCAACGUAACUGGACUUAUACAUCUUGGAUGCCAGUAUAACUUGGGCUUAAAUCUCUUUGUGCCAACGUAACUGGACUUAUACAUCUCGGAUGCCAGUUAAAUUGGGCUUAAAUCUCUUUGUGCCAACGUAACUGGACUUAAACAUCUUGGAUGCCGGUUAAUUGGGCUUAAAUUCUUUCAUGCCAACAAAAAUGGACUUAUACAUCUUGGAUGCCAGUUAAAUUGGGCUUAAGACUCAAAUCUUUCUUCACUUAAUUGCUUGAAAACUGCAUUAGUCUUGAUAUUCGUUUGAAAAUUUCAAUUUUGAUGAUGCAAGGUCAUGUGCUGAUUGGGCAUGUAUGCAUAAUUGAAUGAUGGACAAAUGAUGUAUUGCUUCCUUUUGUUUUGCGCCAUAUAUUCCUCACUUGAAAGAUCAUUUUUCUUGUCUUCACAUUUUUUGACGAUGUUCUUGUGCAGUAGCCAAUUUCUUCGCCUUCAAAGAACCUUUUUGUUAAUCUCGUCAUAUUAAUUUAAAUUCUUGAAACCACUUUUCUACAAUGGAUGCGAACAAAAGCUCACCAGUUCAAAUUGGAUUUCAAUGCUUCCACACUUAUUGAUCAUGAAAGCUCUUCCUUGCAUUGCUUUUUCCCAUCUCUUCUUUUUUUUUUUUUGAAAUGAAUUUUGUCUUUUUCAAAAGUGCUUGUCUGAUCUCACAAAGAUCAUAAAGACUCUCAUUUUUCUUUUUUCCUUUUUGUUUUCAAAAACAUCUUAAUUUUAACAAAAUCACAACAAAAUUGCCCCACACAAUUAUUUCCAUGAUCAAAGAUAGUUGAAUCUUGGAGCAAGAAUGUAUCAAAUCCACACUUUUCUUGCGGAAGUGAUAAAAUAUCCAAGUUUGGAAAAACAUGUGAUAUUUGAAUCUCUUAAAAAUCAGUGAUUACCAUUUAAAAUGACUCGGGUGGGUCAAGUCAUAAUUUGAUCUUUCAAAUGGAUUGAAAGGUUUAACAAAUUAAAGUCUUGCAAAAAGGUCUUGCUAUUUUAUGGGGAAAUGAAGGAUCAAUAUUUCUUCGUCCAAGCUCACAAAUGUUGCACGAUUUUCUCAAAUUUGUACUCUCUGAAAAUCAAAUUCUUUACAAAAAGACUCAUUUCGGAUUGCAAAUCAAUUUUGACACUCUCUUGUCUCAUGAUGUGUGGCAUUUUGAUAGAUGUCAAGACUAGCUUUAGAGACUUCAGAUUUGUAAGGUUAUUUUGGAAGAGAAUGGCUCAAAGUUCAGCAUUGGUUUUAUGACAAAUCUUGAAUUUUACAUUCUUGGACAUUUGAAGGGUCUCCAAUGCACUCUAGUUGCUUUGAAAUGAUCUCUAUUGUGCUUCUUAUCAGUCAAAAUCACAAGUGGUUUCAUAAGUUCCCAUUUUUGCUCUAGGUUGCCUUUUCAGGUUUUCACCCUAGAGCUCAUUUUUUUCUCUUUUCUCUUUUUUUCCCUUUUUUUUAUUCUCCUUGUCAUCUCUUUUUUCUUUUUUUCAUCGAUUGUUCCAUCAUGCACUUGAAAAAGAUUCAAACUCUAUCCAAAAUGGAUUGACGGAUUGACACGGAUCAUCAUGGCAAAGAAAAAGAGACCAAGGCCUCAUGGAUUUUAUAAUGUCUUUUUCUAGAAAAAAUCUCUUCAAUUUAAGCAUCCAUACUUGAUCAAAAUGGACUUUUUUAAAACAUGUAAUGUAGGUUAAGGUUAGGGGCUUUGAUAGAAUGGGUAAAAAGGCUCAAAACAUUAUAUUUAAGGGUGUUCAACCAAGGAUCAUUCAUGUGAAAAUCUUCUAAGACAUUUGUCUUUUCAAUUUUUCAAAGCAUAUUUUUCCAUCAAUUUUCUUUUUCUUUUUUUUUCAUCACUUUUGAUCAUCUUUUCCAAUUUUUUUUUUGAUGGGUUUAAAACUCGAAUUCUUUUGCCUUCGCCUCUUUAUACAGGGUGUUUUAUUUCUUCAAAUGAGAUCUUGUCCUCCUUGUUCUUGGACAAUAUUCUCAUACAUAUUUGCCCUUCCAAUAUGAGAGGUGAUCCUUGGUCAAGGUGUAUUUAGAAAGAAUUUGAUAGGCUCAAAGGGGUAGCAAGCGGAUAAUUUCUCAUUUGCAAAUGGGAGAAUGAAACAUGGCCACUUCUCAUAUCAAAUAUGGUUACUUGCCUUGAAGAGCAAUCCUUAGAAUGGAUGAAUAUUGAAGUUCUUUUUUUUUUCUUUCUUUGGCAUUGUUUGAAUGUCUCAAGUACAUGCUGUUACUAUCAACUUUUCUCACUAUUCUCUUAUUUUCUUUUUUUCCUUUUUUUUUUCAUACCUUCACAACUCACAGCUUGACUCAAAUUUUCUAAAAUGAAAGAUUCACUGAAGAUGCCCUUCCUCGAUCAACCACUCAAACGAAGACUUAAGCAACAACUCUAAGCAAUUAUGACCAUUUCAAAGCCUUCAGAGAUCUCAUUUCAAUCCUCAAUUUCAAAAAUUGCUCUUGUUAGCAUUUCUAAAUGAGGGAGAAACAAAGGUUAUUUUACAAGUCAGUUGUCUUGAAAGUAUUGGAAAAUUUUUCCUCUUCUAACCAUCUUGCCCCCCAAGUAUGGAUGGAGGACAACUUUAGGCAAUGGGUGGAAAGGUUCACAUUUUGGAUCAGAUUGAAAAAAGUUAAGUGGUUUUGAUGUAUUUGAAGCUCUGGCUAGUCUUGACACUUAUCAAACUACCAAAUUCAGAUUCUCUCCAAGAGUGCAAGAUUUUCUUUAUUUUUGGAAAAAUGAAUUUUACCUUGUCACAACAUUGAUCAUUACUUAGACGAAGACCAUCAUCCUUAGAUGUCAAAUGAUAAAACAAAUGAAGUUUCAGAGCUUUUGCUUAUUUUUGGAUUCUGGCCCUUGAAUGGCCUUUAUUCACUUGGUUAAGGGAUUGAGAGUGUUUAAAGGUAUGGUUUGAGAAUGUUUAUGAAAAUGAGUUCAUUUGCAAAUAGCAACCACCAAUUCUUUCGAAAUUCUUUUCACCAUUUAUUUUACAAGAACCUUUUCUUUUUCUUUUUUUUUUUAUGUAUGAUUUUGGAAACAAGUAAUAUGGGGCUUUAUUUUUAAAAUUGCUAACAUUCAAAGAACUCAUUUCUUUUUUUUUUUUAGAAAGAGAAAUAAAUAAACAAGAACCACAAGAAAUUUGAGCAAUUUUGAAACUCAAUUUGACUCAUGACAGCAUGUGAUGAUGAAAACUAAACAAUCACUCAUCUCAAAUUACAUGAUCAUGCAUGAAAGACAAAAGUCCAUAUUUCCAAGAGUUUCUACCUUCAAAGCAUGUACACAACUAGAAAAUGAUCAAGGAUUGCCCCCGAAUUGGCAUACCACUCAAUUAUUCCAAAACCCAAGCCUUGUAUCCAUCACCCUUGAUUUUUAUAGUUGUUGACAAGUUCUUUGAAUUUAGUUGGGUUUUCAUCGAUUAAACCUUGAACUUUGUUCUUGAAUGCAAUGCAAUUCUCUGUGGAAUGACCUUCAACCCCAUAAUGGUAAUCACAUUUAACAUUUGGGUUAUACCAUCUUGGGUAAGGAGAUUUCCUAGGCUUGGGAGGAAUAAUAGAGAUCUUAUAGUUUUGUACCAAUAAAGGGAAAAGCUCUACAUAGGGCAUUGGUAAUGAAUGGUACACUUUGGCUUUCUUUCUCCUGUUGCUUUGAAGGUAAUCUGGAUUAAUUUCUUGGUCAUUUGAAGUGGACAUGUAAGGUAAAGGAGCUUGUGCAAGUGAUGAUUGAGUGAAAGGUCGAGAUAGAUUAUGGACAUAUGCUGAUGGGUGUGAAUGAGCGCCCAUAAGAUCUCCUUCUAUGUCACAAAAUUUCCUUUUAUUUCUCUUUUCAAAAGCCAUUGCUUGAACUCCUUUAUCAAAAACAUCAUAUUCUCAUUUGACAAGAUCAUUUGCUCGAAAGUCUACAAUCUUUCCCUUUCUUAUUCCAUCUUCAAUCCUUCCCACGGAGAACACCAAAUCCAAAAAAUCUGAAUUAGCAUUACCCACCAAUUUGUCGUAAUAUGGAGGAGGAAGAGUAUCAAUAAAUAGAGAAUUUAAUUCUCUAUUAGUAAGGGGUGGUUGGACUUGUGAUGCUACUUCCUUCCACUUAUAAGCAUACUCCUUGAAACUUUCAAAAGGGUUUCUUUCCAUGUUUUGGAGGGUUAUUUGAUCAGGAAUUGCUCUUAGCCUAUGCAUAUAUUGUCCCAAAAAUGCUCGGGCUAAAUCUGUCCAUGUGCAAAUACGAUUUUUCUCUAGCUUGAAGUACCAUUUAACCGCAGCCCCUUUCAAACUAUUUUGAAAAAAUGAAUGAGCAAUUUCUCAUCAUGGACAUAUGGAGACAUCUUGUUGCAAUACAUGAUCAAAUGUGCUUUAGGGCAUUUGGUUCCAUCAUACUUUUCGAACUCUGGGACUUUAAACUUGGGUGGGAUAACUACAUUAGGCACCAAACUUAAUUCCUUUGCCUUAACGAAAUCAUAGAGAUCCAUUCCUUCUAUGGCUUUAAAGCGUUCUUCUAAAAGGUCAUACUUCUGUUGUACUCUCGAUUUUUCUCUUGAACUUGAUAAGUCAAGUGUAGGAACCUGAUUAGAAAAAAUUACCCUUGGAAUUUGCAUAGUUUGCCUUUGUGUCGACGACUGACUUAAUCCUUGAAAACUUGAAAAUCCUUCGAUAGUCACCUUCCUUUCAUUGGCAUUCACCAUCUCCAUUAGCUUUGUCAACUGUUUUCUAAUCUCUUCCUGGGUCUUCUCCAUCUUGUUUAUCAAAUUUGAUUGAUCAUCUCCCAUAAUUCUAGCUUGAGCCCCUGUAUUGUGCCAAUCGUAAGUGGGCUCCCUUGAACUUUUCUCUUUUCACAAUAUAUAAUGUGAAAAGCAACGAUAAUCUUGCUUCUUCUUUCAUGAAAUGUAGUAAAGUCAAGUGAUGCUACUUGCCACAAAGGAAGGUGAAUGAUGCAUGCAUGUGUAUCCAAAUCGAAGAAUGUUUGAAUGCAUGAUGGGAUGAUUAAAUGUUUGACAAUUGAUUUGAAACACAAAGACACUUGAUUAUGAAUAAUGCUCCAACACGAUUACAUUUCAAACAAACUUUCUUUUUCAUUUUUUUGAUUUUUUUUAAACAACAUCUAAGAAAAUGUCUCAAAAGUUAACAUAAUUCUUCACGAACACGAACUUACUCUUACAAGAUUCAAAAGAAGUUAAAGAUUAAAAUGUCCUAAGGUCUAAAAAACUUAAAAAAAAAUCAACACAGUCAAUCCUUCUUUCGUCUGACACUCAAUUGUACUCUCCAUAACCAUACCCCAUCAUCUUUGCUAGAUCGAACCAUUUGGCAUCUAUUAAUGUUUGCACUCGAUACUUGAAGGCGUCACAAUCUUCGAUGGAAUGUCCCAUAGCUCCACCAUGAUAAUCACAUCUUGCAUCAGACUUGAACCACUUUGGGUAUAGAGGCCACAAGGGUUCCAAAGGCACCGAGACAAUAAGAUGAUCAUGAACUAAUUGAUAAAAGAGUUCUUUGUAGGUGACAGGUAUAGGGUCAAAUUAUUUUUUCUUUUUGGAUUAUUUUUGAGGGGUGCCUAUACUAGGAGUAGGGGUGAUUGAUAAUUGUGCUCGUGGUUGGCUUUAAAAGGCCUGUUGAAAAUGAGGUCGAAAAGUGCUUGAACAGGAGUAAGAAUUUAGCCGUAAAUUGAUUUUCGUAGGUUGAAAAGUGGUGGGUGGAGAAUAUGACCUUGGUUGCAACCCAUUGCUCUGGGGUUGUGUAGCAUUUGGAGAUCCCAUCUUGGUCAUGAAACUUUUGAACUCAAUCAUUUGCAUGUUCAACUCAUCCAUCCCUUUUACAAUUUUUUUUAGACCUUGAUAUUUACUUGAGCCACUGAGCAACGUGUUGGGUUCAUCAAGGACAAAUUGAAUUUUAUUCAGAGAUUGUUUCUAGUGUGGUUUGAUUUGAAGCAAUGAGGACUCUAGAAGGUGAUUUCCUUUGGCUUCAUUGAGACAUUCAACCAUUUCCAUCAAUUUGGUUAUCUGCCCUUUGAUCUCUUGAAGGUUAUGUCUAAAUUCUUCUUGAUUGCGUUCCAAUGCACUUAUCCUUGCUUCCAAUUGAUGUUCCAUAUCGUUUAAUCCUAGCUUGGGUUCAGAUGAUGACCUAAACCAAAAUAACUUAGAAACAAAAGUUUAGAAUUUUACUAAAAAUUUUUCAAAAAGGGAUUUAUUUUCUUUCCUAUAAAGCUAACAACACUGUAGGGUUUUUCUUUAUUAGAACAAAUAUGAAAUGAUUGCAUGUAGAUGAAAAUAUGAUAUUUGCAUGUAUGCAUGAAAUGUUAUGAUGCCUUGAUGCAUGGAUGGUAUGAAAUGAAAUGGAAGACCAUAUUAUCGAAAAUCAUGUAUAGUGAGAGGUAGAAAACUUUAUUCAAAACUAAAGUCCCUUUCUUUUUGUGGUUUUUGAAGAAAAUGGAAGAAGUAAAAAAACCUUUUUAUGUUCUCUCUUCUUGCUGCUUAAAUGGAUAACCAUUUUCUUUUUCUUUUCUGUUUCACAAGAAGCAUUAUUUUCUCUUUUUACAUUCCUCAUUUAUUUUUGUAUGAGAAGAAGUUUUUCUCUCUUUUUUUCUUUUAUUUUUAUGGAUAAAAGGAACUAAAAACCUCUCUUUUUUUUUUAGAAGACCUCACUCGAAAGAAAUGCCUUUCUUUUUUUUCCUUUCUUUAUAUAUUUUUAUUUUUUUUUUCUCUUUCUCUCUUCUUUCUUUCUUUUUUUUUUCAUGAAAGAAGAAACACACUCCCUCUUUUUCAUGUUUAUCCUUUAUUUUUAGGAGAAAAUAAAAAAGCUAUUUUUCUGAGAUAUUUAAAGUAAAAGUACAGAGAAAAGUGUUCUAAAAAUAAUGAACGUAAAAAAUCUUGCUCCUCUCUUUUUUUUUUAUGGAAACAGAAAGAAAAUUUUUUUGUUUUUUUUUUUUUUUUUUUAAAAUCACUUUAACAUGUGUUACUUUUAUUUUAUCAAAAAAGGCUAUUAAGAUAGAUUUGUUCCUUCACGUGUCCUAAAUUAGGGUGUACUGCUCAUGACAAGUUCAGUAAGGUUCUGUCUAUGGGAUGGCCCCUUAUGGUUUUUUAUAUAUUGAGUUUGGUUUUGAAUGAGGCUAAAGGUUCCCAAAUUGUUCUUCACUAUCGUCCAUAUGGACUAGUAAGGCACCCCAGUCCUCACCCAUUACAAGCUUCAAACGGACUAGAUUCGAUCUGAGUGAGAGUUUUCACUAGCCCAUGCAGAGAUUAUCACCUCACGAGAGCGUAGCUACUAAACUCUCUCCUAAUAAGGACAAAACUUGGGUAGAAGGCUUAUGCAUGAAUGCAACAUGUGUUGUGUGUGUGAAGGAACAUACCAGCCUUUGACGGACAAUCUCACAUCCCUUUAUCCUAAAUGCCCCACAAUUUAAAAAAAAAAACAACAAAAAUAAAGAUCGUGAAUCAAUUAAUGCACAAAACCAUAAUGCCAAAAGAAAAUGCUCAAAUUUAAAGGAAACACUACAUUAUUUACGGCUUUAGGAUAACUUAUGAUUAAUUAUGUCUCGACUCUCUAGUGUCCCCAGUGGAGUAGCCAAGCUGUUUGUAACGUGCAGGUCCGGGAACCCGACCGCUAGACGUGGUUAACUUGGGGAGUCGCCACCAAUCUUUUUUUACCUAGUCCUCAUUACCUAUUCAAUGAAUCUUAAAUUAAUUUUAAGUCCGUCGAAAGAACAAGAAAUGGUCUACGUUUUUUUGUUAAAGUUGAGUUCGGGAGUACAGUUACGCACAGGGAAGGAUUAGUAGCCCCAUGACGCUCGUUCCACGAACGGUACCAUUUUAUCAUAUACUAUCCUAACCCAUUAAUUUUAUUCUUAUGUUUCCUUAAUUGUUAUUUAUUUAUUUAAUCUUUUAUUAGAAUAUUUUAUUUUAUUUUUUACGAGUUUAACGCGUACAUGAUGCAAUUGUGAAAUGCAUGGCAUAAAAUCUGGAUAAUGCCAAAUGAAAAUCCUUUAUUGAGUGUACUUUCUGAAUUCGCCCAUCGUACUGGUGGGAUCCGGAAGUAUUCUCUCACUUAGGGAAAUACCUCAGCAACUCGCCUUCACAAGUUUACUUGGUAGAUCCUAGCAUCGGGAUAGUCGUUUGUGAGUAAAAAACAGUGUUUUCAUGAAUGCAAAUCCUAAUACAGGUAAAAGCCUCUUAUUAAAGAUAUUUCUCUGGACCCUCCCAUCGUAUUGGUGGAGUUCGGAGGUAUCUUUUCACCUAGGGAGUUUACUGAUGAAACUCGCCUUCGCAAGUUUUCUCGGAAAGUCCCAUCAUAGGAGCUUAUACCCGUAUAUAGAAUAUAUCUAUAUGCCAUGACAUUUAACAAUGCAACCGUGAUACGUGAUGCAUUCACAAUUCUAAUGUUUGUUCCUUAUUUUAUUAUUUCUUCAUGUGAGCGUAUGUACGUGUUUUAUAUUUACUUAUUAUCCCAUUUUUAUUUCGUUAUGUAUUUUGCUAUGCAAAUACUUAUUCAUUUCAUUAUAUGAAAAUUUUCAAAAUUAUAUUUUUAGACCAAGUAUUUUCAUUUUAUUUUUUUUUAUUUCAUAAUUAUUAUUUGUAUAUGUAUUUUAUACAUUCCUCUUUGUGUUAUUAUUAUUGUUAACAUACUUAUUGUUAUCAUUAAUUCCUUAUUUUUUUGCAUUUUUGACCAAUUGGUAAUUGAGCAUAUAAUUUGUAUUUAAAAUUAGAAUCAUCGGAAUUCUAAAUUAGGACCCUCCCAUCAUACUUGUGAGGUCUUAAUCAAAAUUCUUAACCUAAGGAAAUCCACUUAGAAUUGUGACUUCUUAUGUUCUGAACGGACAUCCUAUCAUCGGUAUUAAUUCUAAAGUGGUUGCUAUAUAUUUUAUAUCAUUUAUUAUUAUUAUUGUUGUUUAUUAUUAUAUUCUUAAUUAUUGUUAUUAUUAUUUUUGUUCAUUACUUUUAUUAUUAUUAUUUAUUUUAAAACAUUCUAUAGUUUUUUUUUAUUUUUAUCUAAGUUAAGCAAAUUUUUAAUUAAAUAAACUGGAUAAGCCCUAAAUAAGAAAUUCAAAUCCACAAUAAAUGGGAAAGGCCUCACCUUGCUUAGCCUAGAAUGAUGGCCCAAGUUAUCUAGGCUGCACGGAGGCGUCCCAAUUCUGCUUGUUUGGUCCACUGGGCUUUCAUCCCCAAACGCGCCUUUUGGGGCUCUGGAGACUCCCUCAAAUGACGCCGUUUAGACUCUAAACCUAGGUAUAUAAGCCCAUUUUUUUGCCUUUUUUCUUAUUUUCACCUUUCAUUUUCUCUCUCUAACCAGCCACUCUCUCUCUCUGCCUUCUCUCUAAGCCGAUGGCAAACCUUUCUCCCUCUUUCCCCUGCCCCGACGCUACAACUUCCUCUUUAUCUCCCUAUCCCUCUACUCCUCGUCGCUGGCCAGAUUAGGAAACCAGAUUCGAGACCCCCUACGGACUACCCUCUCUUCACCGACAACCUUCCCUUGCUGCCGGCGUCCCUUCCGAUUCUCACCCUACCCACGCAAUCAACUCUUUCCUUUGCACCCAAAAUCGCCUUUCACCAUAUCUGACUAGUUUUCUCUUCUUUUUUUUUUGUUUUUGUGUUGUGUUUGUUUUGAUUUUUGAUCUUUUGUUAUUGUGGCUAGGGUAGUCUGCUGGUAGAAAACUAGGGUAUUUUGGAUUUGCAAGUCUUGGUUGUUUGAAGAAAAAAUGAGAUUUUUUGUUGAUGGAUCUAGUUUUUUUGUUUUUGCAGGAUUGGUGUUUUUUUUUUUUGAUCUGGAUUUCUCCGGUUUUUUCAAAAUCUACCUACAUUUUACAAGAUUCGGAUUGUCUAAAAUUUUGGACAGUCUCAGGAGUGCAAUCAUGUGAUUUUUGCAGGGCUCCUGGCACAAACAAGCCCAGGGCAAGUAGUUGGAGGUGACGGAGAGGGAGGCUGAACAAACAUUCAGUCUUUUCCCUUCUCUGUUCUUUUUUUUUUUUAAUUUUUUUAUUAUGUUAUUUGAUUAUUUUAUUUUUAUUAUCAUUUAUUUUUUUUAUUUUUUUAAAAUGGGUGUCUACAAAAUGACUGGCAGGAGAGAAAAUUUUAGAGCAUUUAAUUUGUUUGAAAUGGUUUUAAGGGUAUUUUUGUCAUCUCAUGGCUAAAAUUGGUUCAAAACAGUUAACUUUAUAUUGAAGGUUAUGUUUGAAAUGAGCUUAUGAGUAGCAUUGUUUCUUACAAUUUCCUCAUAUUUAUUUGUUCAGAUUGGUUGCUUCAAGACUACGCAUCACCAAUAUUACAUGGAUAAUCAUAUUAAAAUAUUAUAAUGAUUAACAAUGUAACAAGUAGAACCUAAUUGUGUCCUUAUUGUAGAAUUCACUGAACACUUGAGCUAUUACAAGUUGAUGAAAUACAUAAUUUUUUUUUAAAAAACCCUAAUUUUUGACACCUUUAAAAGUUAUAAUUGUACAUGUUUCUAACUUUUAUUUUUCUUUUUUCCCAUUAGAAAUAUAAGCAAUAUAACUAAAAUCUUAUAUCUCUUUAUAAGUGUUUUUUAUGAGAUUAUUUUUACAAAUAAAAAUUAUAAUUACAUAAUAUAACUUUUAAUAUAUACUAUAAUAUAAAAUAAAUUUAUAAAUAAACCAAAAGUUAUCCACCCAAUAAAAUAGAUCUAUAUAAUACAAUAAUAAAAUUUAUUUGGCUUGAGUUUUCAUAGCAUAACAUAAAACUAAAGACAAUUUUGAAAAUUCAAUAAAUUAAAGAUAACAUCCUAAAGCAACCAUCAUGCGAAGAAAAAAAAUCAAGACAGACACUUGCCUCCGAAAUAAAGAAAAGGAAACAACCAAUUACUAGGUAAAAUAAAAGCACCUUGACCUUGAUAAGUUGAACUUGCACUCAAACUUAUUUUCUCGAUUUGGGAUUCAAAGGAGUCCAAUGGAAACGUCAUCAACAUGAUGGUAUUUUCAUCAAGCUUGCUUGUUCGAACCCUUCAAAAACUUGAUUUUGAUCUUCUUCAGCUUAGCAACGAUGUUUUUAAUGUUAAUCCUUUCUUCUGGCAACUCUUUUGAACAUUCUAAUGCCAUUGCAAAAUAGACAAUGCACAAUCUUUUAUUGCAAAAAUGUUCUCACUCCUUGGUAGUAAUUAGCAAAUUGGCAUCUACAAUUUGAGUUAAUGCACAUGGUAAUGACUCAGUCACCCAAUGUAUUAAGCUCAUUUCUCCAACAAACAUUUCAUCUGUGGGCUUUUUUCUUGUUAAGGUUUCAAUUAGAAGAAUACCAAAACUGUACACGUCGCCUUUUAUGGAAACAACUCCUUGUGUUCCAUAUUCUACAUGCAAGUCAUUAAAAAAGCAAUCAUCAAAGUAUGCCAAGAUUUUACAUGAAUUAUCAUAAUGAAUAAAAAAAGUUUAAAAGUUAAGCAUUACCUGGUGCCAUAUACCCAAUUGUUGCUAGUGUUAUGGUUUGUACUGUUGAAUCCUCUUCACCUAAUAGCUUUGCAAUGCCAAAAUCACCCAAAUGUGCAACCAUAUCUUCAUCUAAUAGAACAUUGCUGGGUUUUAAAUCACAAUGGGCCACAAGAAUUGUCUGACCAUGAUGGAGGUAUUCUAAUGCAGAUGCCACAUCAAUCAUAAUGUUCAACCUAUGCAAAAUAUCAAGACAAUAGUUAUGAGAGUAUAACCACUUCUCGAGACUUCCAUUAGGCAUGAACUCAAGCACCAAGGCUUUAAAAUCUACAUUGCAGCAACUACUGAUGAUUUUGACUAAAUUCCGGUGGCGAAUGUUGCGCAAGACCUCACACUCAACUUCAAAGCUCUUGAAUGAUCCUUCUACCUCCAAAUUAAAGACUUUUAUGGCAAUGUUCAAUCCAUCUGAAAGAGCACCUUGGUAUAUUGAGCCAAAACUCCCCACACCAAGUAGUUUGCUUUCACAAAAACCAUUUGUGGCUUGAUGAAGCUCUUGGUAUGAAAUUCUUCUCCAAUUUGCUAAACCAAUCGAAUUUUCUUGAUCAAUUUGUUGCUUUGAAUGCUUUCUUUGGCUUUGGAAGAAGAAGACAAUUAAGGCAAGAAUUAAUAGCGUUGAGCUAACUGGCAAUAGAAUAAAUUCUAUAAGCUUAGUAGCUUUCCUUGAAUGUUUAGUAGAAUUACUUGUGCAUGGUGGGAGUUGCGGUCGAGGUGCACCACAUAGCGCUUCACUGCCCAUAAAUGAUUGAAUUGUGCAGUUGGCAAAAGGUCCUCCGUUAGGAAUUUCGCCAUGCAGUCUAUUGAAUGAGACAUUCAAAUACUCAAGAUGCAAGAGUUUUUGCAAGGACUUUGAAAUAAUUCCAGAAAAAUUAUUCCUUGACAGAUCCAAGAAUUCCAAUCCUAUCAGCCCACCAAAUAGCUCAGGUAUAGACCCAUACAAUCUGUUACCGGAUAAUGAAAGAUGAGUUAGGUCUUCAAGAUCACCAAUGCUAAUCGGAAUUUCACUUGACAACUGAUUUUCGGAAAAGUCAAUAAUUGUAACAACCUUCCAAUUUCCAAUGUCAACUGGGAGAGCCUUGCUAAGAAAAUUGGAAGACAAGUUUACUUGCAAGAUAUCUAUAAGCCGUGUGAAGGUUGAGGGAAUUGAGCCAAUCAACUUGUUGGAGUCAACAAAUAGCUCUCUAAGAGAAAUGAUAUCACCCAAGCAUGCCGGUAUUGGUCCACCCAAUUUGUUACUUGUGAGAUACAAGAAACCCAAACUCUGUAAACGGCAUAAGUCAGAUGGAAGGGAUCCUUCGAACUUAUUGUCUUCAAGGUAAAGACCUUGCAACUUUUCUAAUCUUCCGAUUGUGGUCGGAAUAGAUCCUAUCAAUUCAUUGUUAUUUAUGUUCAGGCGGAUCAAGUUGCUUAGGUUGCCAAUCUCUCCAGGAAUGUUGCCUCCAAUGUUGCAGUACGAAGCAGUGAAUAUUUGUAGGGAAGUAGAGAGAUUUCCUAUAGACUUGGGAAGUUCACCAUCGACCAAUGGAUUAGCAUCAAAUCUCAAGAACGUCAAGUUUUUGCAAUAUGCUAAGGAUGAGAGAAAGCUGAUUUCUGGGGUCGAAGGUGUGCUAGCUAAAGUAUUAUUUUCUAGCUUGAGCUGUUUCAGAUGUCUUAGAUUUCCGAGAUCAUUGGGAAUAUAUACAGAAAAUGAAUUAUAUGACAAGUCCAGGUCUGUUAGCUUAGAGGCAUUGGAGAUGGAGGUAGGUAUUGUUCCACUGAAUGCAUUUAUAUCAAGAAAAAGCCGUUCAAGUUUUGGAAGCCAACGUCCUGUGCUCCACGGAAGACAACCUGAGAGAUGGUUUAAAGAGAGUGAAAUGACCCUUACAGUUGAGCUAUUAAAGAUAGCAUGAGGGACAUGUCCGGAGAUACUGUUAUUUGCCAAGUUCAAAUAGUCCAAAUUUGGCAGGUUGCCUAUCUCGAGUGGUAUUUUACCUGCCACAAAAUCAGAAGUCAUUUGGAUUUGUUCAUGUGAUCCAGAAGUAAAUAACAAAAUUACUGAUAAAAAUUGUACACACAUCUCUAGUUUUAUAUUUUAUAUUAUAGACACAUAUAACAAAGAGUCAAACAAUAUUAUUCAAAUAUUUACAACAUUUGCAGCUUUACAGAAGCUUAACAUACAUAAGAAAAAAUGUAACUUAUUUACUGUCAAUUUUUUAAUGGAAAAAUCAAUUGCUUUUUGAAAGUUUAAAUUACCUAUCUGUUAAGGAACUUCCCUUGUAUAAUGAAAUUGAUCCCUUAAUUGUUUCAAAUUUAGCAACAACUUAUAAAGCCCAUUUGUUUGUCAAACGGAACGAUCAAAAUUAUUAAACAAAGUUUUGGAAUUUAGAUAAUACAAAGCAAUAUAAUCUUGCACUUUGUAGCUAAUUUAUUAUAAUUUUGGCAUAAUUCUCCAAUAAGCCCUUAAACUAUUCAAGAAUAUUUAAAAAAACCCUUAUUCUUUUAUUACGUCCAAUCAAGCUCCUAUAUUUUUAUUUUAGAUCAAAUAAACCCUUAUAACGAAUGAUUGAUUAAUUGCCAUUAGUAAAAAUGUCACUUGUCAUUUUAUAUCCACACGACACUGACAUGACAUUGAUACAGAGGGUGAAAUAUACCACAUGGUCAUAUUUUCAUGUCAAAUUAACAUGUCAUAUCAUCAUCAAUUAUGAUAUGUUAACAUAUUACAUCAUUAUCAAUUAUUAUAUUUUAGCAUAUCACAUCAGUGCACAUGGUAUAGAAUUACAAAUGACAUUUUAAUUAAUUCAAAUCAUUAGUCAUAAGGACUUAUUUAACUGAAAAUAAAAGUUGAAGGGCUUAUCUGGCUCAAAAUAAAAGUACAAGAGUUUGACUGAAUGCAAUAAAAGAAUAAAGGCUUAUUUGAAUUUUCUUGAAUAAUUUAGGGGUUUUUUUGUAUAUUAUGUCUAUAAUUUUUUUAUUUAUACAAUAUAAUGAAAUUAUAUUAGAAAACGUUGGAAAAAAAUAACAUAUAUAGAUAAGUAGAUAAUACAUUUGAAUUUUGGGUUGAAUGAUUCAUCAACAAAAUAGAAAUACAAUACUUGAUUAUAAAAGAAAACGGAAAUUAAAAAAAGGUGAAGGUCAAUGUUAAAAUUUAAUUUAAAUAAAAAACCAUGAGAUUAAAUAAAGAGUGUGACACUAUUACCAAAAGCUAAAAAAAUAUUAAAAAAAGAAAGAUGUGGAAAAUCCAGAUAAUAUCAUAAGACCAAAAAGAGGUAAAAUAUUAAAACAUGAGAAUUUGAUGAAUAAACUACUUGUUACAAUAAUUAGUUGAUGCAAUAUACUUAGAGCAAUUAGUAUUUACAAUUAAAUAUUUGAGAAAAUCUAUAAACUAAACAGUGAUAGUGAGUUUAAUAGAAAAAAGAAUAAGGUUGAAAGCAAAAUGAAAUUCAGAAAAAAUAGCUAUAUAACUAUAUUUAUUUAUUAUUUUUAAAGGAUCCAUAGGGAUCGAAAUUUACAAAUUUAAGGACAUUUUCAUCUUAUUUUGUCCAUUCCUCUUCCCCCUAAUCCCAUAAUUGCAAUGGACAAAAAAAGAAAGAAAGAAAAUUCUUGGGUUUCGAUGUAUGAAAUGAAGACUAUAAUAAGAGUGUGAAUAAUAAUAUUUAUUCACAUAUUAAAAUUUUGCAGCUAUAUAAAAACUGAACACAGAUAAAUAAGAAUGUGAUAUAUUACCUGUCAAAUAAUUGAAGCUAACAUCAAGUACUUUCAGAAGUGUUAGGUUACCAAUGGUGGAAGGAAUAGGCCCUAUUAGCUGACAUCGUUCAAAAGCUAUUUGCUCCAAAUUCAGCAGAGGACUAAUUUGUGGUGGAAUUUUACCUGCAUAAUGAAAAUUUAUUUCAUUUCAAAACAAUUGCAACAAAUAAGGCCAAUUUCAUUUCUCUAAUACAAUAAUAAGGCCGGCCAUUUCUUUUUUAAGCACGGAAGAAUUGAACAAUUAGAUAAGACAAAGGCAUAAAGCAAUUACUUGUAUUUUUCAAUAAAAAAUUUUACAUUGUUUUGGUUUGGCUGUAAAAUAAUGUAUGGUGUUAGCUAAAGUGGCUUCCUAAUUUAGCCAAAUUGGUAGUGGAAAACCAGUCUUCACCAGCAUCAAACCUUAUACUUUACAUCAAAAGGAAAAAGGAUAAAAUAUACAUAAACUAAAAAGUGAUUGUACUGAAUCUAAUGGAAGAAGUAAUAAGGAAUUUAAAGAAUUACAAGAAUAAAAAAGGUGACAUUGUUAAAAAAAGAAAGUAAAAUAUUGUACGCCUAAAAAAAGCCAACCAAAAAGGGAGAAAAAGGACUAGAAAUAUGCUAAAAAUGCGUCUCAAUGUUUAUUUUACUUUUACCUUUGAGGUUGUUGCGUCCAAGUAAAAGGAUCCUAAGCAUAGUCAAGUUUCCUAUUUCUUCUGGUAUAACCCCUUCCAAAUAAUUAACAGAUAAGGAUAGUUGCUCUAACUCUUGGCACUUGAAUAAAUUCAUUGGAAUUGGGCCAGAAAGGAGAUUAACACUCAAAGUAAGCAAAUUUAAUCUAGGUAAAUGAUCAAACAUAUCUGAUGGGAUACGACUAGUGAGAUUGUUAUACGACAAAUCAAUUCUUCGCAGGGAAGACAUGUUGAAUGGGAUGGAAGGUAUGGAACCACUUAGCUGGUUUCUUGCGAGAACAAUCUCUACCAAUGAAGAUAUGUUGAAGACUGAGGAAGGUAAGGAGCUUGAAAACUGAUUGUCGUGCAAAUAUAAAUAUCUCAAGCUAGGAAGAUUUCCGAUUUCCACAGGGAUAACUCCCAUAAAGUUAUUACAGCUUAAAUCCAAAAUUUGAAGUUUAACGAAAGAACCAAACCAAGAUGAGAUUUUUCCUUCGAAAUGAUUGUUAGACAAGAUUAGAAAUUUCAACCGACGCAAAUUAGCCAACUCGACGGGCAACGAGCGAUGAAAAUAGUUGCCCCCAAUAUCAAGGGAAACAACAAAAGACAGAUUUCCCAUGUUUGGUGGUAUGGUUCCAGAGAGAUUCAUGCGAAAUAGAUCCAGAGCAAUGACUCUGUGGUGUCGAGAUCCGCAAGUGACACCAACCCAAUUGCAAAUAGAUGUAGCAGUUGACCAGUUGGCGGCCAAAAACUCACUGUUGACACGGGCUUUUAGUGCAAGAAGAGCCAACUGGUCUGUGCUGAUGUUGGCUGUUGAUUUCAUAGAGAAUGAAACCCCAAAAUUAGACCGCAUCACUACUGCCAUAAUAGCGAAAAUGAACCGAGUGUUUCCCAUGAAGUUACGUAGAAGUGAAAGGAAAAUUUUUUAAAGAUGAACGGGAAAGAUGAUGUUUCGUUCUCAAUAUAUAGAAGGAAAAUUGUGAUGGGACUUAUUUCCACGUGCAACUGGCCAAUGCAUCCUUAUUUUCAAAUACUUUAUAUAUUUUUAAUUAUUUUAUCUAAUUUUAUCAGCGAAUUUGGUAUUUUUUAGCUCAUGAUACCAACUUAAAUAGUAGUUUUAUUUUAUUCAACUUCAAUAGUAGUUUUAACUAGUAUAAAUACAUAUAUUAAUCAUUAUUUAUUCAACUAAUAUGUUUUCAUUUUAUAAAUAUUUCACUGUCAAAAAAUAAGUACAUCAUUUUUAAAAAAAAAUUGAGAUACGGUCAAAAUUUAUUACUUUAUUUAAGGUGAUGAAUCAAAUUUACAAACCAACUUUAAACGCCCAAUAGCUUUUUGAGCGAUAAUUGUUUUUGGUAACUGUACAGGUUUCCUUUCUUCAUACUAGGUCUCUAUGCAAUGAAAAGUCUCUUGCCAAUUAAGUAAGAGACUUAGAAUGACAUAUUGGUUCUUGAGACUAAUAAAUAUAAUUUUUUUUAAAAAAAAACAACUUUAAACUAGUAUGAUGCAAUUUUAACCUGAACUCCUAAUUUGGUUAUAAAUAGUAAAAAGAAAUUCCGCUAAAAAAUAAAAAUAUUUUACAAUUUACUAUUAAUUUAUUACCAUUAUUUUUAAACCAAAUUAAAAGUACUAUGCUUAAAAUUAUACUUCUAAUAACAAGUUAAUUAUUUUUUUUCCUGAUAUAUCAUUUGUUCAAUUGGCCAACAAAAGGCCAUGUAACUUACCACGUUAGAUAAAAAAUAGUCACAUCAUCGAUUAAAUAGUCCGUAUCAUUAAUUUUUUUUAAAAAAACAUGGUGUUUUUAUUCUCUUCAUUACCAUUAUGCCAUCUUCAAGUCCACAUCCUUAAUUUAAUGAUGCUUUAUUGAUGGAAGGAUCCAAUUGAACAUUUAAUAUAAGUAUUUGAGUCUCUUUCAUCCAGGUUUUGUAAGUUCUAUGACUGGCAUUUAUUUUUGGUUAUGUGCCAGUCUCUUAAUUCAAAGGAAUGAUGAAAGCUUAGUUUUAGACUUAUAGCUGGGCUUUUGUCCUUUUGUUGCUCAGGCUUCAUGAGUAAAGGGUGGAGAGUUCUUUUUGAUGUUUUGCUUAAUUUAGGAAUGAGAAAUUGCUAAUAUUUUUUUGAGAGGUGGUAUGAAGUGUUAAUGUUCAAUGAAAGGAAGCACAGACGAGAUUUAAAUGCCAAAGAAGUCUUUAGCAUGGAGACUUCAGUUGGCAUUGGAUUCUAGUGCUAAUAAAAUUGCUUUUUUUAAAAAAAAAAAUUAAUAUAAGUACAAUAAUUUAUCAAAAGAAAAUUAAAAUGAACCAAAAUCCCUACUUUAAUAAAGUAUAAGAACCAAAUCUGUACUUUAACCCUUUCAUUCUUAUUCUUUCAGAGCAUAACAAAAAAUGAUUAAAAAGACCAUUUUUAUUAUGUCAUCCAUAAAUUUUAUAAAUUACAAUACAACAUGCAAUUAAAAAUUAUUACAAAUUCAGCGUACAAAAUCUGAUUUUAUGCAUGCUCACAUAAUAACUUUUGGUUACUUAUCACAUUAAGCUGAUAUAUGUGGUGAGAAAAACCUGUCUAAUAAUUUAUAAAUUCUUAUUAAUAUAUGACUGAUGCUGAUGUAAUUUUAAUUAAGCAUUCAACCCAAGAGGAAGAAAUGAAAAGGGGAAUGAAGAGGGACAAUUCAUAAAGGAAAUUAAAAAAGAUGGACAAAUUGCCGUGGUAGAAAGGAAAGGCAUGAAGCGUGUUGACUGUUGUAUGCAUGCAUGUUAAAAUUGUACUAUAAAGACUUGUCUGCAGAUACCCUUAACGUGAGUUAAGGGCCAUUGUAUAGCUUUUAGGGGUGAAGAGUGAAGACUACAUCCACUAUUUACUGUCCUUGAAUAACGUAUAAUUAGGGGAUUCAAUCUGUGCUCUUACAUGCUGAAGUUAAAAAAAAAAAUUAUUUAAGUAUUUAAUUUAAUAAUAAAUAUAUAAACAAGAAACACAGUAAAGAGAGAAGUGCACAGAGCCUAGUGGUGUAAAUAAGAGAUUACUGCAUCGUUACAGAGCACUAGGCUCUGUGCACUUCUCUCUUUACUGUGUUUUUUGUUUACAUAGUUAUUAUUAAAUUAAAUACUUAAAUAAUUAUAAUAGUGAAGCUUAUUAAUGCAGCUGAUAUAUGUCAUUAGAAGAACCUAUCUAAUAAUUUAUGGAUGCUUAUUGAUGUAUAUGACUCAGCUGAUGUAAUUUUUAAACAUUGAAAGCAAGAGGAAGAAAUGAAAAGGUAGUCACAGAAGAUGAAGAGGGGCAGUUAAUUGAUCAGAGUUUCCUAUAAGGGUUUUUUUUACCAGUGAGAAAGAUGAAUUAUUUGUUAUUAGUUCAUAACUAAUCAAAACCAACGUUUUUGUCACUCUCCUAUCUAGCUAGCCAAAUUUCUUCUUAAUUGUGAUGGGACCUAUUCCCACAUGCUCCCCACCGCCCUUCUAUGUUGAAGAGAGAAUUUCAUAGAGCAAUUUUCGUGUUUUCUAAUUUAUUUGCAUUGAUACAUAUCUAUAUCUAAAGGGGUAAACAUAUAAUAUUACUAAUAAAUUAAUUGGAGUAUCAAUUUAGAUAACAUAAUUUUGAGUAUAGAAAUGCUUUUCGGCAAAAAUUUUAUAGUCCAUGAACUUAAACAAUAUUAAAUUAGAGUCCAGGAACAAUUAGAACACUAAUUCCACAUAAUACCACAUAUAAAUGUGAAAUUGUAGAUCCAAGGAUUUUUCAACUAAUUCCUUUGUAUUCAGUCAAGGAAUUUUUUUCGUCUAAUUCUUGUUCGCUGGUGAAAAUUGUAGACACAUCCCUCUCAUCUACCCUCAUCCAUUCAGUCAUCGUCAUCGUGUUGCUGGUGAAAUUGUAGACACAUCCCUCUCAUUUACCUUCAUGCAUUCAGUCAUGGUCAUCGAUCAGAAGAGUUAAUUAAGUCAUCUCAAUUGCUGGUAAAUAAUAAUUGCAGCGAGUUGUGCACGGAGAAGUUAUUGCAGUUGGCCAUGUGACCCUUCAAAUCGACGAGCUACUCGGUUUUUCUUGUAACGUGCUUUCGAAUUCUCAUCUAGUCAUUAUUCCUCAAUUGACUAUCUUUCUUUCUAAUGUGGGAUUCACACUUCCAAUUUGAAUGUGUAGGACAUUCCUCGACUUUCAGUUGCUUUUCCAUAUUAAUUGACAAAUGAUACUUGAAUAACAUAGUCCAUAUGGGACAUCCUAGUUGUCAAUUGCUCUGCCUAAACUUGAAGACCCCGAAACUCGUUUACUGUUUUGGCUGGUUACGAUCAUUAAGAUCACAACCAUCUAAAGGUUCACCAAGAAUAAUUGUAGCGAGUUGUGCACGGCGAAGUUAUUGCAGUUGGCCAUGUGUCCCUUCAAAUAGACAAGCUGCUAGUUUUUAUUGUAACGUGCUUUCCAAUUCCCAUCUAGUCGUUAUUACUCAAUUGACUAUCUUUCUUUUUUAAAGUGGGAUUCACACUUCCAAUUUGAAUAUGUAGGACAUUCCCCGACUUUCAAUUGCUUUUCCAUAUUAAUUGACAAAUGAUACUUGAAUAACAUAGUCCAUAUGGGACAUCGAUCCUAGUUGUCAAUUGCGAUGCCCAAACUUGAAGACCCCGAAACUCGUUUACUGUUUUGGCUGGUUAAGAUCACUACUAACUUCCCAAUUCCAUGAUUAAGAUCACAACUAUGCAAAGGUCCACCAAGAUUUGGAUCCUGAAUCCGGCUGGUCCCAUUGGGCGUCCUCUUUUAAAAUUUAAAUUUGAUCUCGAUUUUACCUAUAAAUAAUGCCAAGAGAUUUAACUUAAAUGGACAAUAUUCAAAGUAAAUAAUAAUUUUAAUUUAAUAUAAUUUACAUCUAAAUUUAAAUAUAUAUAAUUCACUCUUUUGUUUAGUCUACUAAGCAAUUUAGUCUGCUAAACUACUUAACCUAGUCUGAACUCAUGAGUCGUGAUAUAAUAGAUAUUUAUACAUAUAUUCAUAACAUAAUUAAAUUUAGAGUAAAAUACUUUGUCAGUCCUAACAUUUAAUCAUAAUUACACACAGGUCCGUUAGUUUGUAAAAUGGACACUUAGCCCUAAACAGUAAACAACAUUAAUAUUUAAAUUAAAAAGUCUAAAAUAUCAUUCUUUUUUUUUUUACUUUUUUUAUGUCGACUGACGACGUUCCUUACUCGACCGGCUACCUUGUGGCUGAAUCUGGCUCAGAUCCGACUGGAUUUCUCAAGGACCACCAAAUCUAGUGCUCCCAAGACCACCAACAUUGGUGCUUCCCAGGGAGCACCGUUCCAAGGAGCAUUUGUGCUCCCUAGGGAACACUCAAAUGGUGCUCCCUUAGGAGCACCACCCGGGGGGAGGGAGAUCAAGCCGGAGCUGGAUCUGGCACUCCCUAACCGAAGCUGGAUCUGACGCUCCAGCUUAGGGGAUAGAUUUUUUUUAAUAAGAAAAAAUAAAAAAUAAAAAAAUUAUAGUUUAUAUAAUGUGCUAAUUUUAAAAAUUGAUGAAAGGUAAAAUUAUCUUUUCAAUAGUAUCAUGUCAUCAAACCAACGAAAAUAUUAAUAGUAGACUAACAGCUGGACUUAUGUGUCCAGCGAAAAAUAUUCUUUUGGGACAGACUGUCCAUUUUAAAAACUUAUAGACCUGCAUGGAAUUAUGACUAAAAGUUAAGGAAUAAGGAUAUUUUACCCUUAUAUUUAUUCCAUUUAUCAUUUACACAAUGAUUAGUCAAAUGCUUCCUUAAAUGAAACUAUUAAGUCAAUAUUUAAAUGGAGACAGAAGCACUAGCAGGAGAAAAAGCAAGAUUGUGAAAAAUAGGGAAGGUUUAGGUGCAAGGCGGCAUACACUUACCGGCUAGAUAAGAGCAUGGGCAAAACUUUGAUUCUUACCCUUAAGUAGAAAGAAAUUUUUGGUUUUUAGAGUACAAAUAUACAAAGGUUAACCAAGAUUUGGAUCUUGAUUCAGGAUGGUCCUAUUGGGCCUCCUCUUUUAAAAGCCAACUUCAAUUUCGGUCCUGUCUAUCUAUUUGUUAGUUAUUUUAUUAUUAAAAUAAUAAAAUAGUAUUUUAUAUUAAUAUGUUAAUAUUUUAAAAUUUAAAAUAAAAUAAUAUUAUAACUUAAUUGAGCUCAUACCUAAAAAUCCAUGCCUAAGCCUAAUCCGAAUCAGGUCAAAGUCCAUGAAUCUGGACAAGUAACUCAAUCCUUAAACAUCUCUAAAAAUUGCAUUUUUUUUUUAUAAUUAGGGUAAGGGGGAUUCAAACCAUACUCUUUAGGCAAGAGAAAGUUGUUUUUGUACAUGUUUCUAACUUUUAUUUUUCUUUUAAUAUAAACUAAAUCUUAUAUCUCUAUUACUCUAUAAGUGUUUUUUUAUGAGAUUAUAUUUACAAGUAAAAAAUUAUAAUUGCAUCAAAUAACUACUAAUAUAUACUAUAAAAUAAAAAAAUUAAUAAUAAAGUAAAAGAUUUUGACCCAUGAAAUAGAUUUAUAUAAUAUAGUAAUAAAAUUUAUUUGGACUGGGUUAUCAUAGCAUAACAUAAAACCAAGACAGUUUUGAAAAUUCAAUAAAUUAAAGACAACAUCCAAAAGCAAUCAGCUCAUGUAGAAAAGAAAAUUAAGACAAACACUUGCCUCUAAAAUAAAGUAAAAGGAAACAACAGAUUAUUGGAUAAAAUAAAAGCACCUUGACAUUGAGGUACAAUUGAACCUGCACUCGAACUUCAUUUUCUCGAUUUGGGGUUCAAAGGAGUUAAAUGGAAACGCCAGCAACAUGAUGCUAUUUUCAUCAAGCCCACCUGUUCGAAUCCUUCAAAAACUUAGUUUUGAACUUCUUCAGCUUAGCAACAACAUUUUUCAUGUCAAUCCUCUCUUUUGGCAACUCUUUUGAACAUUCUAACGCCAAUUGCAAAACAGACAAUGCACAAUCUUUUAUUGCACAAUGUUCUCACUCUUUUUAACUGAUUAGCAAAUUGGCAUCCAUAACUUCUAUUAAUUCAGAUGGUAAUAACUCGGUCACCCAAUGUUUUAAGCUCAUUUCUCCAACAAACAUUUCAUUCAUGGGCUUUUUUCUUGUUAAGGUUUCAAUUAGAAGAAUGCCAAAAUUGUACAUAGCACCUUUUAAUAUGAAACAACUCCUUGUGUUCCGUAUUCUACAUGUAAGUCAUUACAACCAUCAUCAAAGUAUGUAAUGAUUUCAUAUGAAUUAUUAUAAUGGAUGAGAAAAGGUUUAAAGUUUAAGCAUUACAUGGUGCCAUUUACCCAAUUUUUGCUAGUGUUAUGGUUUGUAUUGUUGAAUCCUCCUCAUCACCUAUCAACUUUGCAAUAUCAAAAUCACCCAAAUGUGCAACCAUAGCUUCAUCUAAUAGAAAAUUGAUGGGUUUUAAAUUACAAUGAGCCAUAGGAAUUGGCUGACCAUGAUGGAGGUAUUCCUAAUGCAAAGGCCACAUCAAUCAUAAUGUUCAACCUAUGCAAGAUAUCAAGAAAAGAGUUAUGAGAAUACAACCACUUCUCAAGGCUUCCAUUAGGCAUGAACUCAAGCACCAAAGCUUUAAAAUCAACAUUGCAUUAACUACUGAUGAUUUUGACUAAAUUUCAGGGUGAAUGUUGCACAAGACCUCACACUCAACGUCAAAGCUCUUAAAUGCGUUCAUCUGAAAGAGUACCUUGGUAUACCAAGCCAAAAUUUCUUGCACCAAGUAAUUUGCUUUCACAAAAAUCAUUUGUGGCCUGAUGAAGCUCUUGGUAUGAAAUUCUUCUCCUCUUUGCAAAAACAUUCGAAUUUUCUUGAUCAGUUUUUUGCUUUGGAUGCCUUUUUUGUCUUUGCAAGAAAAAGACAAUUAAGGCUAGUAUUAAUAGCAUCGAGCCAACUGGCAAUAAAAUAAAAUUAUAAACUUAAUAGCUUUCCUUGAAUGUUUAGUGGAAUUAGUUUUGCAUGGUGGGAGUUACAGUUGAGGUGCACCACAUAGCUCUUUGUUCCCCAUAAACGAUUUAAUUGAGUAGUUGGCAAAAGGUCCUUCGUCAAGAAUUUCUCCGCGUAGUCUAUUGAAGGAGACAUUCAAAUACUCAAGAUGCAAGAGUUUUUGCAAGGACUUUGGAAUAAUUCUAGAGAAAUUAUUCCUUGAUAGAUCCAGGAAUUGCAAUCCUAUUAGCCCACUAAAUAACUUAGGUAUAGACCCAUACAAUCUGUUACUGGAUAAUGAAAGAUAAGUUAGGUCUUCAAGAUCACCAAUACUACUAGGAAUUUCAAUUGAUAAUUAAUUUUUGGAAAAAUCAAUCCUAGUAACAACCUUCCACUUUCCAAUGUCAAUUAGGAGAGCGCCGCUGAGAAAAUUGGAAGACAAGUUAGUUGUAAGAUAUCUAUAAGCCUUGUGAAGGUUGAGGUAUUGAGUUUGCAAACUUAUUGGAGCCCAAAUAUCAAUGGUGUUGUGUGCUUUGCUUGUGUGAUGUGAAAUGUGCUUAAAAUUAAAUGUAAAAUACAAGCAAAGACUACGUGCAAGUGUACACAAUCGCAACGAGUAAUAAAGUGGUCAAUAAAGUGUCGGUCCGUCGAGGAACUAUCUCUAAUUCUAUUGUUAAAUACCAAUUUCAAACUAAACUAAUUCUAUCCAAGAGUUGAUAAUUGAGAAGUGGUGAAAAUGAAAUCUAAUCACUAAAAUUAAUCUAGAAAUGCAAGUAAAUUGAAUUGGAAAUGAUGGAGAAAGACCUAGGAUUGUGGUUUAAACUAAUGCUUCAUUUGGACUUAAGAUUAACUAACUAUUUACUUUUAUGAAAAACUAAUGCUAGCCUAGGAUCUUUAAGCAUAUACGAUUCUCUGUGGAGAUAUCGUACAAUGGCCUAACUUAAUUUAAUUCUCUAUAUAUCUAUAGCUAUUUAAUUAAGCGAAGUUCCUUAAGUAUAGGUCCUAUAAAUUGAUUGCAUAUGAUUAAUAGGUGUUUGUCUAUCCUAUUAACAAAUCACCCUAUUAAUUUCUACUUGCAAUGAUCAUAUACUAUCCAAACCAUGGUCUUUUAAGCUAACUUUGUCAAGUCAUAUCUAAAAACCCAAACAUAUCCUAUUGGGGAUCAGUCAAUAAAAUGGGAAAUAGUGUAGAUUUGAAUAAACAUUAGAUAUUCCAUAAAAACAAGUAAUAGUCAAUCAAGCAUCCAAACUAUCCAUUCAUCUCUACCAUAAUCCUAUAAAGGAUAGUUUAGCCUAACAUUUCCAUUGCCCACAACAAAAUUUCAGCAAAAUAAAGCAUUUAUACAAAGAGAUUUAGAGACAGAACAAUAAAGCUAGUGAGAGAAAAUUCUUUUAGUGUAGCUUUGUCAAGCUUCUUUUUAAGAAUUCCUCUCCUUUUCUCCUAGUAGAAAGGUUUGUUGGCUCCAUUAGUUUUUGAUGAUAAUAAAACAUUUCCACUCAUUUAUGUCUAACUUUAUUACUUGAGUGUGCAGGACAAAAAUGUAUGUCAAUAAUAAAUCAUUGAAAAGUUGAUAUCAAAACUCAUAAGAAUAAGGAGUUACAAAUGAGCCACAAAACAGAAACCACUUAGUUGGAUAAAGAAAGGAGUUAGUCAACUAAAACUCAAAAAUGAAGAUGGGCCAGUUUAAAAACAGAGACAACUUAAUCGACUAAGAAAUAUUGUUAGUCGACUAAGAGCUUAUUGCCAGAAACUAGGUUCAGAGACAAAGACAACUUAAUCGACUAAGAAGUAUUGUUAGUCGACUAAGUGCUUAUUACCAGAAACUGGAAACAGAAGACAGAGACACUUAAUCGACUAAGAAGCAUAGUUAGUCGACUAAGAGCACUCUGUUAGAAAAUUUGAAUUUAAUGCUAGAAGACAGAAACUAUUUACCAAUGGUCAGAAACUAUCAAACAUCCAUCAAAGGUGGUUCUUCAAGUAUAAAAACCCUCCCCAAUGGCUAAAGACAAGAUUAGAUGCUUCCAAGAACAAAAAGAGCUCAAAAAUAGCAAAAACUCUCUGCAUACUUUCUACAUUUCACUCCUAUCCUUGUAAUAGAGUUAAACACUUCAUCUUGUACCAUUCAGAUUAGGUUAGUGAUCAUAGGUACAUCUUUAUUAUUGUUCUCCUUGUUUACUUAGAGUGUGCGAGUCACUCUAAGGGGAUUAAUCAAGCUUAGGUUGCUUGAAUGGUUGUAUAGGUUCUAACUUAGCCUAAAAAAGUUAGUUUUGGGUUUUGGUUGAUCUUGAAAAAAACUAUUAUUAAAGGUUGUGACUGAGCCUGUGAAAAGCUAUUGUAAAAGCUUGGUGGGAGCUUGGGAAUUCCACCGUUUAUAGUGAAUUGGUUUAGAAAAUCCUUAAUUGAACAAUCAAGCUAAUGGAUGUAAGUUUUUGACCGAACCACUAUAAAUCUUUGUGUAUUGUCUCCUCUAUUUUAGUUUUCAUUUUCAUUUUUUCUUAAAUCAUUCCUUCAUCUUGCAUCAAACUUCUCAUUAUUGACCUUCAACUUGCCCUCAAUUAGAAAUCAAGUUUAGUGAGAGCCAAAAAGUGUUAUUCACCCCCCCCCCCCCCCCUCUAGCACAUUUAUUUAGACCCAACAAGGUUCCCUUUUUCCUCUUUUUUCCUCUUCAAAAACUCUAUUUUCUUAGCUCAAAAACAUAAAUUUGUACCCCUCACUUUUAGCCCUAGCCAUAAAAACUCAUGCAAAAAUUUCUCAUUAAAUGUGUGUUUUGGCUACAGCCAAAAUGGAUUCUCAAUAUAGCCAAAAUGGAUUCUCAUUGUAGCGAGAAAGUCUCUAACUUGAAGUUUUAAGGAUGGCUGAAAUUCUUGUUGCAGCCAAAAUGGGAUUUCGUUAUAGCGAGAAACUUGCUGUCUUGCACUAUGCAAUCUGUUACAGUCAGUCAACUUUCUUUGUAUUUUUUACCAUGAUCCUUUUUAAACUGGGUUAAGUGCUAAAUAUCAAAGUUGUAACUCUUCCUCUUAGCUUUCCAUAGUUCUAAGAAUUGUGAUUGGAGUUUUGUAGCUCAAGAUAUGCUCUGAUUACUGCAGCAUGGUUUGAGGUCAACUUAAGCAAAAGUGCAUAAUCCUUUGCAAAUUUGACUUCCAAGCUCUUUGGCACCUUCAUUAACAUAUAGCAUAAUCAAUAGAAGGUACAAACAAGACUUAAUAACAUGAAAAUAAACUCAAAUUACUUAAUUAAACUAUUAAAGCAUGCAUAAACUAAAUACUAAGAAAAAUUAUAAAAACAUCAAAGGCCUAAAUUAAUUAAAAACAAGAGGAUGUUAGUCAUUUUUAAGCUCAAAAGAAUGCAAGACAACUCUAUAAAAUAGAGUUUUCAGAUGGCGCAUUAUGAAUCCCAAAAAUUUACCAAAAGAUACUUUAAAGGCACACUUUAAGGGAUUCAUCUUCAAUUAAUAUAGAUGCAAUUGUUCUCUAGAAAAGAUACAUAGAAACCUCUAGAAAAAGGCCUAUAAACAUUUUAAGAUAUUUUUAAUGGCUUUUGAUCAUAGAUUUUCCAUGGACAAAAAGAGUAGGGAGUGAACAAAAAAGAAGUCAUGAUUAAUGGUGGCUAGAUAGCAGCUUUGCUGGUUUAAUCUGUAUUAAAGAAAAAUGUUGAAGUUAAAACUUAAAACCAAUGCUGAAAAACUUAGUUAAAAAUUGAACAUAUAGCUAUCUCAGCAUUUCAGUUUUACCUUGAAAACAAAUCAUUAAAUAAUAAAUAAAAACUGGUUAGCAUAUGCAGGCCAAAAAAUUGACUUAUAAGCUAAUAGUAGUGUAAUAAAAGAAUGAUGAAAUUCCAAAACUAAUGUGCAUCUAAUUAAUUUCUUUCCUUGAAUUUUCUUCAGAUGAUUUGAAAAAUAAACUUAAAAGGAAAAAUGUAGCUUCCUUAAUCAAUUUAGAUAACCUGAGCAGACAAAACAUGAAUUUCCUUAUUAUUUUUCUUAUAUAUCUGAAGUUUCUGUAGCAAAAACUAAAGCUUACUUUAACGUGGAAUUGUGUAGCAAAAACGUUCUUCUGUGACUUCAAGAAUAGAUAUCAUCUGUCCCAAAAAGGAUAGGAUAUAUAUUCCCUAACAAUUGUCAGCUGUCAGGGAAGGAUAUCAACCAUAAUACUAUCUCCCCUUUCUCUCUCAUAUCCUCUCCCUCUCUAUUCUUUUCUUCUCUUCCUCCUUUGAUGAGUUGUUACUCACUUAUAAAGAAUUAGAAAAGGAAUCACAAGAAAACCUUUGAUGUCCCAUUUUUUUGUAGGCCCAAACGCUUCAUCUCAGCCCAGAUCAUGCCAGUCCCUGUCUAACAACAUAAUGCAUUUACAAAGACAAAUCGAAAGUAAUCUCUAAUAUUUAUUUAUUCAUAUUGGUUGUUUCAAGACUACGCAUCACAAACAUUACAUGAAUAAGCAUAUUAAAAUAUUAUAAUUGAUUAACAAUGUAACAAGCAGAACCUAAUUGUGUCUUAUUGUAGAAUUCAUUGAACUUAAUGAAAUACAUAAUUUUCAAAAAAAAAAACCUAAUUUUUGGGCACCUCUAAAAGUUAUAUUUGUACAGGUUUCUAACUUUUAUUUUUCUUUUUUCCUAUAAGAAAUAUAAACAAUAUAAACUAAAUCUUAUACCUCGAUAUAAGUAUUUUUUAUGAGAUUAUAUUUACAAAUAAAAAUUACAAUUACAUCAAAUAACUUUUAAUAUAUAUUAUAAUAUAAAAUAAAUUUAUAAAUAAACCAAAAGUUAUCCAUCCAAUAAAAUAGAUCUAUAUGAUAUAGUAAAAAAAAUUAUUUGGGCUCAGUUUUCAUAGCAUAACAUAAAACUAAAUAAAGUUCUGAAAAUUCAAUAUUAAAGACAACAUCCUAAAGCAACCAUCACGCAAAGAAAAGGAAAUCAAGACAAACACUUGCCUUCAAAAAAAAAAAAAAAAAAGGAAACAACCAAUUACUAGGUAAAAUAAAAGCACCUUGAUAUUGAUACGUUGAACCUGCACUCAAACUUAUUUUCUCGAUUUGGGAUUGAAAGGAGUCCAAUGGAAAUGUCAUCAAGAUGAUGGUAUUUUCAUCAAGCCCGCCUAUUAGAAUCCUUCAAAAACUUGAUUUUGAUCUUCUUCAAAUGAGCAACAACGUUUUUCAUGUCAAUCCUCUCUUCUGGCAACUCUUCUGAACAUUCUAACGCUAAUUGCAAAAUAGACAAUGCACAAUCUUUUAUUGCAAAAUGUUCUUGCUCCUUGGUACUAAUUAGCAAAUUGGCAUCUACAACUUGAGUUAAUGCAGAUGGUAAUGACUUAGUCAUCCAAUGUUUUAAGCUCAUUUCUUCAACAAACAUUUCAUCAGUGGGCUUUUUUCUUGUUAAGGUUUCAAUUAGAAGAAUACCAAAACUGUACACAUCGCCUUUUAUGGAAACAACUCCUUGUGCUUGGAAUUCUACAUGUAAGUGAUGAAAACAAUAGUCAAAGUAUGAAAUGAUUUUACACGAAUUAUCAUAAUGAUUAAAAAUGUUUAAAGUUUAAGCAUUACCUGGUGCCAUAUACCCAAUUGUUGCUAGUGUUAUGGUUUGUACUGUUGAACCCUCUUCACCUAACAGCUUUGCAAUGCCAAAAUCACCCAAAUGUGCAACCAUAUCUUCAGCUAAUAAAACAUUGCUGGGUUUUAAAUCACAAUGGGCCACAGGAAUUGUCUGUUCAUGAUGGAGGUAUUCUAAUGCGGAUGCCACAUCAAUCAUAAUGUUCAACCUUUGCAAGAUAUCAAGAAAAUAGUUAUGAGAAUACAACCACUUCUCGAGGCUUCCAUUAGGCAUGAACUCCAGUACCAAGGCUUUAAAAUCAACAUUGCAACAACUACUGAUGAUUUUGACUAGAUUCCGGUGACGAACAUUGCGCAAGACCUCACACUCAACGUCAAAGCUCUUAAAUGAUCCUUCUACCUCCAAAUUAAAGACUUUUAUGGCAAUGCUGAGUCCAUCUGAAAUAGUACCUUGGUAUACCGAGCCAAAACUCCCUGCACCAAGUAAUUUGCUUUCACAAAAACCAUUUGUGGCGUGGUGAAGCUCUUGGUCUGAAAUUCUUCUCCACUUUGCAAAAACAUUCGAAUUUUCUCGAUCAAUUUUUUGCUUUGAAUGCUUUCUUUGUCUUUGCAGGAAAAAGACAAUUACGGUUAAAAUUAAUAGCGUUGAGCCAACUGGCAAUAGAAUAAAUAUUAUAAGCUUAGUAACUUUCCUAGAAUGUUUAGCAGAAUUAGUUUUGCAUGGUGGGAAUUGCAGUCGAGGUGCACCACAUAGCGCUUCAUUCCCCAUGAAUGAUUGAAUCGAGUAGUUGGCAAAAGGUCCUCCAUCAGGAAUUUCUCCGUGUAGCCUAUUGAAUGAGACAUUCAAAUACUUGAGAUGCAAGAGUUUUUGCAGGGACUUUGGAACAAUUCCAGAGAAAUUAUUCCUUGACAAAUCCAAGAAUUGCAAUUCUAUCAGCCCACCAAAUAACUCAGGUAUAGACCCGUACAAUCUAUUACGAGAUAAGGAAAGAUAAACUAGGCCUUCAAGAGCACUAAUGCUACUUGGAAUUUCGCUUGAUAAUUGAUUUUUGGAAAAAUCAAUAUGAGUAACAACCUUCCACUUUCCAAUGUCAAUUGGGAGAGCCCCAUUAAGAAAAUUGGAGGACAAGUUUAGUUCCAAGAUAUCUAUAAGCCUUGUGACGGUGGAAGGUAUUGAGUUUGUAAACUUAUUGGAGCCCAAAUAUAGAGCUCUUAGAGAAACGAGAUCACCCACGCAUGCUGGUAUUGGUCCAGCCAAUCUGUUCUCUUCGAGAUGCAAGAAACCCAAACUCUUCAGACGGCAUAAGUUAGAUGGAAUAGAUCCUUCUAACUUAUUGACUUCAAGAGAGAGAGCUUGCAACUUUUCUAAUCUUCCUAUUGUGGUGGGAAUAGAUCCAAUCAGUUGAUUGUUAGCUAUGGACAAGCUGAUCAAGUUGCUUAGGUUGCUAAUCUCUUCCGGAAUGUUGCCCCUAAUGUUGCAGCCCACAGAAUCGAAAUAUUGUAGCGAAAUAGAAAGAUUUCCUAUAGAAAUAGGAAGUUCAGCAUCGAUCAAUGGAUUAUUACUAAAAGACAAGACUCUCAAGUCUUUGCAAUAUGCUAAAGAUGAGAGAAAGCUCAAUUUUGGAGAUGAAAGUGUGCUAGCUAAAUUAUUAGAAUGUAGGUUGAGGCGUUCUAGAUCUCUUAGAUUGCCGAGAUCAACAGGAAUAUAUCCAGAAAAUGAAUUCUCUGACAAGUCAAAAAUUGUUAGCUUAGAGGCAUUGGAGAUGGAGGUAGGUUUUGUUCCGUUCAACUCAUUUAUAUCAAGUAGAAGCUGUUCAAGCUUUGGAAGCCAUAGUCCUGUGCUCCAUGGAAGACAACCUGAGAGAUGGUUUGAAUAGAGUGCAAUGAGCGUCAUAGUUGAGCUAUUAAAGAUACCAGGAUGGAUAUGUCCGGAGAUACUGUUCGAUCCCAAAUUCAGACGCACCAAAUUUGGUAGGUUGCCUAUCUUAAGUGGUAUUUUACCUGCCAUAAAAUCAGAAGUCAUUUGGAUUUGUUCCAAUGAUCCAGAAGCAAAUAACAAAAUUAAUCAUCAAAGUUUUACACACAUUUCUAUUUUUAUAUUUUAUAUUAUAAAUAUAUAUAACAAAGAGUGAAACAGUUGGGAUUGGUAAAUAAUAGUUUUAAAAUAUUUAUAACAUUUGCAACUAUGCAGAAACUCAACAUACAUAAGAAUAAAUGUAACAUAUUACCUGUCAAGUUAUUGUCGCCAAAAUCAAGUUCUUCCAAAAGUGUUAGGUCACCAAUUUGUUGUGGAAUUUCACCUGCGUAAUGUAAUUGAUCCAUUAAUUAUUUUUAAAUUUAGCAACAAAUAUAAGGUCCAUUUAUUUGUCAAAUGAAACUAUCAAAAUUAUCAAAAAAAGUUUAGAAUUUAAAUAAUACAAAGCAAUGCAAUCUUUCACUUUGUAAAUAAUUUAUUAUUUUCCUUUUUUAAUUUAUAUAAUAUAAUGAAAAUAUAUUAGAAAAAGUUGGAAAAAAAAGAACAUAGAUAAGUAGAUAGUAUAUUUGAAUUUUUGGUUGAAUGGUUCUUGAACAGAAUAGAAAUAAAAUUCUUGAUUAUAUAAAAAUGAAAAUAAAAAAAAGGUGAAUAUCAACGGUAAUAAUUAAUUUAAAUAAAAAUAAUGAGAUUAAUAAAGAGUGCAACACUAUGACCAAAAACCAGAAAGAUAUAAAAAAGAAAGAUUUGGAAAAUUCACAUUAUAUCAUAAGCUGAAAAACAGGUAAAACAAUUAUUUUUCCUUCUACCUUUGAGGUUGUUCCGGCCAAGAUAGAGAAUUUUAAGCAUAGUCAAAUUUCCAAUUUCUUUUGGUAUAGUUCCCUCCAAAUCAUUAUAAGAUAAGGAUAAUUCUUCCAACUCUUGGCAUUUGAAAGACAUGUUGAGCGGGAUGGAACCAAUUAGCUGGUUGUCGUUAAGAGCAAUCACUAGCAAUGAAGAUAUGCUGAAGACCGAGGAAGGUAUGGAGCCUGAAAGCUGAUUGCUGUCCAAAUAUAAAAUUCUCAAGCUAGAAAGAUUUCCGAUUUCCACAGGGAUACGUCCUUGCAGAUUGUUGUUAUACAAGCCCUAUAACUCUAGUUUUGACAAAGAGCACAAAGAAGAUGGGAUAACUCCCACGAAGUUAUUACCGCCCAAACUCAAGUAUUGAAGAUUAGGGAAGGAACCAAACCAGGAUGGGAUUUUCCCGUUGAAAUUGUUGUAACGCAAAACUAGAGAUUUCAGCCGACGAAAAUUAGCCAACUCGAUAGGCAAUGAACCAUGAAAACUGUUGUUUGCAAUGUGGAGGAAAGCAACGAAAGACAGAUUUCCCAUGUCUGGUGGUAUGGUUCCAGAAAGAUUCAUGCCGAAUAGAUCCAAAGCAAUGACUCUGUGGUGUCGGGACCCGCAAGUGACACCAACCCAAUUACAAAUAGAGGUAGCAGUUGACCAGUUGGUAGCCAGAAGAUCACUGUUGACACCGGCUUUCAGUGCAAGAAGAGCCAAUUGGUCUGUACUGAUGUUGGUUGUUGAUUU
rnacentral:lncRNA from 1 species